AAUUUCAUCAUUUUUUUAACUAAAUCGAAAAAUUAUAUGAAAGGCAAAAUUAAGAAGCAAAAAAUCAAUAGUCGGGGCUAUGGCUGAGGCUGAGUGGCUGACCAGCUGUGAUGGGCUGAUGGUAGAGUGAUGGUGGUUGAGAAAGUGGAGAUGGUGGCUGUGACGGCCAACGGGCUGACGACGGUAGAGGUCGCACAACUCACUGUUGUUGGAGAUGGAGCAACCGAACAAAACUGCGUGCCAAGCCAAGUCAGCAACCGAGAAGAGAUGAUCCCGACGGGUGACAGUGGGUGGUGGUUAUUGUUAGGUUGGAGUGUUGGAGGCGUGAGCUGCACGGCAGCAUUGCUGCUUAAGCUUUUCAAACUGUCGAUAAGGAUUAGGGAAUUAGGGAUUUGGCAAUUUGGGUUGGGUACUUGGGUAUCUAGGCUUUUGGUAUUGAGCCCGGAACCGUGCUCGGAAAUGUCCAAGUUUGAGAAUUUCAUGCCCGGAUCCCUUUUUUUAGUGUAUGCGGUUUGGGUUUUGUUCGGACCGGAUUAGCCAAGUCUGGUUUGAAUCUGGCAUGAGCGGGCAUUUUUGACACCUCUAGAAAAUAUGUUAAAAUUGUGUGGUGAUUAAAUGAAUAUAAGGCAAAAUAGUGUUGGUUAUUGGUACAAUGAUAAUUAUACUAUUUUUUUUUUUCCUUUUUUGAAUCUGAGCAGUUUCGCUAGCCACCUAAGGAAAUACGACGACGUAUUCAUUUACUCUGAGAACAACGGAGGUCGAUUUGGCAGUCACGUGAAGUUAAAUUCAAAGCUGAAAACAGCCGAUGAGAGGACGAGAGUUGUUGGAGAAGUGAUUAAAUGCUUGGCCGAAGAAGAAUUGAUUCCAGAUAUACAAAAUGAGGUACUGCUAGCUUUACUUUUGAUGCUUAUAUAGGAAUUGAAUAGAUUUUCUUUCACUUUUGAAUACAUGCUUCGUGCUUCUGACUAUGUCCAUAUAAUGUGUAAUUUCUAAUUGAUAUUUGAUUUUUUUGAGAUUGAUUCAUUUUGGAUUUCAUUGGUUUAUAAUCAGCUCUAUCCUGUAGCGUCAACCUUUGGUUCUCCGAUCUUCUUCUCGCUGGAUCGUGCCGCUGCUCCUUACUUUGGGAUAAAGGUGAGUUCAUGACUUUUGCUUUGCAUCAAUGAUCUUGUAUUAUUUUUUGUGGAAAAGAAGCUUAGACACGUUGUGCAUAAAGUUUGAGAUACAAUAAGUUAUUGAUUAUGAGAUGUUUAUUGCGGAUAUGAUCACACGAAACAGUUGUCUUAUUGAGUGUCUAUGAUUGGAUCUAGUCACUGUCGAACUUUGUCUAUUUUAUUACUUUGUAUAUUACUUUGCUUUCUGGUAAAUGAAUGAAUAAUAAUUUAUUUGGCUAUUGAUGGUUAUAUGGCUGAUCCUUUCUUCCUGAAUUUGAAAAUAGGCUUAUGCAGUUCCCUUGAAUGGUUAUGUUGAAAAAGAUGGGCAAAAAUUUCUGUGGAUUGGAAAACGAAGUCAAGUCAAAUCUACUUAUCCAGGAAUGCUUGAUAUUCUAGCUGGUGGAGGAUUGGUUUGUAAUAGUAACCUUUCAUUGCUUUUCUUAGGUUUAUAGUAUUGGAUUCUCCUUUUGAAUUGUAUUGAGUUUACUUUUGUUUCGAAAAACACUAAAGUCGUCAGCUGAUUCUCCUAAGUCCUUUUUGUGAUCGGACAAAAGUGCCAAACAUGUAUUGCAUCGGUAGGGCACAGCUGGAUCCUCAUAUACUUGAAAUUCACUGAUGACCUUCUUUUGAAAUUGGAAUAGGUUGCUUACUAAGAAAUAGAUUAAUAAGGUUUUUCUUCGGCAGAUGACUCCAAUAUGACUGCAGUUGAUUAUUGUAACAAGAUUGACUUCUGAAGUGCUACUAAGGCUUAAAAAUCAAUUAGUUCUUAGAAAUUCUCAAAAUAGUAGGAAGAAGGCACGACAUUACCCAAUGGUUGUUUGUCAUUCUGAUUUAGCUUUAUGCUUUGCUUCUAGAAUAAGAGGGAAGAGGCAAAAGGUCAUUCUGAAAAAUGCCAUUUCUAUGGUGCCAUUUAUAAAGCAUGCAAGCAAAAACGUAGGGGGCAAGAGAAACUUUGCGGACAUUUGUUUCUUGGUUAUUUUUCGGUUGGACUGAUUUAUCUCUUUACUAGCUAUAUAUGUGUUAAAGUUUAAACUGAGUGGUUUGGGCAGCUUGCAAAUAUUUGUCCAUGUUAGUUUGUAAUGAGAAAAUGAUCUUGAAAAGCCUUUAGUGAACAUGGAAACUUGAGCUCAGAACAAAUAUCACGUGGGCAGCAAACCCUGUGCAAUUGGAAAACAUUAGGCGUUCCUCCUUGUUGCAAUACUUGGAGAUUCCAGUUCAGUUGCUGCAAUUGGACAAUAGAAUUUAUAAUAGUGAAAACCAAGGAUUCAUUUCAUUUAAAAAUGUGUUCUCUAAUCUUUAUGCUCAGUUAUCCGAGCCAACUCUUCAUCUAUAUAAUUGUGAUGGUGAUUGCAGCCCCAUGGUAUUGCUUGUGGGGAGAAUAUUAUCAAGGAAUGUGAAGAGGAAGCGGGAAUCCCUAGAUCCAUAUCCAAUAGGUAAGAUUUCCUCAUGCCACAUUGAUUCUAAAUUUUAGGAUUAAUUGUAUUAACUAUAUUAUAUUGGCUAAAAAUGUGAACUUUGCUAAAGUUCCACUCCACAUGUCAACAUUCUGAUUAAACCAUGCUUCUUUUGUGGAUGAUUGGUUGUACUAAUGGGUCCAGAUAUACAUCUUUCACAGAGCUAGACCAGUGGGAGCUGUUUCCUAUACGGACAUUAAUGGGUUUAGUUACAAAAGAGAUGUUCUAUUUUGUUAUGAUUUGAAGCUACCUGAAGAUUUUGUUCCUAUGAAUCAAGGUAACUGUAUUAAAGCUUGAUCACACUGACGCUCAUUUUCUUCCUUCGUGAGAACAAGGUAUAAAAGCAAUGUUUCUUGAUCUACAAACUAAUUUUAGCAUUCCUACUGUUAAAUAUUUGUACAUUUCAAUCUAUAACAUACAUCUGCUGCAGUUUUAGAAGAGAAUUAUAUCUAUUCAUUGUAAUAGCUUUUAUUAAACAUGUUGCAGACGGAGAGGUAGAAAGCUUCCAGUUGAUCCCUGUGGCACAUGUUGCAAAUGUCAUACGGAGAACAGAGUUCUUCAAGCCAAAUUGCUCCCUAGCCAUCAUUGAUUUCUUGUUUCGACAUGGGUAUUAGCACUUUUCUUGAUUGCUUCUUGUAUCUCUCUCAGUUUGAGACUUUCAGUAAUCAGUUAAAAAGAUUAAAAUAAAGAAAGAAAUAAAACUAGCAUAUGUGACAGCCGUAUGAAAAAUAAAUAAAUAAAUAGAAAGCAUAAUCACUUCUUUCUUUCUUUUUUAAUUAACUGUCAAGUUGUGGCAAUGGUUGCUACUUUUCUUAUGAUAGUGGACUCUCCUGCCCAGUAGAAAUGAUAAAAGCAAUGGUGUGUAAUUGUAAUGAAUCUUAAAUAUUUGCUCUCCACUACUGAUAUUCCCAUGUGUUUCUCUUUAGUUUUAGGAAUCUUUUAGAUGUCUUUGGGUUUUCUUUUUCAUGAUUUCAUACAUUUAUCAUUUAUGCUGAUUAAAAUUGUUACAUAUUAGGCUUGGCAAAUUGCUCCAGGAUUUUAUUUCUGACACUCAUAUGCACUUCCAACAAUUUCAAUGAAUCUCGAGAUAUCUCUUUGAUUUUUCUUGUAAUGUCCAUACAUUGAUGCUGGUUGAUAUUAGAUAUAUUUGAUGGGAUUCAUGCUCAAAAGGCGUUGUUGUAGUUCCUUUGCUAUUAUGAAAAAUUCAGCUAUAGCAUAUCAAUCCAUCCCAGUUUGAUUCUAAUCUUUUACCAUAAUGCUGCAACUUGUAGGUACAUUCGUCCUGAAUAUUUUGGAUACUUGGAUCUACUACAGAGUUUGAGAAGGGGAGACUUCUCCUAAUUAUUUGUCUUCGUGCCUGUCUUUUUUUUUUUUUUUUAAUCCUCCAAAUAAAUUGGAUUGACUGAAUGACAACUGGUGUUAAUUAAAAGCUUUAUUUUCCUGUCGCGAAAGAUAUAAUUUGGGCAUUACACGAAUUGGUUUUAAGAUAUAGCUUCGUGCGCAAAGAUUGAGAUAUGGUGAAAUCAUAGUUCUUAAAAUGAGACUUCUGAAUGAAACUAAACACAUAAUAUGUAAUUUAGGGUUAAAAAAAAAAAAAAAAACUGGAAUUUACCCCGGCUAUACCCGGAAUCUUGGCUAUUAAUCUAGUUAUGCCCUCGUACUUCGAAAUUAUCAUAAUAUGCCUUUAGAGAUGAGUAAUGUCUAAAUUACCCUCAAAUAUCUCCAAUUACAGACGCGUUGCUGAGUACUCAACUGGCCUCGUUCUUCUCCUUCAUGAGAUUUGUUCAUCCUCCACUUUGUCAUUGAAUUUCUUCUCCGUUGGCCGCAAUAGCUUCAUCGAGAUUACCCUUAUCAACCAGAAUAAUUUCUCUCUUGUUGGUGGUGACCUAAACAAUUAAGUAUAGGUCAUAGUUAUGACGAAAAUGAAGGGCCAGAAUUCACAUGAAUUAUGCUUAAUUACCAUGGCUGCUAACUAGGCCAAAAUUAUCAUGACAAGAUCAACAGAAAGAUAAACAUAGAAGAACUGUCAGAUGCGCAAUGUUAUAUGUGUCAUUCCAUGUACCUGAAAGAUGAUUGCUUAUUCAUAAAAAAUUGUCCAAAUAGAAAAUGCAAAAAUUGAAGAAUCCCAACCUAAUCUGGUAUUAGCCAUUGUGCCCACCAAUUAGACUUACAUCUGAAUGAUGCUCAGAUUUAUCACUAUAAAUACCAAAGCUUACAGAAUCUUGAAUGCUUAAGUGAUAACCAGUAGGCUUUUUUUUUUUUUUCUCUUUUUAAUAAGAAUUACCAUAUGUUUGCUUUAUAUAUUGCCUUGGGAUGAUAAUGUCCAUCAACAAAUUGAUAUCCAGUUCCAUCCAUAUGGACAUGUAGAUCUUCUUACUCUGUACCAGAAUAUCUGUGGAAAGUAAGUAGAAUAAAUUCAAGACCCAAAGUUUUACUCUCUAGGCUCUGGUUUGGUUAAGUCAUAUAAUUUUCGGAGAAUACCACAUGUACCAAAAGCAACCCUGUCAAGUAAACUCCUCUAUUUACAUUUCAAUGAAACCACAUAAUUGAUCUAUACAGGGAAAACUGAUAGAAUUACCUCUGCUGUGCAGGAAAAUAAUAAAGAAGACGGCCUUUGUGACACCGGGAGCGAAGAAGUAUUUGUUCAAGGCCCUCAUUCUCUUUCAUUUUCAUUCCUUUACAUACUGCUCAAGAGCUCAUAAAAAAUAUUGUAAGGGUCUUAUUCAGCCACAUAUACAUAAAUAAUUCUAGAUUGUGAAAAAGUUGAAACUAUUUACUUUUAAGGAAUGAAGCAUGCAUCGACAAUGUAGUUAGUUGAGACUCAUGAAUCCUCAUUUUAAAUCCAGUGAGAAACAUUUCCCAAAACUAAGAAAAUUAUUUUUCUACUUCCAAGAAAUCCUUUGAAUACUUCUACAGAAUGAUAAGUAUUUUUCAGGGCAAAAAGACAUGCACCCAUAGUCAGCUGUUAGUAUAACAUAUCUAAAAUAGAGCCUAGAAAUCACAAUAAUCAUUUCCAAUGUAUGUAAAAGCCACAGUGUCAUGCCUAAGGAAGUACCAUUUUGGUCGCAGUCAUAUGCCAACAUCAACCCGACAUCUACAAUCAGCUUUCCAAGGGCUUUGAAAGCUAGACACCAACAAUUAACCUUCAGUAAAUGUAGAAAAUAAUUGAAAAGUGAAUUUGAAAAAUAAAUAAAUGAAUAAAAAAUCCAACAUAGACGAAAACUGUGAAAGGAACACAAGAAGAUGAGAGUGGAAGACAAGUGUAGCACCAAACAAGAAUUUCACUCCCACUUAUAGCUUCAUUUUCGAAAAAAUUGGCGGAGACUCGUACCAAAAGAUUAGAUUACUCUGAAAAUAUGCUCAUAUAAAGGAAAAAUAACGAAACCAAUAUCUGCUUCAAAAAUCGGCUGAAACUACUGUCAGUUUAAAACAACUAUUCCGAUAUAGAAUAGAAGUUGACAAUGUAAAAAAAGUGUAGACUGCAUACAAAGAAGUUUCUUCCCGGCAGUACACACUUGCGCUCACACAAAGACACAAAAAUAGAGAAGCAUAAAUUUGUUUAACUGUUUAAAUACAAGCUCUCAGAUCAUGAAUCCAAGAAAUCACAUAACUAUGAUAAACAAACCUCUCAAGAGACAAUUUCCAGCAAGCAGAACAAGUCUCUCUUAAAAGCCAAUGAAGGAAUAGAGUAAUAUUUUGUGAGAAUACCCACUCAAGUUCUGGCAGUGCACUAUGAGGCCAUAUAUUCGAACCACAAUAUGAUGGAUACCUAAAAGACAGACAACGAGAAAUAAAUAAAGCAACUAACCACAUCAAGAUUUUGCAUAUCUAAUCUAAAUAUGAGCAAAUGAACAUAGGAUGUAUAUAACACAUAUCUUUCAAAAGUAAAAAAUUCAUCCCAGCAAAUAUAUUAUAGUCUUCCAAAGAAUGUAUCAUAUGAAGAUAGAUAUAACACAAAUUUUUGUUAUCCACUUUAUCCACACACUAACAAUCAAUUUUGCCUGCCAUAAAAUCUCCAGGAACAAGGGAAUGACAGUCAACAGUACGAGCACUUGAAAUGCUGUUAAUAUCUUUUACAUUUUUAUUAAAUGGGUCUCUGUUGUAGGCACGUCUAACAAUGGAUUCGCAUAGAAGGAGCCCUUCAACAUAUCUGCACAAGAUUAGAAUUAAAAAGGUUAAGACCCUACUAGCGGGCAUAAACUGACAUGAGAAAUAUAAAAAAUAAUCAUACUAAGGCAUAGAACACCAACACUUCCUAAUAAUACGUAUCAACAUGAACCAUAUCCGAAGGUAAACAAAGAUAAUAUUGCAUUAUAACUGCAGUCUUGUCUAGCUGCCAGUGUUCAAUCCAUUUUAUGUUUCAAAAUUCCUCAAAACUUCAAAUGACUCCAUCCCUCCAUGUCCAAACAUAGGAACUCCCACUCUAUUCAAUCAUUUACAUAAAUAUCAUGGGAACGUGAAUUCUGAAAAAUAUACAGACUGCUCAUAUUAUGCCGUAUUUUAUUGAUUGCAAUAAUCACACAACAGGUGAAAUAUCUGAAAAUUGAAAUCAGCUUGGCCUGUGUUAGAACAAGAUGACCAAACUCAAGAACCUACAUCCGAAGUUUUACCUACAGACAGAGAGUGAGCGGAAGAAACAAAGAGUUAAAGCACCUCAUAUACUGUGAGAUUAUGAACUCGGAAAUAUAUUUCAAUUCCAAUGCAAGAAUACCACGCCUUCCACAAACAAAAUCACCAGAAAAAAGGUUCUAGUUGUUUUCAACUGAUUUUGGGGUAAGAAAAACCAAACCAAUCUAGAACAAUAAAUUUGUUAUUUUGAGGGGAGAUGGGGUACCUCACUGGUUUAUUGUGUGUUGGGCGGUGUAUCUGAAAUUCGUGGGAGGUGAGAAGGGGAGAGAGAGUGGUAACAAUGGUGGAAGGUCAGAAACAAGAGAUGUGUCCUUCAAAACGAGCUUCACGCCUGCAAAACAGUGAAAUAGAGGUUAGAGGUGAAGCCGGGGUACCCCGGCGUUCACACUUCGACGCUCAAGUUAGCAAACUCAAGCUUUUAUGGCAAAGAGAGCUAGCUAGCCCUCUGUAAAUUAGGGUUUAAGGUUGAAGAAAACCUAUUUUUUGGAAUGUGAGUGUUCAUGGUGAGUGAGAACAUCCUGGAGAAUGAAACAUAGGCACCUUUAUAUAUGGAGUACCUCAGCUGCCACGUGGCGUAUCCUUUUUGGCUAACGUCCUUUUACCUUUUUAUGAUUUUUGGGCCGUUAUGUGCAUGUUCGCGGCAUAUCUCACCCUUUGGAAACGUGGCGCGCGCUGGAGAGUGGUCCAGGGUACCUCUGCAGUAACUGUCGGGUAGGCGGCUGAGGACCACUGUCCUUGGGACAGUGUCCUUCACUUUUGGCAGAGGUAGCAGGCGGCUGUCCCCCCCUUUUGGUACGACGUUCUUGAUUCCUAAUUCUGACAAAAUCGAAUAAUAUCUUUUAGGAGGUGGAGACGUUUCUCAUGGCGGAUAUUUUCGGAGGAUUCUCUUGCAUCUGAUCUGCCGGGUACCUCGAGUUACGUGGGGUACCUCAAUUUAUGUGGGGUACCCUUAAUUGUGCGGGGUACCUCUAUUUGUGUGGGGUACCUCGUAUCAUGUGGGGUACCUCUAUUUGUGCGGGGUACCUCUAAUCAAGCAGGGUACUUUUAAUUACGUCGGGUACCUCUAAUUGCGCGGGGUACCUCUAAUCAGGCCGGGUACCUCUAAUCAUGCGGGGUACCUCUAAUCAGGCCGGGUACCUCUAAUCACGCAGAGUACCUCUAAUCAUGCGGGGUACCUCUAAUCAAGCCGGGUACCUCUAAUUACGCCGGGUACCUCUAAUCAUGCGGGGUACCUCUAAUCAGGCCGGGUACCUCGAAUUAUACGGGGUAUCCCAGUCUAUGCGGGGUACCUCGAGUUACUCUGGAGUUAUGCGGGGUACCUCUGACCGUGUCAGGUACCUCAAAUCAUGGCAGGUACCUCUAAUCGUGCGGGGUACCUCUAAUCAUGUCGGGUACCUCGGAUUGCACUGAAGUUAUUCCAUUCGUCGACACGUGGCGUUCUGCUAUCUUUCUUAUUUUUCCCCCAAACACUAGUUAUUGAUGAUAAACACAGUACUUCCACGGGCUGCAGGCCAUGCUAAGUAUUGCUGUUAACAGCUUUAGGUAGGAUUUAAGGAAAAUAUACUGUUUACUUUUUUCAUCAAAUAGAAAAUAUGGGACAUGACCAUAUGAGGAAAGAGAUACUUGGGUAAGGCCAUGCUAAUCAUCUAUGCGAUCAAAAGACCUAACGAUCACAGAGGAUAAAUGGCUAAACUCCAUCACCUGAGUUAAGUAGCAUAUGAUGCACUCACGAGGAGGACAUAACCAUGUGAAGACAACAUUAUUCUACUGGUAUGGCUAUCAAGGUUGGUGAGUAGAACUCUGAAUGGCAUUAUCAUAUGUGUCAGGACCUUCUGGAAUCAAUAAAGAGUUCAACUGACAUAAUACCUUUCGAGUAAGAAAUGAAAUCGUUAAGUACCAAUAAGGUGAAAGUUUAUCUUUUCAAAACAAGUCUAAGGAACCCAAUUGGUAUAAAGGGAAUAUAGAUAUAAUAAGAUCCUUCCCACAUAAGCCUAGAGCUAUCCAGAGCAAUUUAACAAACCUCUAUGCUAAGUGGAGGCCAAAGACACAUCCAAAGCAACCAAAAUAAGCCAUCAAAGGGAAUAAAGUAAAUAAAAGAAGAUGAACAGUGAAAUCAAACAACAAUACAGGAGCUAGGGGAAAGUAGAAUCAGACCUACUGUGAUGAUCUUCAAGAUCCUUCUUCACAUCUUCAGGAAGGUUAGCUAAUCUGAUAAAACAGAAUCUUGUGAACAACUUAUGUAAAAGUUACUUGUCCUAAAUAAUAUCUACCCGCAAGCUCAACCUGAGCAUUGAAAAUCUAGUUCGAAUCUUAUACCUAGGUGCAAGAUGCAGGAGAUUUUGACGCAGUGAAGAAAAUCCAGGAACCUAAAACAAAAACAGGUCAACUUCAAACAGGUAAUACAAGCAUAUUGAAAGCAAAAUGACUGACUAAUUCCUGAACAAAGACACUAGUUGUCCAAAUUUCAAAUGUAAAGACACAUACAAAAUACAUAAAUAUAGAGGGGGAACAAAAAGAGUUUCAAAAAUGGGAAGGGGACUUCAUCAAACUUGCUACUCCAUUUUGUGUUACACAUUGCCACAGGUUUCAUCAUAUUCAAAAGUUAUACUCGUUAUACCAUACUUGGCAAUGAAACUAUACAAAGCCAAUGGGCAUCUCAGUUCCGAUUAUGUACUUAAAGUUCACAUGUCCACAAAAACUUGGGCAUUGUGGAUGGUUGUUCGCCAGUCAUAACUUUGAAGUUGGGUAAAGACAAACUGGUAAGAGUAAUAUAAAUUUUUCAUCAAACAGCUGUGGGUUAAAAUCAACUUAGCUUUCAAAAGUCAGAAGAAAAUUGAAAUGUUUACCAGAAACUAAAGCUACUUUGCUUUGAAAGCACAGCUGUUAAACAACAAUACCAAACGGGGCCUUAAAUGACCUAUUAAUCUUCCAAUGUUCUUUCACAAGUUAACACAGAGUGACAAUAAUUGUCAGGAUAUAUCAAAUUCAGGUAUCGCUAUAAUGAUAUUCCGCUUAAAUUUCAGUAUCAGUUAUUUGUCAGCCAAACAGAACAUUGAAAGACUAAAAUAUGAUCAAGUAUAUACAUAUGUGCAAGUGCAACAAAAUGGACAAAUAUAUAUGAAAAGAAAAAAAUAGAAAAUUCAACUGCAAAAUUUAUUUCAUACGUCUGUAACAGAUAGAAUUCCGAGACCGUUGGGUCCAAACCCUUGUUCAAUCUUCAUCGACAAGUCAGCAUUCUUGUCCUGUUUCAAUCAAUUCAAACAACCGCCAGUAAAUUUCAAACACGUGUGUUUCACACUAGCAUACGCAGCAAGACUUUGAGAACUAACGUCCGAAGGUGAGUUGCGUAAGUCGUUUCGUUCCUAUUCGCCGUCGUUCCCGCUAAACAUUACAAAUUUAUAAUUCCCCGCAAUUAAAAUUACAAAAAAAUAUUCACAAAAAGACAAGAAAAAAGUGAUUUAUACAGUUAAAGCUAUUAUUUUAAUAUAAAAACCAUCAUCUAAUUCCCUAACUUUUCUUCUUUUAGUGUAAUACCAAAAAAAUAUAAAUUUCGGAUUAUCCUGGAUUACGUUUAAGUUACCUUUUACAUUUAAAAGCUUUAAAUUAUUUUACUUUUUGUUUUAAAAAUAAAGAGCAAAUAAUUGUAUAUUGACAAAAAUUAUUUUGUCUUCUUAACAAAAAGUAUGCCAUAUUUAGAUUUAAAAGUAAAUAAGCGAUUUAAAAAUAGCAAUUUUAAUAUAAUAAUUCUUUUAUUCAUUAAACGAGAGAAAUUUCAGCUUGACUCCUCGUGUCUGUUUUGCUAAUUUACGAUCUUUACUAGUUGAACUAAUUAGUAGAAUGGCAAUGUGUGUCACCAUAUAAAAAUGAAAUAAAUUUUUGGGUUAUUAUCAUUUUACUACUUUAAAAAUUGUCAAAUAUCAAAUGAUUAUAACAAAUAUUGUCUCCUAUCAUUUUCCUACUAUAUCUUUAUAAAAAUAUCAUUUUACUACUUUUUCGUUACAACAAAUAUCAUUUUACUACUUUUCCGUUACAACCGUUAGUUGACUCGUUAGUUUACCAGUUAGUUGACUAACAAAAUACUAAUUUUACCUUUCAUGAUUAAAAAUAAUAAUAAGACAAAUUUGUAAUCCAUAUAUCAUAAUUCCAUAAAAAAGAAUUAUGUUGGUAUUAUAUAUUCAUUUUAAUAAAUAUAUUACAAAUUUAUUUUGUAAAUAAGUUUCAAGUAUUUUUUUUUUUAAUCAUGAAAGGUGAAAUUGGUAUUUUGUUAGUCAACUAACUGGUCAACUAACGGUUAUAACAAAAAAAGUAGCAAAAUGAUAUUUUUAUAAAGAUAUAGUAGGAAAAAUGAUAGGAGAUAAUACUUGUUUUAGUCAUUUGAUAUUUGACAAUUUUUUAAGUAGUGAAAUGAUAAUAACCCUAAAUUUUUUUAUGAUUGAAUUGAUAUAAUCUGACUUAUUAAUAAUCUUAUAUUUAAUAUUAUUUGUGUUGAAUUGUUUAUUGGUGUCAUAUAUGUUUUCUCAAUUCAUUUUAUAACCAAUUUAACAAUAAUUUUGAUAUAUUUAUUAUGUAUUAAAUUCAUCUUUAUUUUUUAGUAGAAAAAUGACCGAACAACUUUUUAGCCUCUUUUUCCUUAGCUUUUAGUUAUUUGAUUCCUAAAAAAAUAGGCGUAAAUGUUAUAUUUUGAUUCUACCCAUCCCUAGGUUUUUCUUUCUUAUUAAGGGGCAAAACUAUCUUACCCCCGAUGCAACGAACACCAUUUUGGUAUUUUCUUUAGCAGUCCCUAUAGUUUUCUGUAAAUAAUAAAAACUAUAAGUUUUAAAAAUUUUAUACAAUAAGCCCCAAUUAAAAUAUAAUAAUUUCAAAAUUCUAAACAAUUUAUUGGGCAUUUUCUUCAACAAUCCCUAUUGCUUUCUGUAAAUAAUAAAAACUAUAAUUUUUAAUAAUUUUAUGUAAUAAACCCAAUUAAAAUAUAAUAACUUUAAAAUUCUAAAAAAAAUUAUCUCUCUAUCUCCUUCUCAAUCAAUUUUAAAUUUAAUUUUCAUUCUUUAUAAUUUUAAAUUUAAGUAAUAGAAUAAAUAUUAUAUAAUUUAUUUGUUUUUAUAUUAAAUAAACAAUUGAUCGGCUUCAUACGUGGGAUAAAGUAUAAGUAAUUUUACAUAAUCUCAAAUUUACUCAUAGAAAUUUAUUAUUUUGAAAAUAUUAUUUAUAAACUCUAUAAUGAAUUUAAAUGACUAUCCAAGCAUUUAUUUAAUAUUUAUUUAUUUUUCAUUUUAAUAUUGUCAAAAUUUAUAUAAACCUUAUCUAAUUUUAUGUUACACUAAAUACAAAAUAGUAUUAUUAAAUAUAAUUGGUAUUUUAAGUAAAUGGAAGUGGAGAGUAUUUUAGCAAGUUAAAAUAAUCCAUCCAUAUUUUUAAUAUAUAAAUAUGUUCAUUUAUUGAAUUACUUUUGAUAAUAAAAUAUUUAACGGACCAAUGUGUCAAAAUUUUAAAAUUUAAUCUUUUCUUAUUCUUUUAGUAAACAUAAGGGACCACAUCGUUAAUAACCAAAUGAUAACAUCUUAGCCAUUAGAAUAGCCUUUGCAACUCAUGGGUUGGAUCCAAUAAUUGGAUCACAAAAAGACAAAAAAAAAAAAGGUAUGAAACAGCAGUUGUAUUGUAGCCGAACCCUAACUUAAGCAUAUAUUGAAAGUCGAAUUGAACUCUAAGACUAAGACCUUUUUUUUUUUAGGAGAACUAUUGCUCAUGAUAUCUACAACCAUACAAAUUACUGAGAUCAGUUUAUAUGAACUUUAAUAUGACACCGCUCAGAUUUUCUUAACCCUCUUAAAUAUUCGAGGGACGUCCAACUCCCCUCCUGAGAGAAAAAUUAUCUUCACUCAAGCUCUGGAGUUCCAAGGAAAGAUAUUUAAAUUAAACUCCUGCAAUACAUCCGCGGGGGCUCGAAGCACUUCCCUCACACUUGUGAGGGAGUGACUCUAACCACUUGGGCCAAGUCCUAGUGGUUCUAAGACUAAGGUGGCGUUUGUUUUUUCGUCUGAAAUCUGAAUAGACCUGAAUUAGUCUGAAUUCUGAAUAGGUCUGAAUGUCUGAAUCUGAAUAAUAUGUUUGUUUUUUCGUCUGAAUCUCGGAAAAUAAGUAUUAAGUUGUUUGUUUUUUUCAACUUAAAAAGCUGAAAAUAUGUACUUUUACAUUUGUAUCCUUAUUAAAUUUGAAUGUCAAAUAAAUAAUAUAUUAAAUACCAUAAUAUUUUAACAUUUAUAAGUAAAACUAUAUUCAAGUGAAUACAUAAUUAUUUUGGAAUUUUAAUAUAUAAAAUACCAUAAAUUUCAAAUUUUAUUGUAUAUAAUAUAAGAAAGAAAAAAUAGGGAUAUUUUUAUGUGAGGUAAAUAUCUAUGGGUGAGUUUUGGGAUAGACAUGAAAAAUAAAUUAUAAAACAGGGAUAUUUUUGACAUUAGCAAGCAAUUGACUUAAUUCAUAUUUCUCCAUUAAGUAAAAAGCCAAAAAAAUUAGCUUAUUUUAUUAAGUCAAAAUUAUCUAAAAAGUCUCAUUAAGUUAUAAAAACAAACACCUCUAAUUAACUUAAUUAAUUAAGUUAAGUCACUUUAAGUCAUUAAGUUAAAAAACAAACACCACCUAAGACUUUAAAUCUUAGGAAAACAACUUUUUAUGCGCAUACUCAACCCUACAUUUUAAAAAGCACAACUAUACACAUUUAAAAAAAAAAACAUUAACCAUUAAUACUAAAUCUCAGUGACAUAUACGAUCAAGGAAGAAAAAUGAUGGGAUGUGAUUAUAUGAACAGUUGAACAUGUUCAUAAUUGACAUGAUCUGUGUCAUUCAUUUAUAUUUUAUUGCUUUCUACUAUAAUAUGGUUGAUGCUACAAUGCCGGGCACUGAAGGCCCGGCACCAUGCCAAAAAUGAAAAAAACCAUUGGAUUCAAUCUAAUUGAAUCCAACGGUUGAGAUUAAAUUUAUAUUAAAAAUAGAAAAAAAAUGGGUGACCUAGUAAACCAGUUCCCUGAAAGGAAAAUCCCACAAUUUCCUCUCACUUCAAUCCGAUUUCUUUGCUUUCUCAAAAGAAAAAUCCCUAAAAUUUCAUCUCUUUUUCAAGUUCAUAGUUUCUCUCAUCCCAAUUUUUUCACUCAACAAGAUCAAAUCCACGGUCUCUCUCCACUAAUCAACCAAUCGGAUCCAUCUACUCACGUAUUUUGUUUGUAUACGAGAGGUAGAGAGAGGCAGAGGCAGAGCCAAAUAUCGCGCGUUGCUUCUUUUCCAACCGUCCACUGUUACCUUCGUUGCAAUGUUGUCUACAACAUGAACUGCCAUCGAAUGAGCUGCAUGAAGCUUUUAGGGUGGCGUAUCCUGGAAUGGAACCAAAAAAAGAGUUGAGGUUUAUGUUUGGAGUCAUUCUUGGACAGGAAGAACAGCGCGAAUGAGUUGCAGGAAGAGCAGUUUGGCUCGAGGUAACUCUUCUGUUCUCGUCAUGUAAAUGACCUAGUGUUGUGAUGCGUACUAGUAAGCCCUAGUUUUUUUAUUAUCUUUGAUCAUUUUGCAUUUCCUCACUUGUAUUCUCGAGAUUUUUAUAUGUUUAUGAGUUAUGUUUAUUUGAGUCCCAACGACAUCCAUCGGUUUUUUUAUAUUUAUCAUCAAGGAGAGGUGAAAUUAUUAUUUAAUGACUAGUAUUUUGUAUAUCACUAGCAUUAUUCUUAAUUUUUUGUGAUUUUGCUUUUUAAUUUGUUUAAUUGGGUGUAGCCAUUAUAUUGUGCCUGAAUUGGUAGUUGACGUGAACUAAUCUUAUGCAUCUUGCAAGGCUAUUCAAGAGUAUAUGAAGGGAAAAUCUCUAAGUUCUCUUCAAAAUAUUAGAUUUCCUGAUUGUGUAAUGUCCUUUUUUUCUUUUUCUUUUAUGCAAUGCAGCUUGGUGUGGAAAAACACAAUGAGAGCUUAUAAACAGAAAGAGAGCUAACAAAAAUUUUAAUUUGUUCCUUUUUCUUUUCCAGCCGUUCAACCUCGAUAAUCAUUACCGAAAUCAUUACUGUGAAAGCCGAAGUUGUGACGAAGCUCCUCAAAAUAGCCGAAAGGUUUUAUUUAUAUUUUUUUUCUCUAUAAAUUUUCCUGAGAUGAUUAAUGGUUUGAAGAGAUGAUUAAUGGUUUGGAAGCAUGAAAUUGGCAAGAAAAACAUGAGAAAAUGGUGGGUUGUAGGGAGAGAGAGCGUAGGUUAUGAGUUUUAGAGAGAGAAGAAGAAACUAAAAAAAGUUAUCAAACACACUUCUGUCUGGAAAUACACUUCCUACUGGAAUAUAUCAGCUAACCGUUAUCAAAUAAACGGUGAACCGUUAUUUUCCAGAGUUAGAAUAAUAUGUUUAUGGAAAUUGUCGGUUCACCAUUAGCUCUUGUUAUUGUCUAGAAUUGUAAACACCGUUAUUGUUUAUCCUUUAGCUCUCGUUAUAAAUUCAAUUGAUACUCCAUUUAUGUAUGGUCUAUUUCAGGAUUUGAACCAUAACAUACAAUUAUAAAAUGGAGUCCACAGAAGCUAGAAGGGGAAGACCUGGUCAGAGAGCAUGGAUACACUUUUUGUAAGUAUAAAAUUAUUGCUUUGAAUAAAGUUCUUAUUAUAACUAUCAAUUAUGUUGACGUAAUUAGCUGAACUAAAAUGUUGUGUACAGUAAGCAUGAAGCAGAAAAGGUCAGGCAAGAAGGGAUAAAAAAAGUUUGUAGGGCGACAAUUGUUGAAAAAUGGAAGAAAUUAACGAAUGAGGAGAAGUGCCGAUUUGGUACAAUGCAUGAGGACCCAAGUUCAAAUGUUGGUGAAAUGAGCAUUGAAAAAACAGAUGAAGAACAAAAAAUUGAGGAUAAGCAUAGCCAAUGUAAUUUAUCUCGUUGUCGUGUCAGUGCAUUCACUAAGGUCGUUUCCACACUGUCGCCCAACCAACAAGCUACAAUUAGAGAAAUUGGCUUCGGAAGCAUGCUAGAAUUACGAUGUGGUCGCCUGAGAUAAGACUUAUGUGAAACACUUGUCCAACAAUGUGAUACAAAGAGGCAUUGUAUAGUUUUACACGGGAGAGAGUUUUGUUUAAACCCUACAACCUUCAGCAUCGUAAUGAGGAUCAAAGAUGGAGGGGAACCAGUAUACAUCCGAGAAGAAGCGGGUGAUAUAAUUGAACUGCGUGCCAAGUAUAGAAUGGGUGGAAGAGGAAUUGAAAUAGCCGCAGUUAGUGAAAGAUUGAUAGCUAGUGAGAGUAGUGAUGAUGACUUCAAGAUCAUGUUUUAUUUGUUUCUUCUAGGGACUGUAUUGUGUCCCACAAGUGCCAGCUCCAUCAAUCCAAUGUAUCUACAUGCCCUAAAAGAUGUGUAGUUAAUGAGGAAAAAGAAUUGGGCUACAUGGUGUUUCAACUUUCUGUGGGAGGGCAUAGCGAAGUAUAAAGAUCAUUAAGUGAAGUCAGUUAGUGGUUGUGUUGUGUUUUUAGAGGUAUAUUUAAGAAAUCUUAGAUGCUAUAAUUAAUUUUCCAAAUACGAAAAAUAAAAUGACGUAGUAAUUGUUUUUUGAAUGAACAGUUGUUCUACUUUAGUGCUGUUUUGUAUGAUCGGUGUUCCAUGGACAGAACAAUUUGCCCUGUUAGUGUAUGGACCAAGGAAGAGAUUCAGCGCUUAUUGAAUUGGCAGAAAAAGUUUGGGGACAUGACAAGUACUGAGGUUUGUUUUAUUUUUUGUCUUGUUCACACAUGUAUUUAAUUUUGUUUACGGUUAAUUGAAUAUAUUUUUAUUGUCAUUAUGUAUGAUUGUUGUGCAUAUUUAUUUUAGGUUCCAAUGCGUGAAUCAAAUUUUCUGCGCUCGAAAGAAAUUUCCCUCAUUUUGAACAAACCGAAGAUGCUGGGCCGAGCACUGUUAAUAUGGAGGGAGCUUUUAGGGUACUCACACAGUGUGUCCACAGAAUUGAACACAAAAUAGAUUUGUUCAAUGUGAGAAUGGAAAUGGUUGAGAAGUCUUUGGAGGAAUUGAGAUCCAAGUCUCCGGUUGGUGCACCAUCAAAACAACCAUCUGAUCCAUGCCCGCCAUCUCCGAGCUUGAAAAUAGUAGAACCAACAUGUCCAGUCAGAAAAACCGAGCCAACCACUGAUGGAAAAAACAAAAUGGUAAUGGAUAGCGACGAGGACUCUGUGGAUCGCAGAUUGAACCUGAGCCUCGAUAAAAUAAUGGGCUGGAUGGGGACAAGAGAAGGAAUCGGUGAAUUUCGCAAAGAUCUUACCCAUUUUGUCCCUAUUCCACCACCUAAUCUUCGAGAUGAGGUACAGUUUUAUAACGUCUUUUUCUUAAAAUUAUUUCAAUGAUAACUCACUUAUGAAGUAACUUACAUAUAAAUUUAUUUUUUAUAAAGGCUUACUGGACGAAACCGGAUAACCGGUUGUGAAAUCCGGUUAUCCAGAUUCGAAGGACAAGCUUGUUGUCCACAACCGGAUAACCGGUUGUGAAAUCCGGUUAUCCGGCUUCGAGGGACAUGUAAACCCAAUUGAAACAGCUUACUGGACGCAACCGGAUAGCCGGUUAUGAAAAUCGAAAAUUUGGAUUCGCGUGGCCAGGUCACUGCCAACAACCGGUAAGCUGGUUAGGAAUUUCUGGAAAUCCGAAUUCGCGUGGCUAGGUCACUGCCAACAAUCGGUAAGCCGGUUAGGAAUUUCUGAAAAUCCGGAUUCGCGUGGCUUGGUCACUGCCAACAACCGGUUAGCUGGUUAGGAAUUUCCAGAAAUCCGGAUUCGCGAGUUUAUAUAUUGUUCAUCUCCUCAUUUAUCUUUCAGUAAACCGGAUAGCUUUCUCUCUCUAUAACCGAUUAUUCCUAUCUCAUUUUCUCUCCAAAGUCCAUCAUUUUCACAUGUUUUUUUGUAAAUGGAUCCAUGGAACUUAUUUCCCAUCCGUUCUUGUAUCCAAAAUCAUCCUUCAAACCCUUUUUCAACCUCAAAAUCAAUAGAUCCGAAAUCCAUUCUAGGGUUUAAGCCGAAACUUCUCUCUCUAGAUUUCUCCCUCUGAAGCCAUUUUUUAUCGAAAUUGCUUCUUAAAAUCUCUUUCCAUUCUUAUUAUCUCCCUUCUCAUUGAUUUAUUUCACUUCAAAUUAAUCAAACUCACCAUGUCAAGCUCACGGCCGGUUCGAAGAAAAGGCAAAGAACCAGUUCAACAUACCAACCGGUCACGACAAGCAGGGGGCACAUCCAAUCAAGCCAACUUUGAGGCCACACACAUUCAGAACCACAAACAUCUAGCCAAACAAUUUCACCAAUAGUUCAUGACUCGUGAGGUACUCCAAACCUUUUUUGUUUUACCGGAUUGGUUGAAUAAUCUUAGUAUUAGCAAUAGAACUUUAUUGCAAUUGUUGGAAGAUGUUGGUUGGCUUAAUGCAAUUGUUUUUUAAGAAAAUGUAUAUCCUGACUUGGUGAAAGUGUUUUACUCGAAUAUGGAUUGUUCCGCGGAGAAAGAGAAUCAAGUAAUCACCACAGUUGGAAGAGUUUCGAUUGAGUUUGAUGAUUCAGAGUUGAACUCUAUCCUAGGAACUUCCGAUGAUGGCUUAGAAAUUUUUUUACCUAAGAAACCGCCUGAUAUUGAUGACUAUGUUCAUAUUGAUGCUGUUAAGAAUAUAUGUCGUCGUAUUGACCUUUCGGAUGACGAUUGUACUAUCAAUUUUCGCACCUGAUGUCUUUGUCUUCAAACUCGGAUAUUACUUCGUUUUAUUCAGAGUAUUGUGCUUCCUAGAUCAGGCCAUUUGGAUGAGGUUUCUCAUAUGGAUGUUGCCUUGAUUGAUUGUAUUCUUAGACAUCGUCCAGUCGACUUAGGAUACACCAUUAUCCGAAACAUGCUUAGUAUACCUAAGUUGAUUACUCGUUCCCUUCCGUAUGGUCAUUUCAUCACCCGAAUCCUCAAAUACUUUAGCGUCCCUAUCCAAGAACCAUCAUGUAGGCCAUCUAAGAGCAUUGGAGAUGAGGCUGUUAGUUCUUUAGGUUUUGAGUGUCGUAAUGACACUUGGGUGAAAGUCGCUGAUAAUAAGUUCACAUUUCUUGCUCCAAGUGAUGAUCGGCCACUUAAUGCUGUGGUUCCAGCCUAUCAGCUGCCUGAUUUUUCGCUUUCAUUUCAGGGUCAGCGUAGAGGUCGAGCUCCUUCAGUGUCUCCCUCAGCUCCUGCACCUACUUUACCACAUCCCGAGCCUCCUACUUCUGAAGAAGUUACUCUUCAGCAGCUUAUGGAUGAGGUGAGGACACUCUCUGUGCGGCAGACUGAGUUUCACCAGCAGGAGCGGCUUAUUCAUGGACAACGCCUCCUCUUUAAGCACUUCGGCAUUCCAUAUCCGUAUCCACCUCCAUCACCACCAUCCUCACCACCUCAGUAGUAUCUUAUACUUGUAUUUGGACACACUUACAUUUCAUUAUGAUUUUGGAUUAUGUAUUUGUUUUGAAUGAUAUGGAUUUGUUUUGAUUGUUUGAUAUUUCAUGGAUAAAUUAUUGUUUUGAAUUUCGAAUUUAGACCUAUUUGAAAAUAUCUAAAUGUUUUCGGUCAUUCUAUAAUUUAUGAUAUUUUGGAUCAUAUCUUAAUUUCAGAAAGUUUUGGCUUUAAUAAAGUAAUAAUUAGAAUUUCUGAAAUUGGACCUAUAUGAAAAAUUUUAUAACGCUUUGGGUCAUAACAUAGUUUCAUAUAGUUUUGAGGUCAAACUGUAUUUUAAAAACAUAAUUCAUUGUAACACUUCACGUGGAAUAUACAACUUAUCACGUCAAGUUGGCAACAUGGACGUCAAACAUGAAACGGCCAAGAAUAAUCGAGAAUUUUGGCUUUAUCCAAAACAUGCAACAUUGUAGGUCAAACAUGAAAUCCUACUGUCAGACAUACAACAACUGACGUUAAACAUGAAACUUGCAACACUUCACGUGAAAUAAACGACUUAUCACGUAAAGUUCGCAACAUGGACGUCAAACAUGAAACAGGCGAGAAUAUUCUUUAUUUUGGCUUUAUUGAAGACAUGCAACCUCUAACGUAAAACAUGCAACCGUUACGUCGGACAUGCAACAACUAUCGUUAAACAUGAAACUUACAACACUUCACGUGUAAUAUACGACUUAUCACGUAAAGUUUUCAACUUCGACGUCAAACAUGAAACAAACGAGAAUAUUUCGGAAUAUUCUUUAUUUUGGAUGUAUUCAAUACAUGCAACAUCUUCCGUCAAACAUGAAAUCCAACCGUCGAAUAUGCAACAAUUAACGUUAAACAUGAAACUUGCAACACUUCACGCGAAAUAUGCAACUUAUCACGUAAAGUUCGCAACAUGGACGUUAAAUAUGAAACGGGCGAGAAUAUUCUAGAAUAUUCUUUAUUUUGGCUUUAUUCAAGACAUGCAACCUCUAACAUAAAACAUGCAACCGUUACGUCGGACAUGCAACGGCGGACGUUAAACAUGAAACUUGCAACACUUCACGUGAAAUAUACGACUUAUCACGUAAAGUUCGCAACAUGGACGUCAAACAUGAAACGGCCAAGAAUAAUCGAGAAUUUUGGCUUUAUCCAAAACAUGCAACAUCGUACGUCAAACAUGAAAUCCUACCGUCAGACAUGCAACAACUGACGUUAAACAUGAAACUUGCAACACUUCACGUGAAAUAUACGACUUAUCACGUAAAGUUCGUAACAUGGACGUCAAACAUGAAACGAGCGAGAAUAUUCGAGAAUAUUCUUUAUUUUGGCUUUAUUGAAGACAUGCAACCUCUAACGUAAAACAUGCAACCGUUACGUCGAACAUGCAACAACUAUCGUUAAACAUGAAACUUGCAACACUUCACGUGUAAUAUACGACUUAUCACGUAAAGUUCGCAACUUCGACGUCAAACAUGAAACAUACAAGAAUAUUUCGGAAUAUUCUUUAUUUUGGUUGUAUUCAAUACAUGCAACAUCUUCCGUCAAACAUGAAAUCCAACCGUCGAAUAUGCAACAACUAACGUUAAACAUGAAACUUGCAACACUUCACGCGAAAUAUGCAACUUAUCACGUAAAGUUCGCAACAUGGACGUUAAACAUGAAACGGGCGAGAAUAUUCGAGAAUAUUCUUUAUUUUGACUUUAUUCAAGACAUGCAACCUCUAACGUAAAACAUGCAACCGUUACGUCGGACAUGCAACAACUAACGUUAAACAUGAAACUUGCAACACUUCAUGUGAAAUAUACGACUUACCACGUAAAGUUCGCAACAUGGAACGUUAAACAUGAAACGGGCGAGAAUAUUCGAGAAUAUUCUUUAUUUUGGCUUUAUUCAAGACAUGAAACCUUUAACGUAAAACAUGCAACCGUUACGUCGGACAUGCAACAACGGACGUUAAACAUGAAACAUGAAACUUGCAACACUUCACGUGAAAUAUACGACUUAUCAUGUAAAGUUCGCAACAUGGACGUCAAACAUGAAACGAGCGAGAAUAUUCGAGAAUAUUAUUUAUUUUGGCUUUAUUCAAGACAUGCAACUUCUAACGUAAAACAUGCAACCGUUACGUCGGACAUGCAACAACGGACGUUAAACAUGAAACUUGCAACACUUCACGUGAAAUAUACGACUUAUCACGUAAACUUCGUAACAUGAACGUCAAACAUGAAACGGGCGAGAAUAUUCGAGAAUAUUCUUUAUUUUGGCUUUAUUCAAGAUAUGCAACUUCUAACGUAAAACAUGCAACCGUUACAUUGGACAUGCAACAACUGACGUUAAACAUGGAACUUGCAACACUUCACGCAAAAUAUGCAAUUUAUAACGUUAAGUUCGCAACUUCAACGUCAAACAUGAAACGGACGAGAAUAUUCCGGAAUAUUCUUUAUUUUAGAUUUAUUCAACACAUGCAACAUCAUACGUCAAACAUGAAAUCCGACCGUCGAAUAUGAAACAACUGACGUUAAACAUGAAACUUACAACACUUCACGCGAAAUAUGAAACGUAUCACGUAAAGUUCGCAAUUUCGACGUCAAACAUGAAACGGACGAGAAUAUUCCGAAAUAUUCUUUAUUUUGGCUUUAUUCAACACAUGCAACAUCUUACGUCAAACGUGCAAUCAAUACGUCGGAGAUGCAACAACUGACGUUAAACCUGAAAUACUAUUUUUUUCAUUUUCAAUUUCUUUAUUUUUUGCCAUUUUAUUUAAUUAUAUUAUAUUGUAUUAUAGGGUUUCUAUUAUAUUAUUUAAUUUUUUUAUCUUUUGCUAUUAAUUAUAUUAUAAAAAACUAUUUUUGACAUUUUAUUUAAUUUUUCAUUUUUAUAUUGUAUUUUUAAUAUAUUUUUUAAAAAAAAUAUGGUGCAACCGGUUUGUUAACCGGCUGCACCAAGUCUUUGGCUGCCAAAUGGCAGCCAAAGACAGCCUGGCUCUCUUUUUGAGAGCCCGGCAUGGUGCCGGGUACAAUGCCAAUGGCACUGUAGCCAAACCCUAAUAGAAUUUCGGGUUUGGCUACAAUGUCGUUGGCAUUGUAGCCGGCACCAUGCCGGGCUCUCAAAAAGAGAGCCAGGCUGUCUUUGGCUGCCAUUUGGUAGCCAAAGACUUGGUGCAGCCGGUUAACAAACCGGUUGCACCUUUUUUUAAAAAAAAAAAUAAAUAUUAAAAAUACAAUAUAAAAAUGAAAAAAUUAAAUAAAAUGUCAAAAAAAUAGUAUUUUAUAAUAUAAUUAAUAGCAAAAGAUAAAGAAAUUGAAUAAUAUAAUACAAUAUAAUAUAAUUAAAUAAAAUGUCAAAAAAUAAAGAAAUUGAAAAUGAAAAAAAUAGUAUUUCAUGUUUAACGUCAGUUGUUGCAUGUCGGACGUCCCGGUUGCAUGUUUGACGUUAGAUGUUGCAUGUUUUGGAUAAUGACAAAAUAAAGAAUAUUCUCGAAUAUUCUCGCCCGUUUCAUAUUUGACAUCCAAGUUGCGAACUUAACGUGAUAAGUUGUAUAUUUCACGUGAAGUGUUGCAAGUUUCAUGUUUAACAUCAGUUGUUGCAUGUCGGACGUCCCGGUUGCAUGUUUGACGUUAGAUGUUGCAUGUUUUGGAUAAUGCCAAAAUAAAGAAUAUUCUUGAAUAUUCUCGCCCGUUUCAUAUUUGACGUCCAAGUUGCGAACUUAACGUGAUAAGUUAUAUAUUUCACGUGAACUGUUGCAAGUUUCAUAUUUAACAUCAGUUGUUGCAUGCCGGAUGUUCUGCUUGCAUGUUUGAAGUUAGAUGUUGCAUGUUUUGAAUAAAGCCAAAAUAAAGAAUAUUCUCGAAUAUUCUCGCUCGUUUCAUGUUUGACGUCAAAGUUACGAAGUUUACGUGAUAAGUUGUAUAUUUCACGUGCAGUGUUGCAAGUUGAAUGUUGAACGUCUGUUGUUGCAUGUCCGACGUCCCACUUGCAUGUUUGACGUUAGAUGUUGCAUGUUGAACGUAAAGCCAAAAUAAAGAAUAUUCUCGAAUAUUCUCGUUCGUUUCAUGUUUGACGUCGAAGUUGUAAACGUUUCGUGAUAAGUUGUUUAUUUCACGUGCAGUGUUGCAAGUUGCAUGUUUAACGUCCGUUGUUACAUGUCCGAUGUCCCGCUUGCAUGUUUGACGUUAGAUGUUACAUGUUUUGGAUAAAGCCAAAAUAAAGAAUAUUCUCGAAUAUUCUCGCUCAUUUCAUGUUUGACGUCCAAGUUGCGAACUUUACAUGAUAAGUUAUAUAUUUCACGUGAACUGUUGCAAGUUUCAUAUUUAACGUCUGUUGUUGCAUGUCGGAUGUUCUGCUUGCAUGUUAGACGUUAGAUGUUGCAUGUUUUGAAUAAAGCCAAAAUAAAGAAUAUUCUCGAAUAUUCUCGCUCGUUUCAUGUUUGACGUCAACGUUACGAAGUUUACGUGAUAAGCUGUAUAUUUCACGUGCAGUGUUGCAGGUUGCAUGUUGAACGUUUGUUGUUGCAUGUCCGACGUCCCGCUUGCAUGUUUGACGUUAGAUGUUGCAUGUUGAACAUAAAGCCAAAAUAAAGAAUAUUCUCGAAUAUUCUUGUUCGUUUCAUGUUUGACGUCGAAGUUGUAAACUUUUCGUGAUAAGUUGUAUAUUUCACGUGCAGUGUUGUAAGUUGCAUGUUUAACGUCCGUUGUUACAUGUUCGACGUCCCGCUUGCAUGUUUGACGUUAGAUGUUGCAUGUUUUGGAUAAAGCCAAAAUAAAGAAUAUUCUCGAAUAUUCUCGUCCGUUUUAUGUUUGAUAUCUAAGUUGCAUACUUUACGUGAAAGGUUGCAUAUUUGACGUGAUAUGUUGUAGGUUUCAUGUUUAACAUCAAUUGUUGCAUGUUAGACGUCACGGUUGCAUAUUUCAGGUUAAAUGAUGCAUGUUUUGAAUAAAGGCAAAAUAAAGAAUAUUCCCGAAUAUUCUGGCCCGUUGCAUGUUUGACGUCUAAGUUGCAUACUUUACAUGUUAAGUUGCAUAUUUGACGUGAAAUGUUGUAGGUUUCAUGUUUAACGCCAGUUGUUGCAUGUUUGACGCUAGAAGUUACAUGUCCUGAAUAAAGUUAAAAUAAAGAAUAUUCCCGAAUAUUCUCACCCGUUUCAUGUUUGAUGUCAAAGUUGCAUACUUUACGUGAUAAAUUGUAUAUUUAACGUGACUUGUUGCGGGUUUCAUGUUUUACGUCUAUUGUUGCAUGUUGGACAUCGCAGUUGCGUGUUUGGCGUUAGAUGUUGCAUGUCUUGAAUAAAGCCAAAAUAAAGAAUAUUUCUGAAUAUUCUCGCCCGUUUCAUGUUUGACGUCAAAGUUGCAUACUUUACGUGAUAAAUUGCAUAUUUAACAUGACUUGUUGCGGGUUCAUGUUUUACGUCUAUUGUUGCAUGUUGGACGUCGCGGUUGUAUGUUUGACGUUAGAUGUUGCAUGUCUUGAAUAAAGCCAAAAUAAAGAAUAUUUCUGAAUAUUCUCGCUUGUUUUAUGUUUGACAUCAAAGUUGCAUACUUUACGUGAUAGGUUGCAUGUUUGACGUAAAAUAUUAUAGGUUUAUAUAAAAUAACUAAUUAUAAAAUGAGAGUGCAUUUCAAAAUUCCUUGACAAAUCAAGUGAUAAUUUAUAACUAAACUUAUUUUUUCAAAUUUUUUAUUAUUAAUUAAGCCAAUCUAUUAAGAAACAAAUGAAAAUUAAAUUAAAUUCAACUUUUACCUAAUAAAUAUAUUUAGGAAUAUAUCUAAUUAAACUGGUACACAAAUUACAAAUGUUUUCAUGAAAUUACAUAUAUAAGUUUAAUAGUCUCACUAUUUUUUACAUGAUUGAUAAAAUGAUGGCUUUGGAAAGAACUUGUGAUAUGAAAAGAAAAAUCUAGUUAAUUAUAAUAAAAUUACAUAUCUAAUCCAACCUUUUUUCCUUAUUUUAGUCAGAUAAUAGUUUUGAAAAUAAUUUGAUAAUUCAAGUGAUAAUGUCUAUUCUUAUUUGUUGUAUAAUAUUUUUUUAGGUGCAUUUCAUUUCAUUUUUAUUUUUUUAGAGAAUCUAAUCAUGGUGGAUAUUUUAAAUUACUAAGUCAUGAAAAUUUUGAAUUCAAUUGAAAUUUACAAUCUUUUAUGAAUGAAAAUAUACAGCAAGACAAAAAAAUUGAGAUAAAAAGAAAAUGUGGUAGAAAGAAAAGGCAACAUCAAUAUGAUCAUUUUCUAAGAAAAAUUAAGGCAAAAUCUUCCAAGUAAUAUGGUCAAUUUCAAUAAAAUUACAACUUACUAGAGUAUAUCCAUCUACUAAACAUCCAAAGUUCACAACAUAAUUUUUGAAUAUCACCAAUAACAUCCCCAGUCCUAAAGAUUGCAACAAAUUCAUGUAACAUUUGAGAGUAUUGUUUGGGGGUAAAAACAUCGUGACCAGGUACGCAUAAGUAGAAUGCGCACCCCUCAGUCGGCCUAAGGCGACUCCUUGAGGAAAGUCUUCCCCGACGAGUUGAGCAUUGGAGGGUUUAUGUUAGAAAAUCCUCCGACAUCCCCUGACUAGUUGUUAUGAACGCAAGCAUCCUUGGAGAAAGAGCUUGAGGUCCCAAGAGCCUAUUCGAUAAGAAAGAUAGAAGUACAAACCGACUCCCCAACAACUACUAAUUUAAGUGUUGGCGUGGUUGUCUGGUCGCUUCACAACUCGACCAGAAUUCAACAUCAACAGAUAUUUUAGAAUCUAGUGUAUCUUCAAUAAUUUUGGAUUAAAUUGUAUGACACUUUUUUCUUUCUUUUUUUUUUGUGAAAACAAAUUUUAGUACACUUAUUUUAAAAGAAAUUUGUUAAUGAAAAACAAAAUAAUGACAAUGAAGAGCACUCAUUUAUAAAAAUAAGCUACAAAUAGGAAAACAAAAUUCAUAUAAGUAGAAUCUCCCAAAAAAUAAAAGCAUUGUCAAAUUGAGUUACAAACUAAUAAUAAUUUCAUCAAAGUUUGUAAACUAAAGAUUGUCCUAAUAUCAAAAAGUUUCCAAUAAAACACUUAUGCCAGAUAAUUUAUAGAACCUAGUAAUAUCCAACUGAAUUCUCCCCUGCAAAUAAUUAAAAUUUUCAAGUUAGUCAAUAAGAAAAAACAGCCAUCAAUCAUAAUAAGAAGCAACAACAAAUUACACUAAAAAAAUAGCAGAAAAAAGCACCAAAACAACAAAUAUAAACAAGAAACAACAAUAAAAAAAAAACCCAAAAAUGGCAAAAAGAGAUGCUCAAAGCAGCAAUAAAUUUAUAAAAAAUACCCUAAAAUAGCAAGAAAACUACCUAAAACCAGAAAAAAAAAAUCUAAAAUAGCAGCAAAAUCUUCCAUUGCCAGAUAAAGCUAUGAAAGAAAAGAAAUAAAAUUCAUAAAGAGUCAAAGCUAACAUACUGACCACUUGCUAGAAAUUAAGCUAUAAAUCCCAAAUUUUUACACAAAUUAAUAUCUGAAACAAGAUUGGUUUGAUAUAUGAUAGUCAAGUAAAAUACCUAUAAAGUAGUACAAAAUCAGCAAACCUAAUGGCUUCACUCCACUCAUUUUCUUAAGACUCCAGUGAUGAGAAGCUGCCAACAGAAUGAUAAAUUGAGGUUUGACAGGAAGCACACAAACUAAACAAGAUACAUAACAACUUUGUUAUCCAUGUUACACCCUAGAACCAUUUCUAGGAAUAUUUGUUAGAAUAGCCACCAUAACAGUUGAUGAGCAACAUAAAACAGAGACAACAACAAAACCAGCAACCUGCAAAGUGCCAAUUCUUCCAUAAUUAAAUCAGAUAGACAAUAGAAAUAAUUUACUAUUAAAAUCCCAAAUUCAUUUUAUCUUCUUCCUGCAUUUUCUCAUCAAUCAAACAUAAAAGAGAGCUCCUAUCGACAUAUGCAAACAGCACCCACCAUCUUGUCACAUUCAAACACAACCCAAGAUCACAAAAGUUAAUUUUCCAGAUUUAGUUAACCAAAGAAAAUAUACCAUCAAUUGGAUCACCUUAUAAAUCAAAUACAAUUACACGAUAUUACCAACCUCCCAAAAAAAAAAGGCACAAACUUUAAAAUGAAAACAACACCACCAUGAAAAAUAAGCAAAAGUGGGUAUUUGAAUCAAACAUGAUAGAAUGCAACAAAAGCAAAAAAGCUUUCCAUAGAAGCCAGAGCCAGAUUGGGUACAAGCAAGCUAGGAUGUACCAAUUAAAGAUGCUUCAUUCAAGAACAGAAAAGCUACCAGAAUGAUAAAAGUAGAAAAAAUGAAACAAUAAAUAGAAAAUUGGGUGAAGCUGCAACAAUAGUUUCAAUCACUUAACAGUACCAGCAAACUUAUAGUCAACUUUAAGAACUAGAUGUUUAAGCCACAGAUAACGGGGACGUACCCAUGAGGAUAAAGACACAAGCGUGAGACCAGCAAAGCCGCCCAUCCUUAACUUGUGCAGCAGACAAAGUCGAAUGAAAAAGGAGGCAACGACGGUAGCGACGGAAACGGCUGGAUCGGAAGCGAACAGCUCAAGAUGAAAGCAACAAGUUAAUGGAUUGGAUUGUGUGCGCGUGAUGUGGCUUCGUUUUUAUUUGGUUAGUCAAGAAAUCGAAGAGAGAAAUUUGUGAUUUCUGAGAGAGAGGCAAGAAAUUGAGAGAGAUUGGGCGCGGUUGAAACACCUAAAUUAUUAAAAUAUAAAUUUUGCAGCGUUUGGGAACUGGUUGCUUCGGUUGCCCUUUUUUUGUUUUUUUAUUUCUUUUCAAUGUCAGCCGUUGGAUUCAUUUUACUUGAAUCCAACGACUGCAUUUACAAGCCAGCACAAUGCCGGGCCUCAAUGCCCGGCAUUGUAGCUUUAGCCUAUUAUUUCAAUAUGUAGUUUAUUCAAGUUUUCAAGUUUUGUUUUUAAAUUCACACCCCUCUCUCUCAUUCUUCUCUCUCUGUGUGUUUGCUGAACUCUCAAUGGCGAGCAACGUUCAGCACCUCACCCAAACAAUCCGACUCUCUUUCCCAUCUCUUCACAAUUUCAAAGCUUCUGAUGCUUUUACGAAUAAGAGUUUAAUUACCACAUUUCCAGUACGUUUCUCUUUUCACAGCUCAGCAAAAUUAACUACUUCUAUUCGCUCUUUACCAGUCGCUACCGCUAGCAUUAGCUACAGAAGCAGCUGUACCUUCACUUGGGACGACGUCGUUCGAGUUUCUCAACCAGAAUACUCCCCUGACGAUUCUUCCGAUCUCCGUGGCUACUUCGAGAAAAUCAAAAUCUGCAAUCGUGGCUCAGUUACUAUUUCAAAUUCCUCAUCAAACAAAUAAAUUUUGCAACCUUUAUUUUGCUGCACUUAAUUCAUUUUCUUAUCUUUUAAUUAUUAUUAUUUUUAAGGAAAUGCAAUCCGAGUUUUUUCCUUUUAUCAUCGAGGACCAAGUUGUUGGUUACACACAUAAUCGGUACAAUUUCUUUAUCCUCAUAAUAGAAAAUAGAUUAUGUCUAUUUAUUCCUGUUAGGGAUUUUAAAUUCUGAACAAUUCUUUUUUUCUUUUUUGAUUCAUUUUUGAAUCUAAGCAGUUUCGCUAGCCGCCUGAGGAAAUACGACGACGUAUUCAUAUACUCUGAAAACAACGGAGGUCGAUUUGGCAGUCACCUGAAGUUAAAUUCAAAGCUGAAAACAGCCGAUGAGAGGACGAGAGUUGUUGGAGAAGUGAUUAAAUGCUUGGCCGAAGAAGAAUUGAUUCCAGGUAUACGGAAUGAGGUACUGCUAGCUUUACUUUUGAUGUUUAUAUAGGAACUGAAUCGAUUCUCUUUCACUUUUGAAUAUAUGCUUCGUGCUUGUGACUAUGUCCAUAUGAUGUGUAAUUUGCAAUUGAUUUUUUUGAGAUUGAUUCAUUUUGGAUUUCAUUGGUUUAUAAUCAGCUCUAUCCUGUAACAUCAACCUUUGGUUCUCCGAUCUUUUUCUCGCUGGAACGUGCCGCUGCUCCUUACUUUGGAAUAAAGGUGAGUUCAUGACUUUUGCUUUGCAUCAAGGAUACUUGUGCAUAAAGUUAGAGAUACAAUAAGUUAGUGAUCAUGAGAUGUUUAUUGCAGAUAUGAUCACAUGAAACAGUUGUCUUGUUAAGUGUCUAUGUUUGGAUCUAGUCACCAUCGAACUUUGUCUAUUUUAUUACUUUGUAUAUUACUUUGCUUUCUGGUAAUAGACUGAAUUAUAAUUUACUUGGCUAUUGAUGGUUAUAUUGCUGUUCCUUUCUUCCUGAAUUUGAAAAUAGGCUUAUGGAGUUCACAUGAAUGGUUAUGUUGAAAAAGACGGGCGAAAAUUUCUAUGGAUUGGAAAACGAAGUCAAGUCAAACCUACUUAUCCAGGGAUGCUUGAUCAUCUAGUUGCUGGAGGAUUGGUAUGUAAUAAUAACCUUUCAUUGCUUUUCUUUGGUUGAUAGUAUUGGAUUCUUCUUUUGAAUUGCAUUGAGUUUACUUUUGUUUUGAAAAAAAGGACAGUCGUCAGCUGAUUCUCCUAAGCCCUUUUUGUGAUCGGAAAAAAGUGCCAAACAUGUAUUGCAUGAGUAGGGCACAGCUGGAUCCUCAUAUACUUGAAAUUCACUGAUGACCUUCAUUUGAAAUUGGAAUAGGUUGCUUACUAAAAAAUAGAUUAAUAAGGUUUUUCUUCAGCAGUGGACUCCAAUAUGACUGCAGUUGAUUAUUGUAACAAGAUUGACUUCUGAAGUGCUACUAAGGCUUAAGAAUCAAUUAGUCCUUGGAAAUUCUCAAAAUAGUAGGAAGAAGGCACAACAUUAUCCAAUGGCUGUUUGUCAUUCUGUGGUAGCAUAAAAGAAUAAGAGGGAAGAGGCAAAAGGUCAUUCUGAAAAAUGCCAUUUCUAUGGUGCCAUUUGUAAAACAUGCAAGCAAAAACGUAGGGGGCAAGAGAAACUUUGCGGACAUUUGUUUCUGUUAUUUUUCGGUUGGACUGAUUUAUCUCUUUACUAGUUAUAUAUGUUUUCAAGUUUAAACUUAGUGGUUUGGGCAGCUGGCAAAUAUUUGUCCAUGUUAGUCUGUAAUGAGAAAAUGAUCUUGAAAAGCCUUUAGUGAACCAUGGAAACUUGAGCUCAGAACAAAUAUCACUUGGGCAACAAACCCUGUGCAAUUGGAAAACAAUAGGUGUUCUUCCUUGUUGCAAUACUUGGAGAUUCCAGUUCAGUUACUGCAAUUGGAGAAAGAAUUUAUAUUAAUGAAAACUAUGGAUUCAUUUCAUUUAAAAAUGUUUUCUCUAAUCUUUAUGCUCAGUUAUCUGAACCAACGCUUCAUCUAUAUAAUCGUGAUGGUGAUUGCAGCCCCAUGGUAUUGCUUGUGGGGAGAAUAUUAUCAAGGAAUGUGAAGAGGAAGCGGGAAUACCUAGAUCCAUAUCCAAUAGGUAAGCUGUCCCCAUGCCACAUUGAUUCUAAAUUUGAGUACUAAUUGUAUUUAACUAUAUUAUAUUGGCUAAAAAUGUGAACUUUGCUAAAGUUCCACUCCACAUGUCAACAUUCUGAUUAAACCGUGCUUCUUUUGUGGAUGAUUGGUUGUACUAAUGGGUCCAGAUAUACAUCUUUCACAGAGCUAGACCAGUGGGAGCUGUUUCCUAUAUGGACAUUAAUGGGUUUAGUUACAAAAGAGAUGUUCUAUUUUGUUACGAUUUGAAGCUACCUGAAGAUUUUGUUCCUAAGAAUCAAGGUAACUGUAUUAAAGCUUGAUCUCAUUGAUGCCCAUUUUCUUCCCUAGUGAGAAUAAGGUAUAAAAGCAAUAUUUCUUGAGCUGCAAACUAGUAUUAGCAUUCCUACUGUUAAAUAUUUAUACAUGUCAAUCUAUAACAUACAGCCGCUGCAGUUUUAGAAGAGAAUUAUAUCUAUUCAUUGUAAUAGCUUUAUUAAACAUGUUGCAGACGGAGAGGUAGAAAGCUUCCAGUUGAUCCCUGUGGCACAUGUUGCAAAUGUCAUAAGGAGGACAGAGUUCUUCAAGCCAAAUUGCUCCCUAGUCAUCAUUGAUUUCUUGUUUCGACAUGGGUAUUAGCACUUUUCUUGAUUGCUUCUUGUAUCUCUCUCAGUUUGAGACUUUCAGUAAUCAGUUAAAAAGAUUAAAAUAAAUAAAUAAAAACUAGCAUAUGUGACAGCCAUAUAAUAAAUAAAUAAAUAGAAAGCAUAAUCACUUCUUUUUUUUUAAUUUUUUAUUAACUGUCAAUUUGUGGCAAUGGUUGCUGUUUUUCUUAUGAUAGUGGACUCUUCUGCCCUGUAGAAAUGAUAAAAGCAACAGUGUGUAAUUGUAAUGAAUCUUAAAUGUUUGCUCUACUACUACUAAUAUUCCCGUGUGCUUCUGUUUAGUUUUAGGAAUCUUUUAGAUGUCUUUGGGUUUUCUUUUUCAUGAUUUCAUACAUUUAUUGUUUAUGCUGAUUAAAAUUGUUACAUAUUAGGCUAGGGAAAUUGCUCCAGGAUUUUAUUUCUGACACUCAUAUGCACUUCCUACAAUUUCAAUGAAUCUCGAGAUAUGUCCUUGAUUUUUCUUGUAAUGUCCAUACAUUGAUGCUGGUUGAUAUUAGAUAGAUUUGAAGGGAUUCAUGCUCAAAGGCCUUGUUGUAGUUCCUCCUUUACCAUUAAGAAAAACUCAGCUGUAGCAUAUCAAUCCAUCCCAGUUUGAUUCUAAUCUUUUACCAUAAUGCUGCAACUUGCAGGUACAUUUGUCCGGAAUAUUUUGGAUACUUGGAUCUACUACAGAAUUUGAGAAGCGGAGACUGCUCCUAAUUAUUUGUCUUCGUGCCUAUCUUCUUUUUCUAUUUUUUUUUAAUCCUCCAAAUAAAUUGGAUUGUCUGAAUGACGAUUGAUGUUAAUUAAAAGCUUUAUUUUCCUGUCGCGAAAGAGAAAAUUUGGGCAUUACAUCAAUUGGUUUUAAGAUACAGGAUCGUGCGCAAAGAUUGAGAUAUGGUGAAAUCACAGUUCUUAAAAUGAGACUUCUGGAGGAAACUAAACAUAUAGUAUGCAAUUUAGGGUUAAAAAAAAAGGAAAAAGAAAAAGGAUUGGGCGGCGCUCGCAUUAGCUUCCCAUCACCCAGGAUUUGGGCCCUAUUUGAUAUCCAGGUUGACCUUUAAAGGUUACAACACUAAGGGCAGGCCUGCCCGCCCAGCCCAUUUGCCAUACCUGUGGUACUAUUGAGAGAAAGGAAAAUCGGUUAUCAAGAACAAAAGGCCGCGCAAUUAACUGGUGGAAUUCUAUUUUUACCCAAUAUUCUUCUGCACUUCAAAAUGGAUCGAGAGAAAACUAGACAAGAAAACAGUAAGAUACCUUAACUGUGCCAAAUGGAAAAGCAUUUGUCUAAUGCAUAAUUAUUAUAUUUCUUGAAGAUGUAAUUUUUUUUCCAGUAAUAGAUAUCUAGGAUCCACUUGCUUAAGAUGUAAAUAUUGAUCGAUAGAUAUCUAUGUUCCAGGCGCGUAACUAGGACUGCUCUGUAUUAGAGCCUCACACUUUCAAUUCUUCAACUCCUGUGCCCAGUGGUUCAAAUAAAGCUUCAACUUGACUUUGGUUGACUUCCUCCAAGCUUGCUGGGUUCCACUUAGGAUUCUGCCAAAAACAUGAUAAUCCACUGAGAAAACUACAUGCGCAUUACCAUUAUGGGCCUCAAUAAGUUUAUCCGCUACUAUGCAUUACCAUCACAGGCCUCCAUAAAUUUAUGGACUACUAUGUGUUUAUGUAAUUUAGUCAACACCUAUUUAAUGAUAUUUGGAACUUGUUAAGCUUUAGAACGGGAGAAGCAUUCUAUAAAGGGAAAGAUUAUUUGCACCAUUAGCUAGUAUCCUCCUAAUUUCAUCGAUGGAAAGGGAUGCAGAAUCAGUUCAAAAAAUUUAUUCAAGUUUUAAUUGACUAAAGAGAACCUGAUCCUUGUCCACCAAGACUGCUCGAACACCUUCAGCAAAAUCACUUCGCAAAGAAGAUCUUAAGGCAACUCGAUAUUCAUAUUUCAUUACCCCGCUUAGCUGAAUGGGAACCAAGUGUAGAAGGAAAUAUAUGUUACUUUUGACUGUUUCACCUUUAUAGGAGGAAAUCACGGAGUAGUACAAACCAAAAAGAUGAAAAAUAGAAUUCCAACUUACCUUUGAUAAUUCAUUGUCAGUUUUUCCAUGUGCUGAUGCAACUUUAGAGAAGUACUUUUGUGUUAAGCAAAGAGAAAAUGGAGCACCUUUCCCCAUUCCUUGAAGGGCCUCAUCAGCCCAUUGUGCCACUGAAGGAAGACAAAUGGAAUCAGAACUGUGGUGAACAUCAACACAAACCUAAUCAACCCAGUAUAAUCAACGCCACUUUAACAUCGACCAAAAAAUUUCUGAGGACACCAAUGUCACUUAUUACGUUGUUCUCAUUUCCAUAGACAAAACGGCUAAAUAGCUUACCUGAAGUCUCAGUGCUUGAUUGAUGUUUCUUUAGCUCUUCAAUUAUCUGCCUAACUGACUUUUCUGAACUAAAGCAUGAAGUAAUUUGAGGCAAAAGAAGCUUCAGUGGGGCUUCACCCUCAGGGUCACUGCUAUAUUUUGCCAAAACUGCUACAAUAUCCUGAUGCGGAUCUUCGGAACUGUAACACCAAUAAUCAUUUUGACCUUUUAGUGGCAGCUGGAAAUCUAAAAAUUGCAACAAUACGCAGAUGUUUUGAUAAAAAAACAUGAAUAAAUCCCAGAUCCAGAAAGUAAAUACAUUACAAAAUUCACUUUGUUAGAACAAUUUAGCUUUAUACAAUAGAGAAACAAUGUUCUAGACCUACCACCUACCAUGAGAACACUCAGCAAGAACAAUACAAAACUAAAAACUUCACAGAGUGAUGGAUCUCUUAUUACCUCACCAUUGCUAAAAUAAAGGAUGUCAAUAACUGGAAUUUGUUUUAAUUUAAGCAAUCCAAGCACUAAAUGUGGAUUCAUUUCCAUUGAAACAAAAGAUGGAAUAUAAGAUAGAAAGAUAAUUGAAGACAUACAAGGUAACUGCCAAAAGGGCCUCCUUCAGUGAACCUAAAUUCCCCGAUGGCACAUAAUCCGUUCCAAGUCCAGCAAAGAGUGCAUCAGAAGGUGUGGAAAUUCUCUUUCCCGUCAUACCAAGAUAAGCACCUGCAAUAUUUUAGGAUUUCAAGUGACUGAACAUUCAACAACAGAGCAUCAACUAGAGUCACUAGACAAUCAGUUUUCUGGAAGAAAGACGAGAAAGAAAUCCAGCAUGAACGGAGAGGUCCUAAUAAAUUCACAGAGGCCAAGGUCUCACCAAACAAGCCAAAAUCCCACCCCAUUUUUUAGAGCAAUUUUUGAAAAAAAGGGAGAAAAGCUAAUUAAAACGACUUGCUCACUAGCUAGAUAUUAUCCACUUUGGGCUUCACACAUUUGUCCUUCACCCUCAUAUUUUUGUUCUUGGUAUGGGUCCAAUCCCACCUGAAAGACUGCUUUCUAGUUUAAGGAAGGUCACCCCUUCUAAGCUCAUUACUCAGAUCCUCCCAAGCAAUGUGGGAUGAAACAGUUAUGUCAAAUAAAUUAUUAAGGCAACAAAGAUAUAAGUUUGAAAUAUUUAGAUGAGAUGGUCAGAUAACAGGUUGGAAGGUAGGAAUACAUUUAACGUGAUGGAAAUGCAAAAUUGAUUUUCAAACUGAGAAAGAAUUAGGGGGUUCAAGGAAAUUAGAAUAGAGGCAAUCCCUAUGUUAGUCCCCGACCAAAAAAAAAAAGACAAUUUACGACAAAUAGAGAAAAAAAUAUCACAUUGUUAGGAGAUAAAAAUCUUAAUGAAGAAAGAUUCGAAAGUAGCUCGCCUAUGAUCCCACAUCCAAUCUAAAUGACUAAGAAACCAUACGAUGCAUGCAAAUUCAAUAUCAGGCAACAAAAGAAAUCUAUAUGCACCAUUCAGAUAAGAAUAACCAUACCAACAGAUCCUCCUCCAGGACCUUUUGCUGCUAUGUAUGAAAAUCCAACAUCCGGGAACAAGCCAAUUCCAUUUUCUGGCAUGGCUAGAAGAGUUUUCUGAGAAGUAUUUAUUUUAAAAAAAAGAGCUAAAAUGAAAAACUAGUACAGCUUUUAAAACAUGAAAUUGACACCACUGUGGACAUGUCAACACCAUUCAUACCUCUGUUACAAUUCUGUAGCGACCAUGACCGGAUAGGCCGAUUCCAAAACCCAUUGUUACACCAUCCAUUAAGCUUAUGUAUGGUUUCUUGUACUCAGAAAUUUUGCAUAUUAGAGAAUACUCUGCAGUGAACACCUGAGAGAAAAUGCACCACAAUGAGGCGUAUUAAGUUAAUUUAAUGGAACAUAUUAAAAAAAAGAGGUUAACAUAACAUAACAAACUAAUUAAGGAGACAGAAUAGCAUGCAAACACAAGCCUAAAAAGUCAAUUUAUGCAAAACCACGCACAAUAUAAAAUGAAACUUGAUAAACAAUGAGAUUGAAUCCACGUAAUAAGAAUGAAAUGCAUGCAUCAAAAAUAUAAAUCUAUAAAACUGGUAGACAUAAAUUGCCUGAAACAAGUCAAUGAUCCGAAUAUAACAUUUAUGCAUAUGCAUGUCAAAUUCCAAAUACUCUUAUUAUCUCAUUUAAGAAGAAAAAUACAUUAAUUCAAUGUAAAACUUUAAAUCAACAAAAAACAUAAAACCAUAUUUUGAUCCUCCUACAAAAACCCAAUAUUCAUCCGAGAGUCUAAAAAGCAUGUUACAUCAGUCUUAUGUUAUACAUAAAUGAUAAAAAAAAAUAAAAAUUCUGCCAUUCAAAAUUCGAAUAUAAUUAUGUGAGGUAUCAUCAAAUAAAUUUCUCUUAAAAGAAUUUCCACGUCUUAUUUUAGGAAUACACCUAGGGAUACGACAUUAAGAGCUGAUAAUGACUGACUGCAACUGUAAGUGGUUCAAGGGAGAUUGACUGCAGGUAACAGUGUUAUUUGGAAAAGAUGAGAUAUUGGAAUCGAAGCAACUAUGAUAGGAAAAAUAGUUAUUUUGAACUUGACUAUAUGUUUAUAUUGGUGAAUAACUUGUAUUUCUAUAUUUCUGAUCAGAAUACAAUAGUACAAAUAUAUAGCUUUACAAUGAACUAAUUUAGGAAACUAUCCUAGCUAAUUGAGGAAAGUAUCCUAGCUAAUUGACAACUAUACACGCAGCUAUUCUAGGAAACUAGAUCAAUUCUAAUAACUCUAUUUUUGGUACAAUUUCCUCUGGUUUGAAUUAAUAUCUUGCAACACUCCCCCUCAAGCUGGCUUGUAGAUGUCUUCCAUAGCUAGCUUGCUGACUAGUAGUUCAAAAUGUCCCUUGUGUAGUCCUUUGGUGAGUAUGUCUGCUAUCUGUUGUGCGGUUGGUACAUAGGGAACACAUAUUACCCCACUUUCAAUUUUCUCCUUGAUGAAAUGCUUAUCAACCUCAAUAUGCUUAGUUCUAUCAUGUAGAACUGGAUUGUGGGCAAUAGAGAUGGCAGCUUUGUUAUCACAGUAAAUCUUUAUGGGAAGAGACACUGGAAUCUUUAAAUCUGAAAAUAGUCUCUUUAUCCAUAUUGCCUCGCAAAUUCCAUGUGCGAGUGACCUGAAUUCUGCCUCAGCACUACUCCGAGCCACAACGCUUUGUUUUUUGCUCCGCCAUGUAACGAGAUUUCCCCCAAUAAAGGUGCAGUAGCCUGAAGUUGAUCGCCUGUCAGUUGAGCUACCAGCCCAAUCUGCAUCUGUAUAGACUUCAAUUUGAAGGUUGUCCCGUUUCCGGAACAUAAGACCCUUUCCAGGGGUUCCCUUUAGAUAUCUUAGUAUCCUAUAGGCUGCAUCAAAGUGUUCCUGUCCUGGUGAGUGCAUGAACUGACUUACCAUGCUUACAGCGAAAGCUAUAUCAGGACGCGUAUGUGACAAGUAGAUCAAUUUCCCUACUAGUCUCUGAAAUUUCUCCCUAUCAAUCACAUCUUCAGCUUUAGCAGGAUUAAGUUUUAAGUUGACUUCAAUGGGAGUCUCAGCAGCCUUACAACCCAGAAAACCUGUCUCUUUGAGAAGAUCAAGAAUGUAUUUUCUUUGGUUUACAAAGAUACCUUCCUUCGAUCUUGCAAAUUCCAUACCAAGGAAGUAUUUUAGCACACCCAAGUCCUUGAUCUCAAAAUCUCGUGCCAUUUUCUCCCUAAGAUCUGCCAACUCUUUAGGAUCAUCACCUGUUAGAAUUAUAUCAUCCACAUAGACAAUUAGUAUUGAUAUCUUACCACUCUCUGAGUGUUUAUAAAACAUUGUAUGAUCAGCUUGGCUUUGAUUGUAGCCAUAACUCUUCACAGCCCUUCCAAAACGUUCAAACCACGCCCUUGGAGAUUGUUUAAGGCCAUAUAGGGAUUUUUUAAGUCUGCAGACUUUGUUUUGACCGAACACCUUCUCAAAUCCUGGUGGUGGACUCAUAAACACUUCCUCUUCUAAAUUCCCGUUCAGAAAGGCAUUUUUGAUAUCUAACUGGUGUAAUGGCCAGUUAUAAUUUGCUGCUAAGGAUAAUAGUACCCGAAUGGAAUUUAUUUUGGCGACAGGGGCAAAGGUUUCUUGGUAAUCAACCCCAUGUGUUUGAGUAAACCCCUUAGCCACGAGUCUGGCUUUAAAUCUCUCUAUACUUCCAUCCGCCUUGCACUUCACUGUAAACACCCAUUUGCACCCAACUGUUUUUUUAUCCAUGGGUAGGUCAACAACUUCCCAUGUCCCACUUUUCCUCAGAGCAUUCAUCUCUUCCAUCACCGCUGAUUUCCAAUCAGAAUCAUUAAGUGCUUCUUGAAUGUUUCUUGGCACAUGCAGGUUAGAGAUUUUAGAUAUAAAGGCAUUGUGUUUUUUCGAGAGUUUACCAUAGGAUAGAUAUUUGGACAUAGGAUGAGAAGUACAAGAGCGUUUUCCUUUUCUGAUUGCUAUUGGAACAUCAUAGUUAUUAGAAUUGUCAUCAAGCAUAGGAUUGACAGUAGGUUCAGAUAUUUCAUCAGGAUUAGGAACAAGAUUAUGUGAGGAAGUUUCUAGAGUACCUGUAUUUCUUUCAGAUUCUUCACUCAGGGUGUCUGGUUGGCCUUGUGCUAAAGGAAUAAUAGGUCUCUUACUCCUUGUAUGGUUCCUCCUUGAAUAAGUAAGAAGCUCUUUGUCUUGUUCCUUGAUAACAGAAGGUAGUAUUUCUGCCCCUGUCACAGUCUCAGCAGUGUUUGGCAAAAUAGUCUUGGUAUCACCAGUUUCAAAAACAACAUUAGGAAUAGCAAUCUUUUCAUUAGAAAACUCAUUUUGAGGUAUAGGUUUAGUAAUGCAAUCUAGGGUUUUAGGCAGGGGAUUGGAAAUAUCAUCCCAAAAAUUUUCUUCUUCUCUUAUUUUCUCCCCCUGAAGAGAAAUUUUUUGAAAAAAAAGGUUGAUUUUCCAGAAAAGUGAUAUCCAUAGAAACAACAGUUUUCCUAGUUUUUGGAUUAAAACACUUAUAUCCUUUCUUAUUUGGUGCAUAACCAAUAAAAAUACAUUUUUCAGCCCUUGGAUCGAGUUUAGACCGGUUUUUAUUAGGUAUAUGAACAUAAGCUGUACAUCCAAAAAUUUUCAGAGGAAGAUUAGAGUGAAUUCGUGAUUCUGGAAAAUAUUUUUUAAAACAGUCAAGUGGUGUAAUGUAGUUUAGAACACGGGUGGGCAUCCUGUUAAUUAGAUAGGAUGCAGUUAAAACUGCUUCGCCCCAAAGAUAUUGAGGAACAUUCAUAGAAAACAUAAUAGCACGAGAAACUUCAAGUAAAUGUUUAUUUUUACGCUCAGCAAUACCAUUUUGCUGAGGUGUAUCAACACAAGUAGUUUGAUGGUGAAUACCUUUUUCUGCAAAAAAAGUUCUAAGAUUUUGCUUAAAAUAUUCAGUUCCAUUAUCGGUAUGAAUAAUUCCAAUUUUAGUUUGAAAGUGGUUUUCAAUCAUCAAGUAAAAUAUUUCAAAUAAGUUCUGAACCUCAGAUUUUUCCUUCAUUAAAUAAACCCAGCAUAGGCGAGUAUGAUCAUCAAUAAAAGUCACAAACCAUUUUUUCCCUGAAGAAGUAUUAAUUUUUGAAGGACCCCAAAUAUCACUAUGGAUUAAAUAAAAAGGCUUUGAGGCUUGAUAAGGCCUUGAAGGAUAGAUAGUUCUAUGACUUUUUGAUAAAAUGCAGUUUUCACAAUGGAAUUCAGAACAAUUCAAACCUUUAAAUAAAUUAGGAAAUAAUUUUUUAAGAUAAGGAAAACUAGGAUGCCCUAGCCUAUAGUGCCAAAGCAUAAUUUGAUCCUUAACUUGAGUAGAACUAAUACUACUAAAGCCUUGAGCUUCUUUAUUCUUAGAUUCUUCAUCUUCAAAAUAGUAGAGACCAUCUAUCAAUUUAGCACUGCCAAUCAUCUUCCCCGAGUUCUGUUCCUGAAAGACACAGUGGUAUUUGGAAAAAAUAAUACGACAGUUAGAGUCUCUAGAUAAUUUACUAACUGAUAGCAGAUUACAGGUAAGUUUAGGAACAUGGAGAACAUUUUUAAGAGAGAUGGUUUUAGAUAGAUUUAUCAAACCGUUGCCAGCUAUAGGGGAAUAUGAACCAUCUGCUAUACGAACUUUUUUAUGACCAGAACAAGGGGUGUAUGUAUGAAAUAAAUGAGAAAAACUUGUCAUGUGAUCAGAGGCUCCUGAAUCUAUAAUCCAAGGAGUAUGAGAAAUAGGUAAAUGACAAGAGAGAGCAUUUAAUUUACUACCUGCUUGAGCAAUGGUAGCAUUAGGUGUACUUAAUGAUCCUGAGUUAGAUUUCAGCAGCUUCAGAAGGUGAUCCAUCUGCUCUUUGUUAAAGGGCACAGACUCGGCCUCAUGUGCAGCAGGAGUACGAGUGAAUCUGCCUUCAUGAGAACCCUUCCAAUUUGCUGGUUUUCCGUGGAUCUUCCAGCAAGUCUCUCGUGUAUGCCGUGGCUUAUUGCAGUGAUCACACCAAACGCGAGACUUUUCAUCAGGUUUCUUUGUAGCAGUUCGGCCAGCAUUAAUACUAGCAGCAAGGGCUGAGUUUUCAAUAGUGUUAACGAGAUUCCUUUUUCCAAGCAUAACAAGACGCCGACUCUCCUCACGGCGUACCUCAGAAAACACUUCUCCAAUAGAGGGAAGCGGCUGCCUCCCAAUAAUCCUGCCUCUAACUUGGCGGAUUUCUCCGAGUUUCAGAGUUAACUCAUAUACUUGAGAUUGAUUUCCCAAGUCAGAAUACAUUUGGUUAAUGUUGUCCCAAAGCUCCUUGGCCGUGUGAUAACACAUAUAGUUGGAGCUUAUGUCCUCCUCCAUAGAGUUCACCAACCAAGUCAUUACCAUCGAGUUCUCAGCAUCCCAUGUUGGAUAGGUUGCAUCGUCAGCCGCAGGCUCCUUUGUUUCUCCAGUCAAAUACCCGAUCUUGCCUCGACCACGGAUAUACAUGCGCACAGAUUGAGACCAACGCAGGAAAUUUUCUCUAUUCAGUUUAAUGGUAGUGAUCUGAAUGGAGUGAGAUUCCGUGGUUGAAGCCUGGGUUUUAGGCUGCGCAGCAGUAGGUGUUGGCAGGCUUGUAGAAGCAUUCUGGGUAUGUUGAAGGGUGUUUGUAGACUCAGAAACAACGUCGGACAUGAUGAAGAGGUAGGACUGAUUUUAGGGUAGAAAAGAAAGUAGGAGAACGGCUAGGUUUUCUGCAGGUAAGAGAAAGGACAGAAGAGCAAUAGGGUUUCCAGGAAUUAAAGGAAUUCCUGCUCUGAUACCAUAUUGGUGAAUAACUUGUAUUUCUAUAUUUCUGAUCAGAAUACAAUAGUACAAAUAUAUAGCUUUACAAUGAACUAAUUUAGGAAACUAUCCUAGCUAAUUGAGGAAAGUAUCCUAGCUAAUUGACAACUAUACACGCAGCUAUUCUAGGAAACUAGAUCAAUUCUAAUAACUCUAUUUUUGGUACAAUUUCCUCUGGUUUGAAUUAAUAUCUUGCAACAGUUUAACAAAGCAAAAAUGUGUUAAUGGCUUGAUGAUUUAUGGUUAGAAGGACUCUAGAAGACCUCAAUCAUUUCUGACAGUUGAUUUUGGGUUGUGGACUGUAAGUGGUUCAAGGGAGAUUGACCACAGAUAACGGCGUUAUUUGGAAAAGACGAGAUAUUGGAAUCGAAGCAAAUAUGAAAAAUAGUUAUUUUGAACUUGACCAUAUUUUCAACAAAGCAAAAAUGUGUUAAUGGUUUGAUGAUUUAUAGUUCGAAGGACGCUAGAAGACCUCAAUCAUUUCUGACAGUUGAUUUUGGGUUGAGAUCUCCUUCACAUCACCACCUGCAGAUAAACUAAGAUCUAGGUUAUGAACUAGACAGGCAUUGAACGAGUCAAGUUAUAACAGUAGCAUAAUAAAAAGAACAGCAAAGCAACAUUAAAAAAAUGAAAAGAAGAUUAAAAAAAAAAAAAGAAUGGUGAGCAACAGUUCAUUUAAAACAAUCAACAACUGUAUCUAGCAAGCAAGGGAUAUUCAUAACAAAAGACAUGCAUUUUAAGGGAACCUUUGGUACAAGAGGUGUGUUCCUGUCUUUUUGAAUUUCAGCAACAACCCCCUUGAUGUCCAUUCCUGCAUUUUCCAUUAAUGGUUACCUUCAAAACCUGCCGUAGCUCUGAAUAGCAGAUAGCCCAAAAAAAUGUAUAUGUAUGCAUGCGGACCAAUUCACAUGCAUUUGUAGAAUAGCAUCAAGCUAAAUGAAGCUUAGAAAAGUCCUUUAAUAGAAAAUGAUUAAAUAAAUGACUGAAAGAAGCUGUCUAAAAGGAAACUUAUUUUCGUUAAUUACCAGCACAUAAGGCACGGGGCGCACUCCCCUCAAUGAGCACACACUUUACCCUUGGAUCUGAUUCCCAUUUGUCAAGAAAACUUUUGUAUUUUAUGUCCAUAUCUGCAUCACCGAAAGCCUACAGGUUAAAGUAAACAACUAGAGAAAAGCACCAAAGAAUACAAGCUAAUAGUAAAUAAUUAAACAAAAAAGAGUUACAAAUUAAUAGCAGUUCUGGCUAAUAAACAAUAACUGCCUUUAAUAAAUUAGCAUACAGUCUGAAAUAUUUUUGAAAUCCAAAAGAUCUUCUUCUCCUUCUCGCAAGAAGCUUUAAUUUUCUACAGAAGAUUUUGCGUAAAUAUCAUAAAGUUGUUCAAAACCUCACAUCAAAAAUUGGUCUUGUCCAAGGUCCAACCCAGAUAAUAAAAAAAGUUAGGAAAUUCAACCAAAACUCUUCAACUGAAAAUUACUAGCCCUACUAAAAAGUAACAAAAACACUGUCAGUCUUAUCAUUCUUCUAAUGAUCUACAUUAUUCGCACUUUUCAUUUUAGAACAGAAUGACCAGUAUUACCCAAGGUGCGCACCUGGGGGGGGGGGGGGGGGGGAGAGGAUCUCACCUCAGUUAACACGUGCAUUUGAAUAAAUCACGGGUUGAAAAAACGAAUCAUAUUUCAUUUUUGGAAACACAUCAUUCUUUUCACCCAGUAAAUAAGAACCAGCACCGGUCAACAUAGUAGAGAAGCAACAGAGAGUUAAAAAUGAAAAUUAAAAAAAAAAAAGAAUAUCACCACAGUUAACACAUGCAUUGGAAUAAACCAUUGGUUGAAAAAAUGAAUCAUACUUUCAUUUUCGGAAACACAUCAUUGAUUUCACUCAAUAAAUAAGAACUAGCACCAGUCCACAUAGUAGACUUAAAACUUUUUUCCUGUGGCACUUUAAAGAAUCUCUUCAUUCUUGAAAUUAUUCAUUUAUUUUACCCAGUAAAUAUAUUAUCAAGUAACAAAUACAUAUAGUAUAUCACACAAUUUUUCACUAGUCACAUUUGUAUCCAAGUUUAAAUUCUGGUGUUAAAAAACUAGAAUUUUGCCACAUGGAAAAAUCUCUCUUAUUUUCUGUUCAACAAUUUUCAGCGCGUACCUUAAUUAUGUACUAAUGGAAAUUAUUAAUUUAGCCUAUUAUUCUAAGUCGGACCUAAAAAUGUUAUCUUAUAGAGCAUUAAUUUAUAUAGGUUAUAUUGUACGGAUAAAUAAAUAAUACUCUAAUUUCAAAAAAAAUUAAAAGCUUAAGUUACUACAUAGUAUUGAUCGCCCUUAACAUACUAAGAAAAUAAGCAAUUACAAUUAAUUACAGUAUUGAUGAUUGAUUACACGAGGCAUCGCAAAUUAACGCACGCCAUUUUACGAAUCAAAAAAAAAAAAAAAGCGACAAAGUAGAAAUGACCACUGAGCAAAUCUUAUAAAAGGAAAAAAAGAUUGACCUAGAUUCAUGGCGUUGAGAGCUUUGGGACGAUCGAGAGUGAUGACAGCGACGCCGUUUGGAUGAACAUUUCCUUUGACGAACUCUUCGGCUCCGGCUGCAGCCAUGGACGCAAACGUUCUGGAAUUACCAGAGGUUUGUGGAUUGCAGAGAGAUAAUCUGAUGAAACGACAAGUUGAUUGGUGUCGUUGAGAGCGAGUGAUUGUCGUUUGGUUAAAGAGUAGAGUUGAUGAUUUGGUAAAGAUUUGGGAGACUGAGAGUGAGAGUGAUAAGCUUCGCAUGUUAAAUUUUGUGAAACUGUUACUCCCUGAGUAAAUGAUAGUUUUGGUUGCCGUUGACUGUUGAUUGCCCGUCAGAUUCUUUUUCCUGUUAAAAUUCGUAUAAAAUCCUUAUUUAUUUGAGGGUGAGGCGUUAUUUAAAUUCAUUAUAAUAUUUAUUAAAUUUUAUUCCUCAAUAAAUUGAUCUACAAAAUUUUAAGAUUUAUCUUUCACUGAAUAAAACAUCUCUAUGCUAAAUAUAAAAUAUUCCUUUUAUAUAUGCUUGAAAAGUGAAAAUCUAUUGUUCACGCUUGUUUUUCACUAAUUUAAAAAUUAAAUAAAUGGGACAAUAUAAAGAAUAAAAUACAUAGAAUUUAUAUGAUCUAGAGCUUGCCUUAUAUACACCGGAUUUAAAAAAACAACCUUCACUAUUUAAUAAUAAUUACAAUAUAAUUUUUUUUUAGCUAUUUGCCUCUAAAUUUUUGCUUGCCCAUUAUGCAUUAAGGACUUUCUAUUUACAAUACAAUUUUUCAAUAUUUUAAAUCGUUGAUAUUUCUUAUUGUAAUAUGCUUCCACUAAUUAAUUAGAGUUUAAUUCAGAGUCUAUAUUUAUUUCAUUCUCAAAGUUAGUCUCUACAGCUUCUAGUUUUUUUUUUUUUGGUUCACCGUCACUUUAUCUUGUACGCUCAUACUCUAUUUUUAUUAAUUAUUUUAACUUUUUAUGCUCCAUAUUCCAUGGCCAUCAAUUGGUAAAACAAUUGAAAUCAUUGGAAUCAUGAGGCCAGGAAGGUUUCUUUGUUUCCAAAGAAUAUACAUGCCUAUCAUGGCACGAUCAGGCUCAAUAGAAAAGGAAUACACUUAAAAUUACUAAGUAUAUACCUAAGAAAAUGGUGGAAAGAAAAGUCUGACACCAUGUGUAAAAAAAUUAUGAUGCAUGGUGAUAACUUCUAGAGGAGGAUGACUAGGUUUGUCGUUUUCUCUAGCCCUUUCCAGAGAAAUUGAACGAGGUAUAACAUAAGAGAUCCGAAGAGAUUAGAGUGACAUUUCACCCAUACAAUUAACCUCUUCAUCUAUGCUCCACCCAAUAGAAAUGGGAGGAAGAAAAUAAAAAGAAGUGGGGGCAAAAUUUACAACGAGUGGUUGAGUAGCUACAUGCCGAUUAUCAUCUCUUUUGUAGGAUAUUCACAAAGUUCAGAGUCAGAGAAAUCCUAAGAAUAUGAAGACAUUAUUGAUAUAGUGACUAAGGAUUAAAAAAAACAACAACAAAUACUCACCAAAGAUUUUAGUAACCUGACUUUAAGAAGAGAUGGAAAGAAAGUUGGUUGUUGAAUAUGAGAAAAAAUGAUCAGUUUAUAUAAGUGAGAAUUAGCUUGAUUGGUGGGUAUAAGAGGCAGCAACCAAUAUAUAUAAUUGAAGAGAUAGCUCUUUUAAGCUUUGAAAAUCAAGCUCCAAGAGAGUUAAGGAGCAACUCUUAUCGAGAAAAGUGAAAUAUGCAAAGUCAUGUACAAAAGUGAAGCAUACAGAGCCAUGCACAAGAGUGAAGCAUGCAAAGUCAUGCAUAAAAGUGGAGUAUGGAGCAUGCAGCAUGAAGCAUGAAAAAUUAAAUAAUUAAUUAAAAUGGAGUUUGCGCCUACAAGAUAAAGUGACGAUGAACAAAAAAAGAAAAGGAAAAAAUCUAGAAGCUUCAAAGACCAAUUUUGAGAAGAAGAUAAAUAUAGACUCCGAAUCAAACUGUAAUUAAAUGGUGGAAACAUAUCAUAAUAAAGAGAUGUCAACGACUUAAAAUAUUGAAAAUUUGCAUUAUAAAUAAAAAGUCUUUAAUGCAUAAUGGGCAAGCAAAAAUCAAGAGGCAAAUUGCUAAAAAAAAAAUUUACUGUAAUUACUAUUGAAUAAUGAAGAUUGCUCUUUUAACUCUCGUGCCUGUAGGUUAAGUGUUGAAUCUCGUAAAUUCUCUGUGUUUUUUUUUUCUUUAUAUCGUUCUGUUUAUUUAAUUUUCUAGUUGACCAAAAGCAAGCAUUAACAUUAAUCAUUAGAAUAUUCUUAAAAAAGUAAAAACCUAUCAUUAGUUGAGUGAUGGUAGAAUUUUCAAUAGUUCAUAAAAAAUUGAAAUACAAAAAUUUCUUUUACUACAAAUUUAUUGUAUGAAAUGAAUUUUUUCUGACAAUUUCCACACUGUACUAACAAGCGACAAAAGCAAUUUGAAAUAAUUUGCGAUUUGGGUCACUAUUUUUCAAUAGCAAAGCACGAUUAGUGUAUGCAACAAAUGAUUGUUCAUGAUAAUUUUUAGGUAGAAGAUAGUUUUGUGGGUUUGUAAAAAAUUAAAAGGUGGGCGUUGAGAUAAUUUUUAUUUUAUUUUUUAAGUUGUCUUAUUUUAAGUAAUUUUACCUUACGAUAUUUAAGUAAUAAAAUUUUUACUUAAAUUAUGGGUUUAUAAAUAAUUUUGUAGUUUUAAAUAACUUCACUUUCAUUUUGAUUAUAAACAUUUUAAUAUCAUAAAUACCCUUAUUUGUUCAAGCCCAUUUAUUUUUUUUUCCAAUUUUCUCACUCGUAAAACAAAAAAGAAGUAUCCUAAGACAAUCUAAAGUCUAACACUUUGAUUAGCAAUGAUAGAAGAUUUGUGCUAAAUUUAAAAAAAUAUAUAUAUAAAUUAACUGAACUUCUAUUCAUCAGCUUACUCGGCCAUACAUCCUUUGUAACCAGCGCGUUAAGAGGAAAUAGGAGAAAGCAGGCCGCCUUUUUCAGUGGGGCUAUUUGAACACACCAAGCUACUCACUGAACCCACUUUUGAAAAUAAUUUUUUAUAAUUAAAAUACCCCUCAAUUAAAUUAAAAUUAUGGACAUUAAAAUAUAGUAAAAAAAAUUUUUUUUUUACUCUUUUAAACCCAUCUUUACAUUCAACAUAAUUUUGUUAACCAGCUCUCGUGAUGGUCUUGAUGGCAUGGUGCUUGCUUGUUCUCCAUGUCGUCAAGGCCUGUGUUCGAGAAGCGUCGGUACCAGAAGCUACAAUAGCAAUCGAAACAAAAAAAAAACAUAAUUUUGUUAAACCUUAAUCAUAUUUUUAUUAGAUCCUAAUCGACUAGAGGUGUGAUUCUUCUUUCAAGCCACAUAUUUUUGUUAACUAGGCACGUGUGAUUAGAUUUAAGGUAACAAAUUUGGUGGUUAUAUCUUUAUUUGUAUUUGAAGGAAAGUUAAAAUGAACAUGGAAUCCAAUUGUAAAUCAUUUCUAGAAACUUUGGAAAUAUUUUUAUAUUUAAUGAUUGAAAGAUGAAAUUUAUUUUGAUUAUUGGAAAUCGAUUAUUUCAUCGAUGAUAGAAUCUCCCAUCUCUCUGCAUAUUUGCCCUUUUGUUUGUUGGAAGUAAUUCCAUUCUUCUGUUGUGCUGGAGAAAUCCAAGUUGAUCAUGUAGGCAGCAUUUGUAGCAUCUUCCUAUUGCUUCCCCAGCGAACAUAGUUGCCUGCUAAUGAUGUUUGCAAGCUCUUCCAAACUCAAAAAUUUGUGCAGAUGCUUCUAUCUUUUGUAGUUUCUAACAUUUAUGAUAAUGGUUUUCUUCAUGCAAUCGAACAACAGCCUCUUGCUCGGCAGCAAGACUUUGAUUUUAUUAUUAUUAUAAAAAAUUAAUGGGUUUAGUAAGUAAAAAUAUUAUUAUUAGGUAUUUAAGUGAGUUUAUCGAGUAAAAUUUAAAAUUUCAAAAUUUGAUGGUGGGUUUACGUAGUAAAUAGGUUUAGCGAGUUCAAAUAACCCCACCCUAGUUAUGAUGAUGAAUUCAACAGAGCCAGCUAACUUAUUGUUAAGAUAUUGGAUAGUUGAGUUUUGGUCACAAGCUCUUCAAAUUUUAACUUUUUUCAACACAAUAAUAGUAUUUGAGAUUAGAUGGUUGUAUUAUCUAUAAUGUAUUUUAGAAUUUUUCCAACUAAAGAUUGCUUCUUGAAUCACGCCCUUCUCUUAUGCAGGUGAGAGAAAUAUUUAAUUGAGUUUAAAUGGAAUUAUAUGUUUGUCCUUAAAAUGUAAUUAUAUGAGGAAAGGGCCUUAUGAAGAUAAUGGAGGGUUGUUUGGCAAGAGAAAUAAAACAUAAAAUAAACCCUCACCAUUGAUUUUUUUUUUUUUUUUUGUGAAAUGGACCAUUGCUUAAUUAUUUAACAAAAACUAAAUUCAGCACUAAAUCGUAAUCUUUUUUAAAUUCACUACUGACCUAAUUUCGGAGUGAAUCUAUUGACAUCCCUUCAUUAUCCUUUUAAAACCCCCUUAAAUAAAAUAUUCUAGGAUAAAAAGAAUUAAAACGCACUUAGAUUUUUUUCCAACAAAUUACUUGCAUUCAUAAGCAAUCUUUUUUUUUUCACCUACCACUUCCUAAUUCCUUGAAAUAGUAUAUACUUUUUUCUAUUUGUUAUUGAUUAAAUAUUUUUGUAUUUAAGAGUGCUUUCAAAUUAUAAUUUAAAAUAUUUAUAAUUUAAGUUAAUGAUUGACAAACAAAAAUUCAUCCUCCAAACAAUCUUCUAAUUUGUGUUUAGGAUGACAACAAGAUUGCAAAAGGAAAAAAAAAAAGUAUAAUACUUUUUGAGUUUUUAACAAUAAAAGAUUAUAUUAAAAACUAGAAGAAUGUAUUAAAAAAAAAAGAUAUUUUUGAGAUAAACUAAAAAUAACUGGGAAAAAAGGGUUUUAUGAGAUGAUUAGAGGGUGUCAAUAGUCCAACUCUUAAUUUUAAAGCACAAUUUGUUUAAACUGAAGCCCACGGGCUUCUGAUUGAUCUCCUCAUCAAGAUGGCAAAGAUACAUGUAUUUACCAAUACUUCAGAAAAUGAGAGAUUUUCUAUGGAGCAGAUAGCACAACCAUUUCAUAUAUGGGUUUUUUUUUUUUUUUUUUUUUUUUAAAAAAAAUCUUUUCUUAUAAUUACCUUGAAGGAUUCCCUCCCCCCCCCCUCUCUUUUCAGUAGCACAACAAUAGAAAGGAUGGGAUGAAUAAUAAUUUUAUCAAAUUCGAUUCAUGUAUUCUCAUGCGACUGGAAAAAAUUUCCUUUGGCUUAGAGUUUUCAACAAACUCGUUUAUGACGUUAGAUUUAUGACAUAUUUUUCAUAUGAAACUAUAUACGAAGAGUUUUGCUAAAUUUGGCCGAAAUUUAUAGGAGCCUCAGUAGGUCACUACAAUUUUUUUUUUGUUUUGUUUUAAAUUAGUAAACAAUGAUUAUGGCAUGUUAAAUAAUCAUGUUGGUUACACGAGGUCUAUUUACAUUAAAAAAAGAAAGUAUGUAUGAAAAUUGACAAAUAAACGAGUCACAUUUGUGUUGACUCAAAUUUAACAUUACAUGAUACAAUAUUUCUUACUAAAUUAUCACUUCUAAUAAGGGGCAAAUCUACUCUUGGCUUAGUGCAAGUGUGCAGGCAAUCAACCCACUAAAAUGUAAUUUUUCCUUAGAUUUUAUUGAAUUAAGUAUUAAAAUUGUAUUAAUUUAAGGGAAAAUAUGUUUCAGGGCAGCAAUUUUAUGAACAACUAUUUUUACUGGAGAGUCAAUUAUUUUGUUUAUCACACGUGUGACAGAAUCGAAAAUAAUUACAGAUUUUUUUAUUUUUUAUUUUAAAUCUUCUCACCCGUAGUUUAUCUUCCCUGUCUGCCAACUAUCGAAUCCUCUUUUUCACGUCCCUGAUAAAAUAUCCAUUUUAAAAUGCUUCCCAUUACUGUGUCUAAUCAACUACAAGUCCUACAAGUAAGUUUAAAGCUUUGAGGACAAAAUUCUUUUUCGUUCAUUUACAAGUUUAUCCAUUUGGAUAUUUUAUUUGAAAUGAUUUUUGUUUAUAUGUGGCCUCUUUUGAGACAAUUUCCUGAAUCGGCUGCUGCCUCUACUACCAUAGGGAAUCCUUAUAUGGCCAAGCAUAACACAACGCUCAUUCUUUUGCAUAAAGUCAAUACAUUUGAGACUCUUCUAUGUUUUGACUUUUUUUUUUUUUUAAUUCUUUGUGAAAAAAAUUUAGUAUCCGUAUUUUGCUAUGUAACCAAAUAUAUAUACAUAUAAUUAUGUAAAAUCAUUUCGUAAAAUACAGAUGCCUGAAGAAAAACUUUAUAUCCUUCUUAUUUCCUAAAGUGGUUUAGCCAGAUGUUGCAGUGUAGAUUCUUCAUUAUUGAUUCCAAAUGUUUGUAAAAAAUUUAUCACCAAAAAAUCAAAGAAUGUUGACCUUAUGGAGAGCAGCGUCCAUCUUUAAGAGUAUAAUGGGAUGAAGUUAAAUAAUUUGAUGUACAUUCUCCAAGUACUAAUUAAUCUUCAGAAAAAUAUGGCAAUCUUUACUCAACUAGUGGAAUAAGCUAGCACUCAAUCACCUAGCACCGUGUAGCAGGUACUGUAUCAACAAUCUCCCCCUCAAAGAUCCACAUGCAACUCAUUCCACUAGUUGACUUCUACACAUUGGCAGAAAGGCAUGCACAAUAGUGAAGCUUGCAAAGUCAUGCACAAAAGUGGAGCAUGGAGCAUGGAGCAUGAAAGAAAAAGUGAAGCAUGCAAAGUCAUGCAUAAAAGUGGAGUAUGGAGCAUGAAGUAUGAAAAAUCAAUUAAUUAAUUAAAAUGGAGUUUGCGUCUACAAGAUAAAGUGACGGUGAACAAAAAAAAAAAAAAAAAAAAAAAUCUAGAAGCUUCAAAGACCAAUUUUGAGAAGAAGAUAAAUAUAGGCUCCGAAUCAAACUAUAAUUAAGUGAUGGAAACAUAUCAGAAUAAAGAGAUGUCAACAACUUAAAAUAUUGAAAAAUUGCAUUAUAAAUAAAAAGUCCUUAAUGCAUAAUGGACAAGCAAAAAUCAAGAGGCAAAUAGCUAAAAAAAAAAAAAAAAUUAUUGUAAUUACUAUUGAAUAAUGAAGGUUGCUCUUUUAACUCUCGUGGCUAUAGGCUAUAGUUCAUUCCUCAACUAAAGUUUUUCUUAGAUGUUAGAAUAAUCGAAGGUAGCAAAAUUAUUUUAAUUAGUAGCACUAAUCCGGUAAUAAUGAUUAGCUUCAACUUUGGAAUGUGAAGCUCCCUCAUUAAUGACAUGCGACUGAGUUACAUUACCUCAUGGGGCCCUGGUUUUUAUCUUCUUAAGCCGGCCGAAUAUAUGUAUAAGAUUUUGACUAUAUGGACGAUGACUGAGAGUUUUAUCACUUGUGUGAGCUGUGAUCAGCUCACACACACACACACACACACACACACACACACACACAGAAUGAAUCAUAUCAGUUUAUAAUUCUAGAAUCAACUCAAAAAAGGAUUGCAAAUCACGACUACUUAAUUUAAUCACAACAAAAUAAUUACAAACAACAAACAAACAAACACUCGAAAGGCCAUCCAAACAAGCACGAUUGGCGGCCUUGCAAUUAUUGAUUAAUCCUAUAUAUUAUAUAUGUAUAUCUUAGUUAUUAAUAAUUCAUUAAACAUCAAAAGCCUAACACUUUAUUCAACACAUCAAUAAGCUGGAGAUGAGCAGUAAGCUGUGGGAAAUGUCCAUCGGCCUCUAUAAUCUCCACCGUUGAUUUUCCCUUCAUCUUCUCCUGCAUGUAGUAAGUCACUGAGUUCGGCACAACAGCGUCGUUACUGGGCUGGACAAUAGUGCAUGGUGUCUCGACCUUGUCGAGAAUCUCUCUUUCGUCGCUAUAAAACACAGUUUUGGCCAAAGGAAGAGCAAAUUCAUGUCUCAUUCUUUUCAAGCAGUUUUCAAAUUUCUCGACCGAGGGAGCAUCUUUAGUAUCCACAACAAGACGUGGGAAGCUUGAAGCCCAGCUAGCAUAAUUGGUUUCUACAUUUGAGAUGAGAUUUUCAAUAUCCGAAGGUUUGAACCCACCUUCAUAAUCAUCUGUGUUGAUGUACCUAUACAUAAAUUUGCAAGAUAAAUUUAUAAGAUCUCGUUUGCAGCAAAUAAACAUGAAAAAAAAAUGGACCAAAUAGUUAUAUAAUAAUUAAGAGAUAGAUUAUUAUUUUUCACAAUCACAAACAAGCUUAAGCUAAGAAGCAAAAGAACCAGUCCAAAAAUUAAGGAACUUGUUUGCUAAUAUUAAGCUUGCUAAUGAUUGAGGACACUAAUACUUGAACCAUGCGUUUAGAACUUCCAUUGUCCACACAAUUGAAGCAGAAGAUAGAGAAGCCGGCAAUAUCUUUAACUAGAUCUCUUGCGACCACAUGUUUGUCUCGAGAUCGAAGGCAAAUGGAUAACACCAAACGACAACUUUCCGUAGUCAAAGCAGUUAUGUUAGGUAAAAUAUCAAAAACAUGGGGGAAAAAUAAACUAAAAUGAAAAACAAUCUGAAAAUAUUCUUCUUCUUUCGAUUAAAGCCGCAGCAAAGUUACCACAGAAUUUACAAAACAUGUUUGUUUUAAUUUUAUUUAGCCAUGAGUCAAUAGUUCACAAAAGAAGCUUUGUGCAUCCAGUCACCUGAAUUCGGAUUCAAAUGUUAACAAAAAGUUAUAAAGAUUACUAUUUAGUGGAUGAAGUUUCUUAUUUUCAUCCAAAUUUAAAAAAUAUAUAUCUAAAAAAAGAAAAGUAAAAGAAUCGCCCUGAAAAUAGAAGCCUUAGCAUAUGCGCAAGUAUAGGGAAAAAAAUAAAUUUUCUUUUUUUUGGUUUUAUUUAUUUAUUUUUUGAUGGUUCUCUAGAGAGAAAGGCAUGAGUAUGUACCUAGGAGAAGUUCCAAUGAGUAUGAGCCUUUUAAAGAGUUCAGGUUUCUUAACAGAAGCAAUGCAACCAAUCAUACCAGACAUGGAGUGGCCAAUGAACAGGGUUGAUUUCAAGUCAUUUUCUUCUAAAAGAGUUAUCAAAUCAUCGGCAAAAGCUUCGUAUGAAGAAUACUUGACAGGAUUAUAAAGGCUUUGAUAAUCUUUACUUAGUAUCGCUCCAGAGAAAAGCCAGUCAAAAGCUAAAACCCUGUAAUGCUGAGACAAAACGGGUGUGAUUUUGUCCCAAAUAGACUGGUCUCCUCCAAACCCGUGUGCAAGAACCAGAGUUUCCUUGCCUGAGCCUAUGAUUUUUGCGUUCAUGGCAGCCGAGAGACCUUGUUCUCGUAUCACCAUCUUUACUGCCGGGAAAACCAAAAGCUAGAAGCAAGAAAAGAAAUAAUAUAAGCACUGCUAAGCGUUGAAGGAGAGAGCUAAAGAUAUAGAGCAGUAUUUGGUACCUUUUUCUGCUGUGGUUUGGCCUCUAUUAUAUAGAGAGAAAGAGAGGGAGAGGGAGAGAGAGAGAUGGGGGCUUAGGCUUAUUAGUAAAUACUAAUUAAUUAAAAACAAAAAUGAUAUUCAUUUAUUUGAUUUCUGUUGUAAUAAUAAACCCAAAUAGGUAAUAACCAGAAACCCUUUGAUAGAAUGGUUUUCACAUAUUUUCUGCCCUUUCUUUUGUCUCUUUCGUUUUCGCUACAAUUAUAUCUCUUUUAUUUCAGGAAAUCAAUCCUACCCUAUUCAUAAAUUAAUUAAUUAACCCUAAAGUUUGUGGGUGCUAGUUAUUCUAGUUUAAUUGGUGGAAUCUCUUAAAAUUAUAAGAUAAGUAGGAAUUCGAACCCUGGUCAUGUGAGUAAAAAGAAUAUUAAAUUGGUAUUUGGUUUGCUAUGAUUAAAUGAAACAAAAAAAAAGAACUUAAUGCUUACACUUUCUUAAAUUAUUUAUUACGAAAGUAUAGGAUAAUCGAUAAAUAAAGCAAUUAAAAAUUUCACUAAAAAAAUAAAAAUAUUAGACUUGACCAUCCAGUAUUCUAUUAAAUGUUAUUUGGAAAUUCAACUUAGACAUAUUAACAUCAUAGAUAAAAAUAUGAACUCUCAUGAUUUGAUCAUAUUUGAAUUGUUAAAAUUUUUUUGACACAUACACAUAUAUAAUAUGUGUGUAUAUAUUCGAAUUAGGAGAGAAUCUAGAUCCCAUCAUUAUAUAUAUAAUAAGUAAGUUUGGUCUAAGUGAUAAAAAAUACUUUUGAAUGUGAUAAGUUUCAGCUUUUUUUUUUUUCCUUCUUAAUGACGAUUUAUUAUUAUAUUAUAGCCAAAAGAAGUAAAAUCAAACCAAUGACAUGACAAACAGAUGAAAAAGGAGGAGUUAAAAGAUUUACUAAAAUUGCAAUGAAUUACACAUGGCAAUAAUUAAAAGAGACAAUCUCGGCACUAUACAAGCAAAUGAUGAUCAACAAGUCAAUUGGAAUCAGAAUUAAUACUGUAGCCAGGGACCGAGCAGAUCAAAUUAAUUGUGGGCAGUUGGGAUCAUUUAGUGACUUUGCCAUUUGAGUCUUGAGAUAUGGCAAUAAGGAGCCCCACACGUUACCAUACUCUUAGCUACUGGCCUAGCAGCUACGCUAGCUCCGUCCAGAAAGAUCGUCAAUCAUUUUUAUUUUUUUUUACACAAAUAAGAAUGCGCAGCAACGGAAAAGUGUAGUUGUUCAUGUUGAAGUUAAUGUUAAUUGCUCAAUUAAAGCGACUUUGAAUCUCGUCCUUUCUAUUUACGUUUGUGAUUUGUAAAGAAUACGGGUUAGUAAAAAUCUUAUUGAUUAUUUAAACAAGUCCCCAAAAUCUCAAAUAUAAAACACUUAUUACGAGUUAAAACAUUUUAUAUAUGAGUAUGGUAAACAAGCAAUACAAACUCAUAAUUCCGUUAGUUAUUUUUAUUCAAGUUUGAGUUAUUUUCAGCUUAAAAAAUUAAAUUUUAGUCUAUACAAAGAUUUAGAACCGCUUUCAGUGUUAAAUUUAAGGGUAAAAAUAUUUUUCCUCUACCUGUUUUGUGUUUCCUUCUAACCAAUACAGUUUUUACAAUAAUUCCUUAUCUCUUUAAAAAAAAAAAAAAAGUGUGGGAAAUGGUUGUUAAGAAUUUUUCUUUAAUAAUUUUGACAGCAAAAAUUAAAGUAACAGAGUAUUAUGAAGACAGUAGAAGUAAGAUGAAAAUGCUAAAACCUAAAAGAAGAAAAGUGUCAUGCAUCUCCUUCUACAUCUGAAAAUUUGAGUAAUUAAAUAUUUUUAAUCUAAAUUUAUUUUAAAUAAAGUGUCAUUUAUUGAAUAAUAGGUAAUUUUAUACAAAAUUUAGGUGAAUUAAUUAUAUUAUUUUAUUAAUUAAUUGAUGAAUGUUAAAUUAUUUAAAAUAUUUUUUAUGAUAAAAAAUUUAAGAUAUCUAGUACUAUAUUUUAAAUUUUACAAUAUACCAAAGUUUACAGUUUAUCGUAUUUAAAUGUGUGUUAGAUUCGGAGGAAAAAAAAAAAGAAGAAGAAAGAAAUGUGUUUUAACAUAGUAAAGAGGAGCAAAUUAUUGAAAAUAAUAUAGGGUUGGAAGGAAUGCCAAUGAAGGACGAGAGAGUGGAGGAGGGCGUGCCGCCUAGUGGGGGCCGAUGAGAAGACAGCACAACGAUGGGAAAAGGACUUGAAUGGCCGGAUGUGUUCAGACGCAAAAGGUUCAUUUUGUCUUGUUGUGCCUAUUUGUUUUGGUUUCUUCUUUUUUUUUUAUUACUCGUUGAGAUAAGUCCAAGCCCGACCUUUUCCGCUCAUCAAUGUUUCUCUUGCCCCCACCAUGUUCUGCCCCUAUCACAAAAAUAUUUUAUUUCUACUUUAUUUAUUAUUUGUUAUUUCACAGGUUCCUACGCAUCCACUUUUUUUUUUUUUUUAAUUUUUAAUUUAAUGAUAUAUGAUUGCCGCAUGGCUUGUAUAGCACAAUGCUACUGCUAUAGCCUCAACAUUAUUGAGGCACUGAUUCAAGCUUUGAUGAGGCUCCUUUAUUUUUUUAUUUUUUAAAAAAGAAAUUAUGGAAUAAAAGUUGAUUUCUCACGGGAAGUAAAUUUAGGUAAAAAAUUUUAUUAUGAUGUAAAUAUAUAUUUUUAUUUAUAGUCCCAUCAAGUCUCAAAUUCUAAUAUAUUUAUAAAUUAUAGUCAUUAAAAAAAAUUAUAUUUCUUUUUUUUUCAUUAUUACAUUAUAAAUUGACUGAUAAUAUUGUCAUUGGCCUCAAAGACCAGCACAAUAUAGUAAAUGUGAUAAAUUUAUUAGAAGAAAUAACUCUAUGACUCAAACCUCUGAAAAUACUUAUAAAGACUCGUGAUCUAUUAAAAUUGAAGUCCAACUUGAAAAAUCCUUGAAGUCCAUUUUUUAAAAAAUAUGUAUAGUAGGAAGAAAAAUAUACACCCACACACAUAAGACGAGACAACAAUAUAUGUGCCCAUUACUUAAUUAUGAAGUGGUUGGCUGCUACAUGUUAUAAAAUAUUCAUGUCAUUAAAUUAUAUUUAAUUACAACGUUACUCUUUUUUUUUUUUUUGGUUGGAGGUGGGGGCUAAUGGAAUUGCCUUCGCAAUCAAAUUCAGUUUCAGAGGAAGCUAUCCAAUAACAAAAUAAUGAAUCACUCUCUUUUUUGUAUAAAUAAACAAGAAGAAAUUUGAGUCUCGUCCGUAUAAGUAAAGUUUAAUUUCAUUUAAAAAAAUUAUUAAUUAAAUUUAAAUUGUUUUAAGUUCAAAUUUUUUGACUAUGCAACCACAAAUUUUAUUCUUAAUUUUUUUUUUUUUUUUGGAAUCAAUCACUAUGCUACCGCAAAAUUGAUUUAACGAAUUCCAAUAACUUUCUGAAUAACUAUCAAUAAAUUGUUUUACAUAAUAUUGAAAAAAAAAAUCAGCUUUGGAGCUUUUUUGGACAGCUAGCAGAGAACUUCAAACGCACAACCGGAGAGUAGAAAAAGAUGGCGGUCGACUAGUUUAUGUGAACGUUUAUCAUUUCAAAUCUAUGGUCACAAUCAGCGGACAAAGAAGUUUCACAACCGAAGAUAACUUGUUUCAUUUUGGUCCAACCAGAAGGUGAGUCAAAUUAAAACACCUUUAAGAUUUUUCCUUUUCCGUUCAUAUUGAAAAAAACGACGGCACGUGCACAUCGCGUGAUGUAGUGUCGAGUGUCAGACUGUUGAUGUUGCCCCAUCAAUUGCGUGUGGACGGCGUAGAUAUAUAGAAGCGCGAUUCGAUGAGCCUCACAAAGCUUUGGUGAGCCCAGUACACGCUCGUUGUAGGUCACUCCACGUCAACUGGGUGAGCCAAAAGUCGGUUACUGCUACAUCAAAGAUGAUGUACUAAAAUAGAAAGCUCAGAAUUAGUAGAGUCCUUCACGCAAAUGGUGAAAUUUUAACACAGUUAUAAAUGUUUAUUUAUCGGUUACCUCCCCUUAGGUUUAUGUGUUAUCACUUACUUAACAAUAUUCAUUUUAAUGAGCAUUUACCUCAUUUGCUAAUCGCCAUUAAUCGAAUUCAAAAUUUUAAAUCGGAUUAAGAUUGUUUAACGACCUAAUUAAGCUUCUCUUGAAGAACAUUCACCUGAGCAAUUAGUGGUUAAUAAAUAAAAAUAUAACAGUACUUGAACCUUAACAAAUAUUUGAUCAUUAGUAUUUAAUAGACGCAUUGGACGUGAUCAUUAAAAAUAUAGAACAACUUCAUUUGAACCAUUUACGUUAUUGGUCAAAUAAUAGACAUAUAGAGCACUAUCUCUUUAAAAUAGAGGGAAGAGUUCAAGACUUUAUGCAAGCUCAAAAUUUAUAGAUUAUAAUAAAUCUCGCCUCUAUUUGACAUAUAAUUCUAAAUUAUACUCAAUAAACCCUUAAAUUAUGUUAUAAUUGAAUGAAUUUAAAUUUUUAGUAAACCUUUGAUUGUAAUAUGUAUAUAUAAAAUAAAGGUCUAAGCCCUUUUUGCGUGGUAUGUAUUAUCAUUUAUCACUUUAAUAGCUAGUUAAAGGAAAGGGACUAGGGAGGUGAAGGCCUAUUACGUGAAACCCGUGGUCUAAUUCAUAAUACAAUAAAAAUCAUGGGAAGUAAGUGAUAAGUAGACAUUUAUAAUUUUGUGGAUGACUCCAUUUACUUUGCAAACGAAAAGUCAAUUUUUAAUGGUCUACUGACGGAGACGUCACUUUUCAGUCUUCGCUCGUGAUAGAAUCUACCUUUUUGAGCUAUUAUUAUCACAACGAGAUUCUUCAAUCGAAAAUCACCACAAAAAUAAUAAUAAUAAUAACAAACCAACGAAUCCUGAAAAACAGAUUUUUUUCAAGGGUUCCCCACCUCAACUUUGAUAUUGUAGUGAUGCAUUUUUAAUUCUAAGUUUGUUAUGAAAUGAAAAUCAUAAUUGUAAAAUAAAAUUUGACAUUAGUGUUUAAUAAAUAUAACCAGGUAGAUGAUAAUAUCUUUGAUAAUUUAAUAGUAAAUGUAAUAUAAAUUUUUAUUAAACAAUAACGGUAAAUGUUAUCAGAUAUUUUACAUCAGUAGUUUAAAAGCUACAGAAACACUUAAAUGAUCAUAAUAAAUCGUGACCUAAUUUUUUUUUUUUUAAAUCUCAAAUCUUAUCUCGAUCAAAAACUAUAAUAUAUAAAAGAAUGUCCGACGAACUCCGAAGAGAAAUUCAUUCCUUCAAUAUACUUUUAUAAUAAAUGCCGACAUCAGAUAUGGAAUAUUGAUAACAAAUUCUUCCGGAUGAUGCUUACAGAGUAUAGACAAACCAGAGCAGAGCAGCCAAAUUUUGGAUUUUACAAACAUGUCCUUCAAUUUAAAAAAAUAUAAUAAGAGAAUAAUAUUAUAUUACGUGAGAAGGACAGCAUCAAAAGUGAAUUUUUGGCUCAUCUAUUGGGGUUUUAUAUGUUGUGUAUGUUCAUUAGAUUAAUAGAUACGUAUCUUAAGAGUACUCAUUUUCAAUUCUUCCAAUUAUAAAUAAAUCUCAAGUGGGUUUUACUUAUAAAGUUUAAAAAUGCAUCCACACCAUGGAUUAUUCUUUGGUAAUGAGUACAUUAAAUUAAUUACCAUGUCUAUCUCUUUCUCUCAGCUAAAUUUCCAAGAAGCAGGCGUCUUAAAGUAAGCAUGUGGAAGUGUCUUGUUUUGCCUAGCAGUACAUGUUCAAACAAAACAUGCUAGCUAGCAUCUUGCAACUUGUCGCCUUAAAAGGCCGACAAAAGAAUGAGACACUACGUUCUUUCAUCUUUGGACCAAAAUUGGAGCAGAAUCCUCUGAAAGAUUUUGUUGACCAGUUCUCAGCUGAAACAGUGCAACAAUAUAACAUCAACAAAUGCUGCCGUGGCUCUUUUUAAUUUUAAGCAAGAUUAAUGACUCUUUAUGUUUUGUACACAUUCAAGAACAAAAAUAUUGACUUCUUUUACCAAUUAUGAUCUUGCUUUUUGGACUUACUACUCUCAAGUCUAGAUAACUCCUCAAACAAGUCCAAUUAAUCUUUAAUAAUAGGGGAAAAGGAUGUAUGCAUAAGACGACGACGACAACAAAUAAUCAUCAAUGAAACGUGGGGAGUGAAAUAAUGUUAAGGCUAUACAUGUCAUAUGUGACAUUUACUGGUUAUAUAUUAUGAUCAUAUAUAGUCGGAGCAAAUUAAAAAAAAAUGCUUGAAGAUUAUUUAUUGAGCAUUGUCAAAAAACUUUUAGAGGAAUAUAAUAAGACAUAUUUGGAUGAUUACAUAGGUUGAUCAAUAGCGGAUUCAAUUUCUAUUUACAUAAUACUUUUAAAAGAAUUUAUUAACUAGAUGGAUUUGCAGAGGACAUAAUACACCUCUCAUACCUAAGUGCAUGUAUGAAAUUAUUGGGUAAAUUUUUUAAAAUUUUUUAAAUGUAGGUGUGGGCAGCUCCUAAUAUAAUUUUAAACUACUUAUCUUCUUAAGAGUUGAACUUGAGUGACUAACCAAAAAAAGAUGUUAAAAGCCACAAAGUUGUCCGGAGACUUAAUUUCAAAAUAAUCACUCAUUUGAAAAGUUUACUAUUAGAUUAUGGUCAUAUUUGGGAUUGAGAUGUUGUAUUUUUUAAGUUGUAGUUAUUAUGGAAAAAAAAUUAUAAUUAAGAAACAAAAGUUAAUAAUAUGUAGUGAAUAUAAAUUUUAAAUAAUAAUUUUGACAAACUUAUUAAAACUAUAAUAAAUUUUUCAUUAUACAAGUGAAAAAUCAUAUUAAGAUAACUUUCAAACUACAGCAGUAAGUGUUUACCAAAUACUUCAGUGCUUUAACUUUUAAACUACAGCAGUAAGUGUUUACCAAAUACUUCAGUGCUUUAACUUUUAAGCUACAGCUACUCAACCUUAAUUCUAAAUAUACCAUAUAUUGAUAUUAUUUAUUUAACAAUUAAUAAUGUGUUGUGUGCAUGUGGUGAUAAGAACAUCCCACGUCAAUUAUGCUUUGUUAAAAAAAAAAAGAUAAUUUAAAAUUGGACUAUUUGACAAUCAUAACAUAAAUUCCAAAUCUCCUCUGAGAUUUUCUUCCCAAAAAAGAAAAAGAAAAAAGAAAAUAUAUAUAGUUCAAUUAGGUUACUUUAUCUUCAACAUCACUGAAUGGACCAAAUAACCACUAUGAAAAAGACUCCACAAUAUUGCUAUGAUUACGUUUUUGCAACAACUUUUUAAUGAGUGGAUUGAUUGGCGCAUCGAUAACAGUAAUGUCCUUUUUACAUUAAUUACGGGCAUUAAUUGUCCGAAUAGCAACAAAGUCAAGGCCCACCAACUCCAACUACGUGCGCCUAACCGUGACUCCUACCUAAAUCCUCACAAGUUAAUACAAAAACGGAAAAAGUUGUUUGAAAGUUAAAUUUAUUCGAAGCCAAUCGAACAACUCAACUGGCGCUAACGUUAUAUCUUUAGAACUGCCUGAGCAAGUGGUCCGACCACCGACGAUGCUAUAUUCUCGUGAACUUACCAUGCAUAAUUGAUUAAUUAUACAAAGUCUUAAUUUGAUUUGAUGACCCCUACGUUGUUUUUUUUUUUUUUUUUUAAUCACCAAAAGUGAGUUUCGCAAUUCUAAGCUAUAUUUCAUAUAUCUUACAUUCACUUACAUGAAUAAUUAAUGGACUCCACACCACACAUUAUUCAUGUGAGUGAAUGUAAGGUAUAUGAAAUGUAAUUUAGGAAAUCUUUCAAAUAAUUGUAUGAGAACUAUUGUUGAAAAUGAUUAUAUUUUUUUAGUAGUUGUUUUUUUUUAUAAAAAUUUUCAUUUAAAAGGUUGAGAGGUGGAUAAAAUUUAAAUUAUUAUCAGGGGCGGAGCUAGUAUAAGGCUAGAGGGUGCCAUGGCCCUGUAGAAUUUUGAAAAAUUUUAGGGUUUCUAAAGAAAAUGUGAAAAAUUAAUGUAAAAUAUCUAUAUUGGCCCCUGUAGAAUUAGAAUUUUACAUAUAUAAUAACAUCAAAAUUAAAAAUUUAAAUUGGACCCCUAUAGAAUUUUUCCCCUAACGCCGCCCCUGAUUAUUAUCAUCAUCUACGAUAGACGGUGCUAUGAAAUCCGAUACGACGAUGGUCAAUGCCAUAAAUUUAUACAUGCCAUCAGGUUGGAGUGAGAUCAAUAAAUAAGUUAGUUUGAAUGUUUGAAGAAGGCCCGGCAAUGAAUUGAAUAAUGGACAAGACUAAUAGGUAGUUUGAAGUAUUUAAAGCUAAAAGGUUUGAAAGAAAGCAACAGGCAGCUGCCAUGCCACCAGUGGCCUAACCCUAUUGGUCUCCAGCCAUGCCAUGGACAAUCAAGAAAAUGACACUGUCUUCAAGCAUUCAUAACUGCGUUUCUUCAAACAUGAAUAUCGAAUUCGAAAAUGAAGAUUAAUGCAAAGAGUUGUGUCAAAAUUUAUUUCUUUCGAAAUUAAAGAGGACGGUUCCUAACGUUUUAAAUAAAUAAUAAAUAAAUGAUAGGAACCGGCAGAUCUUUAUAUAUGUGUGUGAGGCUACUGUUAAUUUGUUCAAAUAGAAACGACUGCACGGACCAUACAAAGAGAUCAGACAAGCUUUCAAGUCAGCUAAAGCAAGCUAGCUUCCAGGUUUAGUUGGUGCUUGUAAAAACUGCUUUCAGAUUGGCACGACUUUUCUCGUCGUUUUCCUUUUACAUGGCCUGCAAAUUAAGUCUGGAGGGGAGUAGUUUGCUCACCUACUAGCUAAUGAUCAAUUUAUUACAAACAUAAAGCAUAUAAAUGUUGGAGGGCCGGAGAAUAUCUAACAUUUGCUGUGUCUAUUCCUUGGACUAAGAAUAUAAUUAAGGUUGUGAUGUAGGAAGGUUUUAGAAUAUUUUAGAAUAUUGUUAUUUUAGUCCCUUUUUUUUUGUUAUGUUUUACAUUUUAAUUAGAGUUUCAUUAGUUAUAUGUUUUAAUCUUUUAUUUUUAAUAUAAUUAUGAUUUAUUUUUCCUUUUUUUUUUUUUAUGACAUGAGACUAUUGCUCAAAUUACAACUCAUAUUACAUGAGAGUAUAACUAAUAUGUACAAUUAUAUAUAUAUACUGAGACCUAUUGACAUUAAUGCUGAUAUGGCACUGCUCAAAUUUUUGUAACUCUCUCAAAUAUUCAAGGGACGUCAAACUCCCAUCCUGGGAGAAAGAUUGCCUUCACUCGAGCUCUGUGGCUCCAAGGAAGGAAAUAUAAAUUAAACCCCUACAAUGCGACUGCGGAGGCUCGAACCCCUUCCCUCACAUAUGUGAGGGAGUGGCUCUAGCCAUGAUUUAGUUUUCCUAUUUGAGUUAACUUAUCCUAUUAUAAAUAGGGAUGUCUUGUUAUUAUUAUUAUCAUCAUCAUCAAUUCAUUUAUUUAAUAAAAUUAUCCCCCUUUGUUUUUUUAAUAAAAAAUCUCACAUUGUUGAGUCAUUUAGAUUAAAAUAAUAUCUAAAAUCAUUUUAAUUAGACCAUUAUCUAGUCACGUUUGCCUACAAUGACAUCUAAUUUCAGCUCUAAACAACCAGUGUCAGCUUGAUAAUGCGUUUUUUUCUUUUAUCCUAUCAAUUCGUUAUUUCUUUGGUGUCAGGUUAAGUCAACUCUCAAGUAUUCUUGGAUUAGCUUUUGAGUAUGAGUUAGACCAACCGACUUCUAUAUGGUUCACACUAUCUUUUCACAUGAUAAGUAUUAGUAAAAAAGAUCAGUCAAAGAGAAUAUCUCACAUCCACUAAGAACAUAGACAACACUCAACUCUUUAGUUAACUCAUGAUCUGUAUGGACUGUACCUGUAGGCUUCAAAAUUUACAAGUUCAAAAUUUGCAGCCAUUAUAAUUUUAAUCAACUUUCUAUUUUCCUACUUUUUGUUUAAGCGCGCUAAUUUACUUGACUUGAUGUGCACAACAAGGCCGUCCAACUUCUUGGCUUCUUGCAUGUGUUAAGUGUGUUAUUGUACUGUACGUACAUUGGGUAUUUGGGUCCUCGAUAAAUCAUAAGAGUAUACUUGUUACUUAGCUCAACUAGUAAUGUUUUACAAUAAUACAAUAAAUUUGAAUUUGAAUCAGCUUAAAUGAGUGAAGAGUUGGUUUGAUUUCUGUUCAUGACAAAAUAAAAGAAAAUGACAUAGUUUGGGGCAAUAAAUAUCCUAACUUCUACAAUGUCCACAUUCCCACAUUAACUACUAAAAACUGACAUUCAAUGCUUAAUUAGGAGCAAACUACAAUGACAUUUGAGACAUGACUGAGCUAUAAAUAAAAAUUUUGAUGCAAUAGAUUAAAGGAAAAUACUCAUGUGAGACAAUUUUUUGCCUUGUCACCAUGUUUAUUUAUUUAUUUUUUAAUUUUCAUCAACAACUAAUUACAACAUGUACGUAUAUAUAAUCCAACAUUUCUCUUAAAAAUAGGAUUAAAAAAAUUUAAAAAAGUAUCUUGUUAUUUGUUAACAAGAAAGUGAAGGAAGAUAAUAAGUGAAAUAUAAGCUAGAAAAACGCAACGCUCAGUUUUUUUAUGCCACCUAGGGGUGUCAAAAAAGCCCGCUCGGACCGGACCCGGCCAAUCCGGUCCGGGCAAAACCCGGACCGCAUGCAUAUAAAAACCGGACCCGGGUUUGAAAUUCUCAAACCCGGACAUUUCCGGUCCCGGGUCCGGGUUCAACACAAAAAACCCGGAACUCGGACCGGACCCGGUUUUUUAAUAAAUUUUAAAAAAUAAAUAUAUUAUAUAUAAAUAUAUAAUUAUGAAUUUAUGAUAUAUUGGAUGUUAUUUAAAUUUAUUGUGUAAUUAUUGUGUUGUUGAAUUUAAUUUAUUUAUUUUAUAUAUAGAUUGAAUGAGUUUAAGUUAGAAAUUGGAUGAAAUUAGGUAAUAGAAAGUAGAUUGAAAUAAUUUUUAUUUAUCAUUUGUGCAAAAUUUGCAUUGUUAAUGUGUUAUAUAUUUGUAUUUGGGCUUUUGCUACCUUACAUGCAAUAUAAGGUACAGCCUCUCACAAGGCUGGUGGGUCCAAGUGGAACCCACAACUGAGUUUGUGAGAGGCUGUACCUUACAUUACAUGUAAGGUAGCAGCUCCCUUGUAUUUGACUAUUUUCUUUUUUAAAGUUUGAGAUUGAAUGAGUUUAUUUGAUUAUUUUCUUUUUUAAAAUUUGCAUUGUUAGAGAAAUGAAAAAAAAAAUUAAAGAAAAAAAUUGAAAAAAAAUUAAAUUUAUCACAUGCGGGUUUAAAAAGCCCGGAUCAAAACCCGGACCCGGAAGGUGCCGGGCUCAAGCCCGGACCGCACCCGGAAAACCCGGGUUUUAACCCGGGUCCGGGCUUGCAUUUCUCUCAUCCAGUCCGGUCCCGGGCAACACCAAAACCCGGACCGGACCCAGAUUUUGCCAAGCCUAAUGCCACCUACUUAUUUCCGGAUUUAUUGAUGAGUUACGGUUACCAAUUUAAAUUCAAUGCUGAACGAGCUUUGUGCUAAAUUUUUUUAUAAAAUUAGAUUGCUAAUUAUUUGGAUAAAAUUAUAAAUAUAAUUAUAAAAAUAACAAGCAAAACCACAUUUGUACAACGAUUAUAAAUAUAAUUUGUACAUAUGGGUGACAAAAAUAUCUUGCUAGGCCUACUCAGGUCGGAGGUGGCAAUGGUACCAAUCCUAGUUUAAUUCACUUGUGAUCGUGACAACUAUGUAAAGCCCCAUGUUGCAUGUUAACUUGUCUGUAACAUGUCCUGUUCUUUUUCUUUUUCUUUUUCUUUUUUUAACCUGAUGAAUAAGUUUCCUAUUGUUGCAGGCUCAGGUUUGCAAAUGGCAAAAUGAUGAUGAAUAUGGGCAAAAACGAAAUUGCAUUCAUCUAUUAGAAUUUCCACUAUUGUGUUUCUGAUGCAUGAUGUUUCAAAAUAAAAAAGAUGAGGAAAGCAAAGCAGAAAAAGGGAAACAAUACCACUAAAUUUUCUUGUCAAUUUAGGAAGCUAUCAUAAGGUAGUAUCAGACUCCAGUUUCUAUCCAUUAAGAGCCGCUUGAUGUGAUCAAUCCUUGGUAGUAGAGUCAAAAUUACUAGCUAGGGGGCUCAAAACGCUUCCAUUCCCAUCCACACAAUAGUAAACUGAGUAAUGGCAACAGAAUCAUGCCUACACAGGCGUUGGUUGAGGGACAUCGACCAACCGCUCCAUUGUCUGCAGUUGAUCAUAGGGUGCUAUCUGUACCAUAACCAAACAAAAGAAUCAAAUGAGUGUAGAGGAUAAAUGUAACGCUUAAAUGAGCUAAGUACUGCACAUGCCUCAGCUCAAUAUCCGAAGAAGACAGUAAUAUGAAUUUAGACAGCAUUUUUGAAGGGUAAAACUUAAAUAUUUAAGUUCAAUAUAUAUAUAUAUAUAGAAUCUGAAUUUGUAAUGUUAAAAAAAAAAUGCAAACUUCAAGAAAUUACUUUAAGUCACUAUAUUAAAGCUAAUUCCCCGCCAUCAGGCCAAUUUUAAAGUUGAUAACAGAGUCAACUUUACCUAAUGCUCACUUGCUCAGUGUUGAGCCAAAUGCAACAAGGCAUAUUUCCAUAUUAGCCAGUGCAACUGUAUGGUUGGCCGUAAUUGUAUAACAGUAUUUGAAUUUUAUAUUAGUAAUUGCCCAUUACGACUGGCAAUAAAAGCAUUACAUGAUGGCCAGCGAUCUAGAACCCUCUGCCCACAGGCAUAGAGUUCCCAUAGCAUCACUAUGUAAUGCAUUUGGUCAAAGGGAGGUUUUCAAUUUCAUAAAUGAAACUUCACCACUGUCCUUGCAUAAUUGUAGUUCCUUUCGGAAAUCCCACUCUUUGAACAGUAAAGAUGCCAUACCUAUGCAUCAUAGAAAUUUCUUAACUUUUGCUAUGAAACAAAAUAAGACAAACCACCUGGCUAAAUCCAUCCGGCCAUGUAAUUGACACGGCAUAGUUUCCCAUAGGCCGAAUUUCUUCGGGUUCAAUAUCUUCUGGAACAUCAGUGUACUGAAGCUUUUGGUCACCUGUCCAUUCAUCCUGUAGUGAAUCCAGACCAAAGAGAAGGGAGGGGUACGUGAAAAAGUCAAGCACAUGUUGGAGAAAAAUAAUAUCCAAACUUGGGGAGAAUCAAAGCUUAUGACAACAAUCACUAUAUUAAAUUCUUUCUUCCAAUAAAAUAUCAUUUUGUUUGCUACCUAAUCCAUCAAUAGUUCAUUACUUAUCUCUUAGAAGUCUUCAAUUACAAGUUUUCAACUUCAACCUUAUCUCUCAAAUUUAUUCAGGGUGUGUGAUAUCAGGAUUGCUUACAACUCGUUCGUGAUCAUUUUCCAAGUUAUCUGAAGAAAUUAGAGCCUAGGAAAUAAAUGUCAACAAAGAAAAGCACCAUAUGGAAGAGUGUAUGUUUUAUACCCAAGUGAGAAAUCUGUAGGUUCUCUACCAUUUCCAAGAAAAGAGAACGCAUAGCUUAUGCUAUCUAUAACAUUCUUGGAAAACACAUUGUGCUUGUCUGCAACUCCCAGGCCACAAUUAAGUUUAGGUAGUAUCAAAUUUAUUGCUGAGGGCCUAGGUGUCAGAUGCCAAUAUAUUACAUCUCUACAUAUAUGUAACCGAACUGUUUUUUUUUUUUUUAAAAAAAUCCCCACAUACCACACUUUGGGCAGAACGGUCAUUCCUUCUCACAGUUGCAGGAUGCAGAAAGAAUUCUUCAUCUGAUUGUGGUACCUUAACUUUGAUUGCUUUGAUUGAUUUAUCAUAGAUGACAGCAGUUGAUACUAGAAUGAAAAAGAGAAUAGAAACAAAAUUAUUUCCUCAAAAGUAGGUUGAAGGUUUUGCAUCAUAAUCCACAAAAUCUAAACAUUCUAUCUCAAUUUCAAAGCUUAUAUUCUUGCACAUGAUUACGAAUUUUGGAGAACUAAUGAAAAUUCUUUGUAGUAACGGUGCGGCAUUGCAGGUCCAGAUGUAAUUCCAAAUUUGAAAUUUAAAAUUAUUGGUAAGAUGUGUAUAAAUAGAGGCAGGUUUAUUUCAAGUACCUCACUAGAUUAUGGUUUAACAAGUUCACGGGACUACAUGUGGACAGGAGAUACAUACCUUGUUGGCGAAUCUUCGCGCACUGCUGUACAACACAUACUCCAAGAUCCUGAAAGGUAUUGGCAACUUCACCGCAGGGAUCAGCCGCGACUUCAGGCAUUCCACUAUCUCCAGAAGCAGAUAACUGCCAAAGUAAAUGAUACAAGAACUUUAAAAGUGGCAAUGCUUUCCCACCACAAUAUAAUUUUCAAAGUAUUAUUGAUUCAUAAAAUUACAAGGGCAGCAGUGCUUAAGAAAAGAUAGACAUGCAUGAUUAAUAUUUGUUUAGAAUGCCAAGCCAAUUUACUUGAUUUGCAUAAAAGGAUUCCAUGUGAAUCCGAGACAAUACUUUAAAUGAAUUGCCGAAAGAAAUAGAUGAAUACUGCACAGGAGAAACUCUUCCAUUGCUAAAUAAGAGUUCUUUGGGAGAAUGAAGUCAAGUUUACAUCCUUGACCAAUGGGUACUUGAUUCAUACAAAAGUUGCAAAUUGCACACCAUGAAGAUGAGAGGGGGGAAAAAAAAGAAAACAAAAGAACAGACAAAUAAUUUUGACGAAUAAUUCAGAACAAGUCAUAGCAGAGUAGCUUAAUCACCCAGAUACGUCUCAAAGUAAUAGCUUUUAUAAGCAAACUUAUAUCAUAUAACUCACAGUUGGUCUGAUGGGAAGAUCAAAGAGAUGAGGAAUUCCAAACUGUUGGACAACCUGCAAACGUAUGGGCCGAAUUUUCAAAGUAAACAGAUAGUAGCGACAACACCUGAAUUGCCAUCAAUAAAAUAUUUCCUUUUUUUUCAAAUCAAGAAAACUAACAGUUGGAUAACGUGCAUACCCGAGAACCAGAACCUCUGCCAAAUGGAUAAUAGCGUUUCCCAUCAGCAUCAAAGUGGCACAUGUUCUCAACUACAGCUAUACAAGGUACCUAUAUGAAUGAAUGGAUGGCAUUUAUUCUUAUAGAUUUGAUAUGUAAUAUUAAUGUUGAAUCGAACAGAUGAUCACAUAGUAGAAUAUCACACCUUAAGCUUUGAAAACAUGCGAACUCCUUUCGCAACAUCAAUGAAUGCAAGCUUUUGAGGGGUGGUCACAAUAACAGCAGCUGUUAAUGGAACAACCUGAAAUUUCCAUUAUAUAUACCUCAAAAUCUACAAGUAAAAAUUUAAAAAACUAUUUAAACAAGAACCUGUGCAAAAAGCAACGUGAAAAAUAAAUAACCUAUGCAAACAUGCUUAUCAGAAGCACAAAAAUACUAAUUGACAAACACUGACCAAGGAAAAUUUAAGAAUUCGAACUACACUAUCAGAUAUAUAUAAUAGUUUUCUGGUCCAGGAUUUUAAAGUGCGGAAAGUCGAGCAAACCUUUAAAACCAUGGGAUUUAAGAGGCCUAAAACUUAAAACGCAUAAACCGCACGGUUUAUAUGUUUUCCUGGACUUUCCCACACUUUAAAAUCCUGGAUUGGAGCAUAUAUAUAUAUAUUCAAAACGAGUGCAAGAAAAACCAGAACCUGACAUAAAGUAAGUUGGAUGUCACCAGUUCCAGGAGGCAUGUCAAUAACAAGGUAGUCCAGCUCUCCCCUGCAUAUCCAGGAUAUAUUAUUUAGCCAUAGAAUUCAUGAGCAGCACUUGAAGUUAACCAUUUGUUUUUUAUCACGGAGAUGCAUACACAAUGUGUAAGAGGGGAAAAAAAAAGAAAGAUUUACUCCAGAACUGUAACUCUUACAAAGAUCCAAACUAGUUCAUGUUUAAGUAUUAAUAGAAACACAUACCACUCAGUUGUUGUCAGAAGUUGGUUGAUGACCCCAGAAACCAUUGGACCUCGCAUUAUUGCACGACCUUGCCCAGCAAAUCCAAAAGACACCAACUUGACUCCCAGGUAUUCAGUUGGAAUAAUUGUUCUCUUCUCCGGAUUCUGCAAAAAGUUUUCAUAUUGUCACAAUUGAUCACUUCGCUAUACCACAUCUACAAAUAUGUUAGAAUUUUCAAGGUCUACCAUCUCUAGCAGUUGAUUUUCUGGAGAGACCAUUGUUGGUAAACUCGGACCAUAGACAUCAGCAUCAAAGAUACCAACCCUUGCACCCAUACCUGCUAAAGUGUAAGCAAGAUUUACAGCUACUGUGGAUUUCCCUACACCUCCCUGCACAAUUUCAUUAAUUAUAUUAAUGAAAAUGCAGGAAAUGCGAUAUUGCAACAGUAAGUUAAAUUACGUAUUCUCAUAGAAAACUACAGGGCCAUUAUAUAAACACGCUAAUGCUGUAUUUCAUCUGAAACAUUUCUAAUAAGUAAAAAGUCUCGUGGUAAAAAGGUAAAAUAAAUCACAAAAAUAAUAGAAACUUGUCAACUUUGCCUUCACAGUUAAAGGCCAUGAGAAACUUGGAGUUCUUUUCCAAUAAAAUCCCAGGGAUAAACAAUAAUUCUUUGAAGAUAAUCAAAUAAGCUAGAAAGCAAUAAUGCAUAGAUAAAAUUGGCUCCACACAAUUAACUAGUGGAUAGCCACCCUGUCCAACAUGUUAAUGCACAUAUUGAGGAAAGAAAUAAGAACGGUAAGCAGGCAUGUCUACCUUGCAACUUGAAACAGCCACAAUAUUUGAAAUUUUCUGUAAACCUACUGGAAGUUGCUCUGCAAAAAUAGGUCUGGCUGGUUGUGCUGACAUAGUCACAUUAACUUUGUUGACCCAAGGAAUUGCAACCACCACCUCAUUUGCCCUUUGCUCAAACUGACAUGCAAUCAUAACUUAUUACACUCUUUAUAUCAUAAGGGGCUCAUACUGUCAACUUAAUCAAUCUAAGCUAAAACACAAUCAAGUUAUACCCAUAAAAAUUUGUAGAUACAGCCAAGAAAAUUUUUCCACAAGAAGGAUGAGGAAAAAAGAAAGUUAAAUGCAAUUCGCAUUUUAUAAUAAUCCCCAAGUUUUUUUUUUUUUUUUUUUAAAAAAACUAAAUAAUCUUUGGCAAAUUCAUGAAACAAAUAGUCUACCAUUCCAAACACACGUCACUUCUUGAUCAAAACAAUGAUGAUUGUGUCAUUUACCAUGUCCUUGAUUGGACAUGCUGGAGUUGUGAGCUCUAACCGAAAGGAAACCUGACAUUCAGAGUAAAAAUGUUGAAGUAAGGACACUAUCCUUGAAAUGUAUGUUAUUAAAACUCACACUUAUGCUCUAAAUGACCUCUCCCAGAGCUUCGUUGAUUUGCAAAUCUUUCACAAAACCACAUGAGACAAUAUCUGUUCCAAAGUCUGGAUCAAUAAUUUGCGACAAGGCUUUCAGUACAUCAUUCUCAGCUGUUCCAGUAGAUACUGCAGAAACACCAGCUAAAGAUAAGGAGGAAAAGGAAACGUGUAGAAAAUGAAAAUGAUAAAAGUCAGACGAAGCAAAUUGUUAAUAGAAAGAAUAGAAAUGAUGACGUCAACGUUACAAGAAGCAUAAAUUCAUCAUCACACGGCUAGAAUGCAACGUAUUAGCCUUUUCAAAGUUUAGCACGAUAGAGAUUAAUACUCUUAUUGGGUGCUAGAAAUUGAUACUCUUAUUGGGCCCUAGGGUCUAUUUGUCAAAUCCAAAAGACUAGCAUAUUAGUUGGAAUCAUCUAUCCUGUGGAUUUUCCAUUUACUAGCUAAUGUGGGAACUGUCAACCUCCAUCUCAGACAAAAAGUCCACCAGUCCAGCACUGAGACCAACACAAUCUGGCUAGGAGUCUAGCUUUGGUUAUCACGGUUAAGUUACAGCUUGACCUAAAAACCUUAAGCCGGUAGCUAACAGCCCAAACAGUAGUUUUAAGCUCUAACAUGAAUCAGUUUCUUAGAAAAAGAGAAAGAAGAUAAAGGUAUCAAACUUAUCAGAUAACAGUCAUGUGAAAUAAAAAAUAAUAUUGACUUUAAUAAGAAUUUCUAAAUUUAUAGUACCCCUGUGCGUCCUACAUCAAAGCGGCGUAUCUUACUUGGGGUAUGUUAGUAGGUAAAGUGUACUUCAGUCUCAAGCAUACCCUUUAAUUCAGCGAACAACGUAAUAUUUUUAUACGGAUAUGGAACUUAUCAAAACAAAGUAAAGAGCUUUAUGGUUUGUCUUGGAUAAGGAAAAAGACUACCUUCAACAGAAGUAGCAUUAGUUGAGCCACAGCCAAAAAUGGACGGUCUAUGUGAUACCCAAAUGAACUUUUCUAACUUUGAGGGGUGCAAAGAGAAGUUGAUAGCUGAUAACUGAAGAAAUCUGUCCGGUGGAACUAAAGCUAUAGAGGAACCGAAUUUCAAAGGGGGAAAAAAUUAAUACAGUGAGAGAGUAUUAAAUUAGCAACAAAGAAACAAAAGAAAGAAAGCGUAGGAAAUUACCAAGUAUUGAUGGUGAUUUACAGCCUUGAAAAGGGAGAUGAGGCCAACAUGGAGCAUGAAGCAGUUGCAUUUUAAGAUAGAUAGAUAGAGAGAGAGAGAGAGAGAGAGAGAGAGAGAGAGAGAGUGAGAAGUGGUGUUGCAAGAACUGGGAGCUGGGAAGUGGAACGUUGAUGAUGGAUUGCAAGAACUAUGUGAACCUCAUGUUUCAAUAUUCCAGUGAGAUCAUACCAGCUCAAAUUUCCAAUCCUUUUAAACCAAAACGGCGCGUUUUGAUGAGUUGCCUUUAUUUGCACGUCAUUAUUCAAACAGUUCAAUCUGUAUUAUGUAAUUUAUGUUAAAAAAAAAAAGCCCGUAUUUACUUUUUUUUUAAUACCCAAGUUUUAUUUCAUAUUGAUUUAUAUAUAUGAUGAUAAUUUUCAAAAUUUAAAAUAUAAUAUAAGUUUCCAUAUUUAAAUAUGAUUUUGAUGCAUUGCACAGAUUUUAAAUUAAUUAUUAGAAUUAAAUUAAAAUUUGUAGAGUUUUUAAAGACUCCUAUCUCAAAUAAAUGGCACAAAUACUAAAUUCUCUUUUCAAAAGGCACAUGCUCCAACUGAUCUCUUUAUAGAUCAGUCAAUGUGAAAAAAUGCUUGUACAAAGAAGAGUGAAACAAUCGGAGGUAAUCCUCUUUUUGAAAGGAAAGAAUAAUCAUAAAUCAUGAAGCAAAUAGCAACCCUGUAUCCUUAGAAUUGCUUUCCCUGCCCUAAUCUAAUGCCACAGCUUACUACAGAAUCCAUUCCGUGCCCUCUUGUUUGAUACAAUAUCUGAAAAUGAGUCAACCAAUUGUCCUGCUAAGCUACUUGGAUCAUCAAUCAGUGUUUGAAUAAAAGUAUUCACCACCCUACGUUCCUGCUCAGUCGAUCUUAAGCUAAACCAUGUCAGCAAUUUCAAUCUAAAAUCCUGGUUAAUGUGGCCCUCACAUUCUAGCCACCGAAUUAUCUUCACACAAUACUCAAAAUUCUCAUCUAGGCUACCUGAAGAACCAUUUGAAAUGUGGAAUGGUGAACCAUCAUUAAUCAAAGUGCUAUCACAUUCAUGUGGCUCUUCGUUUGGAUGUGCUCUUCUUUUCCCGCAUAAAUCUGCACGGGAAUCAACAGCAGGCACUUCUCCAGCUGGCCCAUGGUUCCAGGUUUGGGAGUCACCACUACCAUGUGAUCUUGCUAAACGGUUCUUCUCUAUGUCAUGGGAAGCAGCAUCAUCAUCUGCCUCAACAGCCUGUUCAAAAGUGCAUCCAUUAUCUUCAUCUCUUGAGGACUCAAAUGGUGGGGUUAGUUCUUCAUUCAAGUCGGGAACAGAUACAACAUUUAAGUCCAGUCCACGAGAAACAGAUGGCAACCUUUCUUCUUCUGCAUUUUCAGGCUUGACCAUUUUCUUUGCUUCACCUCCACAGCACUUCUCUAAAUCAGCACUGCAAAACCCUUCAAGACAGCCUUCUUGUUGAGCCCAAGCCAGUCGCAAAAACUUUCCAAGGUCUCGAACCUUGAAUCCAGAAGAAUUCGGCCCCAUCAUACUUCUGGAUUCCCUUUCAGCAAAAGAACCACCCUCAACAUGUGUAUUUGAUUUCUUACGAUUCAAGGCCACCGUAGAAUUAGGAUUCCUGUGAAUUAUCUCCACACUCUUGGUGAAACACUUAGCCUCAGAGUGACCAAAAUCACCUGCCUCUGUAUAAGAAACAAUCCGAAAACUGUACUCCGUGCAUGGCUGCAAAUUUGAUAUCAAAAUCCUUCUCUGAGCCCUCGGAAAGACACAAAUAGGCUCUUUUGUGUGCAUCUCUUCUCUACUCUUGCAAUACCACAGCUUAUACCCCUUAAUGUCAUUAGCUGAUACGGUAGACAAUUCAAUUAAAAUAAUUACAACGGAGGAAGAUGUCACUUCUUCAAAUAGGAACCUGCAAGCAGCAGGAAGUGAAUCCUCUGCCAAGGAAAGAGUAAAAUUUAAUUAUUGAUUAAAAUAAAUUUCAUAUCUAUCAUUUACAAAUCAGGUGAAAAAGAGUUAUUAUGGGUGCUACCUCUGCAUUUUGGAUUCACAUUAGAGACAGUUGCUAGCCAUUCAUCUGCUUUCUCGAUGGCAAGCAAACAAAGUUUCAGCACAUCACCAGCAACAGAGAGUCUGCUGACAAUCCCACGCGCCAUCUUUGCAGACACUCCAUUCACUGGACCCACUUCUGUUUCUAGUUUGGACUUUGCAUCUUUUAUGAUAUCAUGCAAUUCUUUGAAUCGUGAAGUCCCAUCUAGGAGCCUAUAGCUUAAGUAAAUCCUAUAGCAGAGUACAUCAACACGACGGGCAUCUUUAGCUACAAUUAGCUGCUUCUUCCAACAUCUGCCAGUAACAAUCAAAUCAGACCACAACAUUCCCAUCAGUCCAAGGGUGGAAAAUCCUAUUACAGGAAAACAAAGAGCAGUGCACAGAUCUCAUUUUUCUUCAUGUUUUGGUUCAAUCUCAUAACAGGACAAGCAAGAACUCUCCAUACUCAACAAUAAUUUAGUUCACUCACCCUACGUCUAAAUUGUGAUGCAGCAGUGUUUGAUAAUGCAAAUGAUUUUUUCAUGCCAAUCAAAUCAGUAGAAUGGCUUUGCCUCAAAUAUGUAAUGGAAUAACUUUAUACAAUAGAACAAACAGCAUGUUUUGUGAAGAAAACUAAUUCUAAGUUGUCAAUCACAUCACUCCAAUGUUAUCAUGAUUUAUAAGGCACCGAAAUGGAUCUUGAAUCAUUCCUGGGCAACGAAAUCAGAAUCCAAAGAUAUGUAGGUGCAAUAAUUACUUACCCAAGUAUCCCAGAAACUUUACCACAAGAAGCACAACAAUAACUGCCAUCCAGCUGCAUCAAUUGCCCAAGAUCAACAACCCCAACCUUCUGGCGUUGAAGAGCACACUCAAUAUGACAAGAUAACCCACAAGAGUCCUCCUCACCAGAAUCAGAUGUACAAACCAACCAAAGGCUAGGGUCUUUAUUGUCAUCAAAUAAGUGACAGAUGCAACAAGAACACCUCUUGCAAAAAGUGUCAUCACUGGACAGAACAGCCCUACAGGCAGAAUUUUUACAGAUCCAAGAAUUUGAAGAUCCAAAAUCUGAAGACUGCUCAGAAGCAGGAGGGAGUCGCAUGGGGUUUUCUCCCUUCCGCUGUUGCUUCCUAGAAGGCUGAUUAUUGGGGCUAGAAGAAACUCUUUUCGAAUCCUGCUUCUUAAUUGUCUUGAUAUUAGCCUUUGGAAGUUCUGUCAUUUUGCUUUUUGAAGAAGCUGAGUUUUUCUUGUCCUUAUCAAAGCAACUUCGGAGAAGUUCCUUCUUUGGACCGGAUUUCAGAAACUCCUGGAGGAGUUCUGGACUUCUUGAAGCAUCAUCUGAGUGCCCAAGUUUCUCUGGGGUGCUCUGCACACUGGAAGAAAGGCUUUGAACACCAGAAACUGGACCAAAAACCAAUACAAAAACAUGAGCAACUCUUUGCCGAAAUAGGUAAAAAGGUCACUUUCAAGUCUACAGCAAACACAUACAAAUUGGAUAAUCCAGCCAAAUACAAGUGUAAGACUUAGUUUGCACAAUAUCCACUAUCUAAUAUGGCAUUGAACUUUAACAAACCCAUUCACAGUGGCAUUGGCAUUUGCAAAUAUCAACUAUCUAAUUGGGUUCAUUCUGGAAUCUGCUUGGAUCACCAACAGCCUAAACUCAUUUUCAAGCCUACCUUCCCAAUUAUUUUAAUCAAACAAGAUAAAUGUUGGCCAUAUUUCUUCUCCUCUAUACAAGCUAAAUGUCGAACAGAGAAGGACAACAAAGCUUAUUACCAAUCAUUCUCAUCACAUGGUGAACAGACGUACAAUCACAUGAAAAAGCCCGGACAAACUCAUGACACUAGAUUUCCCCGUUGUCUCAAGUCACUGUCUAAUACCAAAUUUCAAAGUGAUGUAAUAGGAUAAAGACACUGCAGUUACGUGAUGAAGCAACAUUGCAUUGAGCUGCUGCAUGCCAUUGGGUUCUUAAAGAAAAAAUGAUAAGCAAAUGUUGCAAGACAAAUUUGAGCAAAGAGGAAGAAACAACAAUAUCAAUAUCAAUGAGCAAAGUAUGCUAUAGUAAGAAACAUAAAUGCUAUGCAAGAAAGAUUGAUUUUGACAUAUUCGACAAUGUUGAAAACUGAGUCAAAACAAAAGCUAAUAAGAACAGAAAAUUGAAUCAACUAGGCUUAUGCUGGAAAGAAUUGCUGCCUAUUCCUUCAUUUUUUUAGGCCAAUUCCUUCAUAUAAAGUUCAAAAAGAAUUUUUAUAAUAUAAUUAGUUAAUUUAACUCAAAUCAGUUCAUAUAGUGAAAUGUACAACAAAAAAUAAUCUAUAAGUAAAUAAUGCCCAUUUUGAUAAUCUACGAAACUAAUACCAACUAAACUUGAUUUUAAAACAUAACAAGGUAUCAGAAAAUAACCAAUCCCAAUAAAUUAUUGCCUACAAAAAAUUAAUAAAGAAGUUGAUCAUGUAAACAAAUUCUCAUCAUAUAAGAAAGAAAUAUUCUUGAAACCCUUUCGCUUAGAGAAGAAAAAAGGAAAAAGAAAUCCUUGCGUGUAAAAAUGUAUCUAUGAAAGCAGCAUCACAUAGAAAUCACAGAUCUAUAUGACGAACCACAUAACAAAUGAAUUUAAAUUGGGAAGAGAUUAGGAAGAAGGUCCUUGAACUGAAAAUAAUAGGAAAAGGAAAAUGAACCAAACAAGAGGAACUGCAGCAGCAUCCACAAGUGGGUUGUAGUCCUCACUCCUCAGCGGCGAGCAGCACAGGCAUGGUAUUUCAGGACUAUUAGGUUUUUAUAUUUUCAAAUAAAAUUUAAUUGGUUCAAGUAUUUACUGCACCACAUAGUCUAGGAUCCAAUUUUAAUUCACUAGUUUAUGGGCCUACCAGAUUUGGAUGAAAGACUCGUAAUUAUAUUGAAAAUUGGAAGCUGCUCAUAAUAAUCAGCUACAAACGGUAUUCAAAAACCGAUCUGUUGCCAGCCUGGAUUCAAAAACCGAUCUGUUGCCAGCCUAGUUGCAAUGACGUCAGCUUUAUGAAUAAUGACGUCCCUUCUGUAUGUAUAUUUGAUAACUAAGUAUCAUAUCUGCAGAGAUUUUGUAUGCAUCUAAAGCUGGGGGCAUCGUUCAACAUACAACCGCUUCAAGAUGACAGAUGAUUGACAAAUGCCCAACUUAUUAUGCUUGCCUGGCCAACUCUCUGUUCUUUAUUUGACACUCUUCCAUAGGGGCUUUAUACAUAGAAAAGUCGGACAUUCCACACCAUACGUCAUCAAACUAUGAGAUUUAAUGAUCUAGUUUGUAUAAUAUUUUGUUAUUUUUUUAACUUAAUUUACCUAAAGUAUAUAGCUACCUUUCUUAAAUAUAAAAGUGCAUAAGGGUGGCCAGAGGAAGGAGAAUUCCUCCUCUUUGAAAAGUUUGUAUCAUAAAAUUGGGCAUAUUUUAUUUUGGGUUUCCUCUCAAAGUUAACAGCCUGCGAAGGCGUCGACUGUGUAACAAAGGUAUUUAAAGCAAACCAUAAAUAACUAAGAACAUAUAAUUUAUUUUAUCACGUCAAAAAUUAGAAAAUGCUCACAGAAGGAAACUACGAUAAAAUAUAAUAAGAAAUAGCAAGAAAAUAUAGAAGUCAUAAUUAUGAUUUGGCUUUCACUAUUAAAUAUUAGCCAUCAGCCAUCAUAUUUUAGGUUCUUUAUUUUCUAUUCUAGCUUGGAGUUGUAACUAUUGGCCUACGUUACCCUUGAGAUGGUGUAUAUAGUAAGCUAUGAAAUUAAUUAGUUUAUAAAAAAAGAAAAUUCUCUAACAAAAAAUGAUGUGCAGAUACAAAGAUAGACUCCUAAAUGAAAGUCGCAAAUGAAUUUUAAUUUCGUAAUCAUACCAUACCCUUAUCAACAAUGCAAUCAUAUAUUGGCCAAAAACAAAGCAAACAAUGUCUUGUCCAAAUUAGUAAGCACACGUCCAUUUUCCUGAUCAAACUUUAUGUUGGACAACAUAAUAUUAAUUUUUGGCACAAACUUCCAUUAAGCUUUACAAAUUUGAAUAAUAACUUGUAAGUGUUAAUACAGAUCCAUUAUUUGAUUUUCAUCACACACACAAACACCCCCCUCCCCCCCUCCCCCCAAAAAAAGGGACUUGCUUGUUGUGCAUUAUGAAUAUUAAGGGAACUGCAAAUGCAUGUUCCGGUGAAGCGAAUGUUGAAAUUGCAAGUGCAGCUUCUAUAGAUGUCAAGAAAUUUUUCAUGAUUUAAAACAAUCAAGAGUUAACACAAUAGAUGAGACCAAGGCUUGGCUCUACUGGUUAGUGGGUAGCCUUAUCAGGACUUUGGGUUCAAGUUUCUUUAAUUAAUGAUUAAAAAAAAGAGUUAACGCAUUAGACAUGAGUAAGAUAGCGUGAAAUGGGAAAAGAAAAAUGCAGUAUGAAGUCAUCUUUUGUGAUAAUCACAGCAUAAUUACAUCAUUACUUACAGCCACAUACCAAAAAUGCAUGUUUCCAUCAGUAACCAGUCACUACUCACAAACGAACAGCCCAGUAACAAUGCAACAUGCCAUUCUCUUAUUUCUCUCUCUGGAUAGUUACUAUAUGGAUUAAGCCACUUUUAGCUCAUUCUUCGCUUAAGAGCCAUAGAAGAAGUUCCUUAAAAUGUGGGGUAUGGAAAAUCUACAAAUUAGAGUUUUACAAAACAUAUCACUUUUUCAUUUUCCAGCUUUCAUUUUUGUAUAUGAGGUUAUUAUUUUCAUUUUAUAUGAUGACAUGAGACCAACUUGGUAAAAGGCUCAUUGAAGACAGCCUUAGAGCCUUAACUUAAUAUAUUACUAUGCGGCAUAUGCCAUAAACAUGUUCGCAAAAUAAAACAAAAAUCAAUGGCUAUGAAAGUAGAAAACACUGGAAAUAUGAAUAGCAUACCUCUAGCAAGGAAUUUAUCUUCCAAAUCCAUUGCCUAAAGCUUCAAUGUAGUUUGUUAGCAAGCCUCCCUGUAAGGGUGAAUGAGUAUUCAAGCCUUGGCACACUCAUAAAUUACAGAGAAGAUACAAUAUGGAAAAAAGUUUUAAAACAUAAAUAAUUAAAUCAACUGUAAUAAUACACCAAUAAUGUAUACUCCAUCCAAGCAAUUCCAAUAUAGUUGAGCUAAUUUUUAUCUUCUUUAAAUGAAAACAUAGGAGAUUAAAAUUCCAUUACUUCUCAACAAGUUUACCAAAAAAGUUUAAAAUAAAUAAAGGUUUUAACUGUUUUCUCAUUUGCGACCAUGGUAAAUUUUCAUUCUCUACUCUCCUAUUUUAUUCUUUUUCUUUUACCUCAGCCGCAAUGCAGCUCAUGUUUGAAACAGAACAAGAGAGCAAGAACAUCAGAUUAUAUUGUAGAGCUGUAAACUUGACAAUUCGAAGCUUCAUUUAAAAAAAAAAAAAUGCUUCAAUAAGAAUAUAACUCCAUCAAAAAAAAUAAAACUACUUUUGCUAUCUAUCAUUUAAUUUCAUGCAACACAAACACAGCCAACUAAAUUAAAAAUUGAAAAAGAAAAAAACUCCAAUCCCGUUUUAGAAUCCCAUCGAAACAUAAAAAAGAAACAAAAAAAAUCCCCAAUUUACAUAUUAAAAACUCGACAAAACAGAUUCAAAAGCUACAUGAUGCAGCAUUGCUAAUACUAUUUCACAUGCUAAUGUUCAUACAUUGUGCGAAUUUAACAGUAAAUAAAUAAAAAGCGUUAAAGAAAUCAAAAUCAAAUGUCAAAAAGCAAAUAAAUUUCCAAAACUAAAGCACGAAAAGUUACGUAAAUUUAGAAACAAAAACGAACAGAGACGGAAACAGAAACAAGAACGGAUCUGAACGCGUAGAAAGAAUUUUUAAAAAAGGCAUGAUUUUUAUUUACAGAUAAAAUUCAAAAACUAUAAAAAAAAAACGAAAACAAAUCAAAGAAAAUUCAUGUACCUGUAAACAAUGGGGAGGAAUCUAGGGUUUUAACGAGACAAAACCCAAAGAAUUUUGCUUUAGAGAAGUCACGAAUCCAAAGACAGAGAGAGAAACUUCGCCGUUGUUAUUAGUUUGUUUUUUUUUUUUUCCUUUUUUUUUCUGAGAGAGAAAAGCUUCUGCGAGUCGUUCACGUUUCCAAGUUAAGCGAAUUGUGGGAGGUAAAGCUUACGCUCAGGUACGGCGCGUUGACAGCGAUCGGUGCUAAUGUAAAAGCAGGGUUGGUUCAGCGGAGCAGGGAAAAAGUGCAUGAAGCAAUGUCCCGUUCUAGGAUUGGUGCGUGUAUUACACUCGAAGCGAUGCUGGGUGUGGGGGAUGAUGGCGAUCCAUUUAGUUUAUCUAGUUUUUGCUUUGAUUUGUCACUGCAUGGCUUGGCAAUAUGGAUCUGAUGAUCUGAUCUAAACCGUCCGAUCUAAUCCUGUGACUAAGAAAGGGGGGGGGGGGGGAUUAUAGUUUUGUUUGUUACUGUUGACUGAAAAGACUAAUUGAGGAGUAACUGAUUAAUGAGGCGGGUAAUUUCCUGGAAUUAAUUAAAGGGAUUUUUAGAGUCGUAGGAAAUGGGAUUCCUGGAAAAGCACAGGUCUAAAAUUUUGAAUACGUGUCAGCAGAAUCUUCAACUGAGUGUGGGGAAAGAAACAGUCAACAAAAGUUGGUUGCCAUGUCAAACUCAAAACCAAGAGGUUUGGCACUUUUAAUGAUUCAUUCACGCACAUUUUAUUGUGCCUUUUUUUAACCAAUUAACACUUGGGGCGGACACCAACACCCCAUGUAGCCUCUCAUUGGCGGGUUUUGUGUUAAAGAUUCGUGAAUUUCAUGGGGCUGGUGAAGAAUUGCUGGCUUUGUUGACCCCACCCGCGCAAAGAAACUUAGAGCAAUAAUUUUUUAUUAUUUUAUUUUCGGAGAACCGAGAUAUUUUGUUAAUUCAGUACGGUAGAAAUCUAUCCAGACCUUCUUCGAUCUGUUUGUUACAAAUAAAAUUCAGUUCAAAAUUAUCUUAUGAAUACAGAGAAAAAGUAACUGCCAGAAUACAUUGAGAGGGACUUAAAUUAUCCACCUCAAUAGUGAAAUAAAGAAUAUUUUUUUAAUAAUAUCUGUCAUAUUUCUAUUAACUUUUAAAUUUUAAAAUAUUAUUAUUUUUUUCACUCUUUUUGUUCCCUUGUAAAAAAGUCUCGAGGGUUGGCAAUUGAAUAAUGUUAUGCUUUCCAAAAUAACUCUAUUGGGGCAGCGACAAUUAAUAAUGUGAACAUAUAUAGUGCCUGAUUUUGGCCUUUAUGGAAGAAGCAGGUAGGUAAUAGCCGUAUAGCUAGGUUGCGCAAAAUAGUGAAAUUAAAAUUAAAUAGAAUCUUAUGAUAAUGUGUCGAUAAGGCAGUGAUAGUGCCAUGUCCAAAGAGUUGGACAUGGGUUGUCCAACAAACAAUUUAUAGAAAUAUGAUGUGACCGCCGGUGAUACCACUGCUUAACUUACUGGAUACCAUUUAUGGUUUGAAUAUGCAUUUACUGAGAUUGUGAUACACACAAUUUUCUUUAUUUAUUUCUUUCUUUUUCUUUUUUUUUUUCCUUUAGGGUUUGUAAAUAGUUGUUGAAAAUGUUUAUAUACACAUAUGUGUAAACACACACACAUAUGAUUAACACAAUGAAGAUUUAUUGUAUACUUCAAAAAGAAAUAAUUGCCCGCCUAUGUACCCAAAGUAAUUAUAUGUUGACUUACAAUUAUCUCGUGUAUGAUUGAUCAUUGUAUAACUAUAACUAUAAACGAGAAAUAUGACAAAAUGACUAUUAUCGGUUACAACCAUGAUUUUUUAUUGUACAUUUUAACUCUCAGUUAGGCCAUCAAUUUUUUUCAUUAUCGUCUCUCAAAUACAUAAUGUCCAUAUGAAUUUCGGUUCAGUACUCUAGUGUUUGCAUGAUUUUUUUAUUUUUUACACACUAAUCUUUUUACAACAUUUUAAGUUGUAUCUAUGAUUACAUAUUAACCAUACAUUAUUAUAAAGUGCACAAUUUUUUUAAAAGAUCAUUGUAGCUUAGAUCGGUAUUAGAUCCAAAAGAAUUCAAAUUCUCUAUAAAGAUUACGAAAGAAACAAAGAUUUGAAAAAAAAUAUUUUUAAAAAUAGAGAUGAAACUUAUGCAAUGAACACGGCAUUGAGAUGCAUCAAAAUCGUACACAUAUCAGAAUCUUUAGACCCUACAAAAAGGCAAAAGGUGGCUCUGCAUUCCAAAGUAAAGGAGGGGGAAAAGCAGUUCUUGCUUAAAAGCAUGAACUUUCUAGAUCCUCUACGGAAAUGGAAACGAAGGAAUUAACCACUCAAAUGACAUCUCAUAAGCAACUUCUUGUCACAAGCAGCAGCAGCAACAAAUGCAGCUGCAUGCAAAUGCAAACGCUAAUUUAAGUGCUUUUGCAACAUUUAUAUGCCCAACAGCUUGCAGUAAUUGCCUUUUUUGUAUUUAUCUUUUCUAAUCUACGUGUAUAAAUGAUGAUCACAUGCAUGGGAUUAAUUGCCUUGCGCGGACCUGUGACCGCUUCACACCAAUCAUUGCUUUUUAUGUGCUUUAAUUUUCUGUCGUUUGUAAUGACAAGCAUCACUAAAAAAAAAAAAACAAGUCUACUAGAAAUGUAGUCCCCUUAAGAAGUUUGAUUGAAUUUGCUCUUCAUUUUGAGUAGCAGGAAAAUCACUUUAAUUGGGAGAACCUGUACCUCUCAGUUCGAGCAGGGACUUUUAGUAUGGGUUAUGGUACGGGCUUAAAGGUGACUUCCACAGUUGAGGUCCUCUCCAAAAUACUUCGUGGUUAAGACAAAAAAAAAAAAACAUCUUUAAAUAAAAUUCUACUUAUUAUCUGAAAAGUUAUACAAAUAAAAAUUAUUCUAAAAUAUUUUUCAAAUGAUAUUAUCUUUCUCUCUCUUAAUAUUAAAGAGGAAAAGAUAAUCUUAUUUCAAAAAUAUCAUUUGGAGAGUGUUUUAGAGCUUUCAAUUGAGUAUUAUCUCAUUCUUGAAGAAUGAAAUUAUUAUUUUAAUUGAGAAAUUUUUUAAUUAAAAUAUUAUAAAUAUUUUUUUUUUGAAAAGCCUUUUAGAAAAUGACUAAUUAAGUAUACUUUAAACUUUGACACAUUUUGGUGGUAGUUUUUGGGCUGUUAGUUAUAACUUAGAUAUAAUUUUGUAUAAUAUUUUUUAAAGAGUCGCACAAAUAAAGCAGCUGCCCUUCAAUUAAAACUUCCAAUUGCAUCGUAGUUUAACCAACAAUGUUAUAAAAUACAUAAAAAGAAAGUUCUAGACUUUUAGCAGUAGCACACUGCUACAAUAUGGAGCCAAAAAGCACCAUGCCUCGGAGAAAGUACAGUUGGAACCUCGUCGACCUUUUUUUUUCCUUUUUAUGUUUGCCCACCUUCUUCUUCCUUCCCUUAAUUAAUGGUUAUUUGUAAAUGCCGAUGUAAUUGGGAGGCAUGAGAGUAUGGUUUCGAAUGGCAUGGCACUCCCUGUCUAUUUAAUUUGCUUUAAAACAAUUGUUCGUACGGUACAUAAAUAGUAUAUUUUGCAUUUUUACUUUUUAAGCAGUUUUUUUUAUUUUUUUUAUUUAAUUUGAACCCGAGUUUGAAUUCUAAAAAGCGGAAAAUUAAAAAAAUAAUUUGAAUUUUGUCCACCUCCUUUUCUUAGUUAAUUAAUAUAUACAAUUCAUCUAAUUUUUGGGUAUCGGGGAAAAAAAAAAAGCAAGAUAAAAGUUGACAAUUAUUGUCGAAUUACGAGUUGAAUUAUGUAUAUUCUAUACAAUAUGGAAGUGGCAUUUCUAAUGGACCGGAUGAUGAUUAUUGUUGGAACGUAUAUCGUACAGCAUGCUUCUGGAUAUGCUCGUUUGUUGGCGUCAAUCCGAAGUGGUGCUUCGUGUUGCCUAGUAAUUGUGGCCUUGUGCGAGUAGGUAGAUGUGUGAGCUACUGCUCAGCAGAUUUUUAGGGUGUACUGCAAAUGUAGGCAUCUAGACUCCCAACAAAUUUCAGUUCACAAUGUAUCUGUAAAUAUAAUUAUACAAAAAGGGGAAAAAAAAAAAAAGGCCUUUCAUUCACACCACUUACAAACCUUUUUCGCUGCCUAUUUGUUGCAAGAUCCCCGGCCAAGUGAAUUGGGCUUGGGCUUUGAACACCGGAUCUUGCCCACUGGGCCUUAGUCCAAAAGUAAAGAAUGCUGGUUGGAACUUAUGGACAUGUUUGGUUAAGGUAUUAGAACGCCUCAUUGUAUUAAAUUUAUACAGACUCAUGUUUGGCAGUUAACAUAGCUACAGCAACAUUGCGUUAAUGGGCCCAAGCUAAUCGCCGCAUUAGCUUGGAUCUUCCUUUUUUUUUUUUUACUAAAUUAUCUUAUUAUUAUUAUUAUUAUUAUUAUUAUUAUUAUUAUUAUUAUUAUUAUUAUUAUUAUUAUUAUUAUUAUAGUAAUAAUAAUAGAUAAAUAUAACUUUUGAAUUUAAUAAAAUAUUAUGUAAUUUUAAUUUUAAUUAUUUAUUUUUACAUUAUAAUUAUUUAUAUAAAUUAAUAAACUUAUAAUUUAUUAUUCAAUAAUAUUAUAUUAUAUUUAUUAUUUUUACAUUUUAUUAUUAAAUUUAUAAUUUAAUAUAAUUAAUCAUUAUUUAAAUUUGAAUAAUAUUAAUUUAAAAUUAAUAAUAAUAUAAAAUAUUAAUACAAUUUAAAUAUAUGAAUAUAAUAGAAUAUAUUAAUAUAAUUUAAUAUAUAAUUUAAAUUAAUUACAAAAAAAUUAAUACAAUACAGUGCAACACCAAAUAUUGAAUAACAUUAUUAUAAUACAGUGCUAAUACAAUAUAACAUAAUACAAUACAGUGUGCCAAACACACCCUAUAAUUAUCUGGUUAUCUCAUGAUAUUUGCCCCACCUCCUUGGUAAUUUUUUGAAGCAAAGGUGCAAAGGACACAUAAACAGUUAAAAAAACCAUCGCAAAUAUCAUGACUUGGCUUUUUAUACCAAAAAAUUCGGACUUAACCAUGCUCUAAAAUGACAUGAAGGGAAAUUAAAUAGCACUAUUUCUUUUCUAAUCCAAGAAAUCUAAUUUUUUUAGUAUAAUUUAUUUUGUGAAAAUUUUGUAUUAAAAAAAGGCUAAAGACCUUUUUUGGGGGUAAAUAUUGAUUUAAAAAAAAAACAAUGCUCUUAAUAUAAAAAAUAAAAUCCGAUCAAAUCAAAUGUUGCCAACCUGAUCCAAGUCAACAACCUGAUCAAGUUGGCUUAAAAAAAAGGAAAUGAAAAACACACAUGUAUACAACACACACAUAUACAACAUACAACCUGAUAACUCUAUAGAACAAGAGUUAUCAUAACAUUUCUAAAUUUAAACUAACAUUACUUAGAGAGUAAAUGAUGUGUUUUUGUUACAUUUUUAGUUACAUUUUGCAUGAGAAUCUAUUUAAGUUUAAUUUUAAUAAAUUGAUUGUGUUUUAGAUCACUUUGUGCUCUGAUUAUGUGAAUGAUUGUAGGUGACCAAAAAGUUCAAGCUUAAUGGAUGGAUGCUGCAGCAGCAGACCUAUAGAAAUGACAAAGAACUUGUUUGCAGAUAAACUAAAACAAGUCUGACUCAGAGAAGAUGUUGUACUAAUUGCUGCAGCAAGCCAAGAGCAAACACAUACAAGACUACUCACAUGUUAACUGAUAAAGCAUGCUGCAGCCGUUACUGCGAUGUCACUAUCAUUAGCAAACAAAUGUGACAGGUGGCACAAAAAAAUAUGCGAUCCGAGGUUGCCAAAAAAAGAGACACGCGGCCACAUGCGUUUGGUUGCCUUAAUUCCAAGAUAUAAAAAGAGCACUCGUGAAAAAAAAGAAAAAGAAAAGGGGGUUGUCACAAAAAAACAACAGAGAUAAAAAGAAAAAGGAAGAGAAUAUGAGAGAGUUGAGAGCUGCAGCAAGAGAUUUUUGAGAAAAAAGAAUGAGAGAUCGCACAAACUUAAGAGAAUGACGUCUUGAAUUUAGCGGAUCUCAAUUUCUACUUUUUAUUUGCUUGUUUUUAUCUUUCUCUAGAAAUGUAUUUGAUGGCAAAAACGUGUGUUGUUACUAUUUUAUCGCCUGUCAUAAACUAAACUUUGAUAUAGUUGGGUGUUAAAUAAACUUAAUGGUUAUUUAACUUAUAUAUGUGUGUUGCUUAGAAUCUAUUGUAACAUUUUGUUUUGAUUUUACUUAUUGCAAAUCUUUAUUUGGUUGACCACCCAUUUAGUAGAUACUAUGUAAGAAAGAGCCUAAAAAAAGUCCGACUUAGUGGAAAAAGAUGGGUCUUUAUGUGUUUUCCAACAAAUGUCAUGUGUGACAUCUUAUGCGAUUGAGAAGCAAAUAUGAGAUAUGUACACUAUUUCGAAGUUUCAAGAAUUUCAACAAGAGUUGAUUGGGAAGAUAUAUUGUGAAUUUGUCAAUUCUAUGGGUUGUGAAUAUAUAGUUAGAGAGGAUGUCAAAGUUGGAGACAGUAAAAAAAAUAACUUUUUUUAAGUACAUUUUGAAAAAGAAAAUGGUGAAAUCGUUGUAAUUGUUCAAGGUUCCAGUUUAAAUGAAUUCUUUACAGACAUGCCAUUACAAUUAUGAUACACAAUGACAUAGAAGUACUUCCAGAAAAGUACAUCCUACGAAGAUGGAGAAAAAGAUGUGUGGAGAUGUCAUAGUAGGAUGAAGACAAGUUAUGAACAGUAUAGUUGCACAGAUGAACAUGAGCGAUAUGAGAAAAUCUUUAUUAGUAUUGCAUAAAUUACAAAUAUGGCUAUAACAAAUGUUGAAAGUUGUAAUCUUGUUUUGAAUUAGAUUGAGAAUGUACGGAAAUAUCUACCGAAAACAAUUUAGUGCGGAGGUAAUGAAGCAACUAUUGCUACAGGCCAAGGAAGUUGUAGUAAUAUCGUGGGAAUUUCAACGAAUGAUGUUAAGAUAGUACGUGAUCCAGUAGCUAAGCAUCGUAAAUGUCAUCCACUUUGUCAAAGAAAAAAGUCCAACAAAUUUUCAAAAUCUAAAAUGAAUUUAGCAUGUUCUAAUGCAAAGCUUAAUUUUAAAAUUUAUUAAAGUAGAAUAAUCUAUUUCAUAAAUGAUGUUCAAAUGUUAGUUUUGUUGACUUUGCAAGAUGGAUCAAGUAGCAACUGUGAUCCCAGCACCUCAAAAUCUUGAAGGAAGUUUUAUUGAUAGGUAUAUGUACCCACAUGGAAUUAUGGAUUAUUGUAAUGUAAGUUUUUUCACACUUUAUGUAUAUGAUUUUUUUAUUAUCGUUUCGUUAAAGUUCCAUUAUUAUAUGUUUGUUUUAGGAUCUUAUGAACUUGCAUCAUGUAAUUGGGGAUAGUGUUUAUCCAACAUCUACACAAAAUUCUUGCACGGUAAGUGGUGAUAAAUUUUGUAUUUGCUUAUCUUAUCUACUUUAGUAUUUGCUCAUCUUAUCUACUUUAUUUUCUUUAUUAUAACAAGAAAUUUAUUUUUUUAUAAUAGCAACCAUAACACUAGCUACAUGGACAUUUUCAGCAGCCACUCUUUCAAUAAGAUAAUGAAUACAUAGUUAAUAGGCAGUUUCAAAGUGAUUUCAUAGAAUAAUAUUGUAUUUGUAUUUUAAGAAUGAAGAAUGCAAAUGUCUGUUAUAUUCUCAUUCAUAUUAUGAUACAAACCUUUGGCUAUGAGUUGUGAGCUUGUGAAUUUGAUACAUGGACUUAUUCCUGUAAUGGCAUAUUUUUCCAUUAGUGGCAUAUUUGUAGUUUUAGUCGUGUGGUAUUGGAAUGCUUUUGGGUAUAUGUGUUGAUCUCAAUUACAAUGCAUUCUCUUGACAUUACUCAAUAUGCACCAAUUAUCAUUAAUUUCAAGUAUAAUAUGAAAGUCAACUAAUGAAAUAACAAAAGCUAAUAUAUUAAUCGGAGAAGCUAAUACAUUAACAUUACUGUCGUGAUUGCAUCUACUGAAGUAGUCAUGAUAUAUUUCUAUAAAAAAAAGGAUAACGAUAUAUUAGUUAAGUAUACAACUUAAAUAUAAUACAUAUUAAAAUAGUUAUAAUUAAUUGUGGGACAUAUUUUACAAUAAGACUUGGUUCUCUUUUUCGUAGUUCAUUCUAUGUCAAUUGCCUUUGAUCUUCACGUUGUUGUCUUUGUUGAAGUUCUUUCUCAAACAAUUGAAAUUUAAGAGACAAGCAUUUCAUUUCAUGCCCCAACUUGCAGACUUCUCAUAAUAAGAUAUCAAUUAUAAUCUCAUUCAUAUCCCGAUCUUUCAUUUCUCCAAAGUCAUUAGAUUCACCGCUCUUCUGAUCAUUAUCCCAUUCAAAAGUCUCACAUUUUUUGCACUUUUAAAACUUACGAUUCAAAUUUUCUCUUGUACAUGAAGUUCGUAAGACCUUACUACUGUUGCAGUAUUUUUCACAAGCUUUCAGCUGUGUUUGAUUUUCGCUUGUGGUAGAAAACAUAAUGAUUGAACAAAUUAUGUACAAAUAUAAACAAAAGCACAUAAUGAUUGUCAAGGUAAGCCAUUAUAGCACAUAAUGAUGAUUUCAAAUAUAAACAACACAUAAUAGUAAUUCUCAAAUGCAAAUACAAAUCAAAUGCUUUCUUUGUGCAUGAUCAGCUUAAUAAGCUUACCAAUAACUUAAAUAUACAACUCAUAGUCUGUCAAUAUUUGAAUUAAUGAAGUUAACGUUAAAAUUAAGCAAUCUUUAUCCCUUUCAGUGAAAUAGGCAUCCGAAGUUAAGCUUCUGUCAUUUUAAAUGUCAUUGUUCCGAUCCAAGAGCAAAACUAUUGAAUUGAAAGCUUUUCAAAUUAUAAUUUUAUAUAAAUAGGGAUCAUAUUUCAUUUGAUUAUGCUACUUUAUUUGUAAAGUUGGAAAGUAAUUUAUAGAAAUUUACUAAAGACACUAAUUGGGUGUAGAUGCAACAUAACUAUGUCCAAGCAUAUAUUUCCGAUCAUAAAUUCAACAAAAAAAGACAUAUAAAGGAUGUGAUUUGUAGCUAUAUAUAUAUAACAAGCUCUAGUUAUAGUGAUCAUGGUGUCAUUUCCAACACAAAGUCAUCUCAAUCAGUUCCUAAGACUAUAAAAAAUGCAAUUACAAAUCAAUCUAUUUGAACUCAUUUGCCUAAUACAAAUCAAUCUAAACUAAUUCAUAUGCCUGUUGCAACUUAUAUUUUCUUGCAUAAUCAUCCCAAAAUCAGCAACUCAUGAAGUGUAUAUAUCAACACAAUUUAACAAUUUCUAACAUCAAGUUUUAAUAGCAAAUAUCAAACAAUAGAAUAGCAUUUUACAAUUUCUAAUAGAAAGUUUUAACAAAAACUGUCAACACAAUUUAACACAAAUAGCAAUUGAAUCUUUACAUAUUCGUAAUCAGCACAACCAAAAUUUGGCAAUAAUGAAAUAAAUUACCUCGACAAAUUGAUUACGGCAGCCAAUGACAAGUGAAGCCGAGAGAGUGAAGCUGCAGUUAUCGACAGGGUAGAGAGAGAGAUAGAGAGAGCCAACAACUAGGUGUGGAGAUACCCAUAGCAAGAGAGAGAGAGAGAGAGAGAGAGAGAGAGAGAGAGAGAGAGAACGCCGACGGAGAGAGCACAGAGUAGUCAGAUGCGUGAGAAACGCUACAUUUUAGCAUGAGUGCAAUGUGAGUUUGUGUGAGAGCUGUGUGAGACGAGUGUGUUGUGCGCUAUAGUGACUUAUUUUAUAGUUAGUACAAAACGCACCGUUUUGUGCUAACUGUGGUGUUUAACAUGGGAUGAAUCUCAUUUUUUAAAAAAUAAUAAUUGAUUGGAAAAAAAAAAAAGGAAUCAACAACUAGCUCUUUAGAUGGAUAAAUUUCAAAUUAUCCAUUGUUGAAGCAACAAUUUUUAAAAUAUCUAUUUUUAAAUUAUUAUAAUUUUUAAUAUAUUUUUAUUUUUAUUUAAUGGGAACGACUUUAGCACUAUGUGAACUAGGCGGUCACUUAAAUCUCAUAUUUAGAAUGACCCCUAUUUUUCAGGGCAAUUAUUCUUUGAAAUUUCAAAGAUUUUCUUUUAAGUUAUGUAUGUAGGGAAAACUAAAUUUUUAGGCAUUUUCUUGUUAUUAUUCCCAUUCAUAAUUGUCUAAAGUUUAAAUUUUUUUUCCUCAUACAAAUACUAUAUUUGAUAAUUUCACGUUGAAACAAAGGCAACAUUUUUUUUAAAAUCUAAAUAUAUAUGAAUUUAUCUAAAGUCUGAGUGUGUCUAAAUAUAAAUAUCUAAACAACAUAUUUGUUUUUCUUUUUAAUAUCUGGAUACAAGUAGCAUUUGAUUGUUUUUAUAAAUAAAAAAAACUUAAACAUGUUUAUUUGACAUUUAUUUCCUUAUAAGUCAAAAUAAAUAAAGGGAUUAUGAUUUUAUAGUAUAAGAAAACAAAUAUAUUUAGGUGGUGUUUGGUUUCAAGAAAGGGAAGGAGAGGAGAAAAGGAAAAAAAAAAGGAGACGAGUGGAGAGGUGAUGAGAGGAGAGGAGUGCAAAAAUUCAUUGCUAUUGUUUUGUUUUACAUUAAAUUUGAGAGGAAAAGAAAUUACAUAUUUUUUAUUUGAACAAAUAUACCCAUUUUCUUUAAUGUUAAUAUUGUUAAUAAAUUUAAAAAAAUUAAUUAAACUAUGAAUUAAUUUAAUAUAGAAAAUAAAUUAAUAACAAAACAUUUAAUUUUAUAUUAUAUUUUUAUUCAUUAUUAUUUUAUAAUCAAAAUAAGUAACAUUGCAUAACUAGUUAUAUAUUCAAUUUAGUUUCUAAAUAUUUAUAAUUAUUGAAAACAAUAAUAUAUUAGCCUAUUGAAAUACCUAGUUAAAUAGAGAAUUUUUUUUUUAAAUUACAACACCAGGACUUGGACAGUAGUUGACCGCCGCAUCCGUCACCUAUGACUGUUGUUGGCCGCUAUUGAACGCUAUUUUUUCUCGCGUUAAAUACAUAAGAAUGAUUAGGGAUGUCAAAAUAACUCGGACCCGGCCCGGACCCGGAUAAUCCGGGCCGGGUUGAACCCAUACCGGAGAGGAAAAAAAUCCGGAUCCGGAAUGGGUUUUAAUAACCCGGAUGAAUCCGGGUCCGGGUUUGGGAUAACCCGUGUAUCCGAAACCCGGACCCGGAUUCAUUUUUUAUAUUAUUUUAUUAUAUUUAUUAGUAAAUAUAAAUACAAACAUAAAAAAAAAACCUAAUUCUAUUUCACAACUCAAACACACAAAUCGCGAUUUACCCAAACAAGACAAACCCUAGCUGUGCCGCCGCUGCUGCUGCUGCCUUCCGCCUUCCGCUAUCCCGCAAACAAGUCAAACAACUCUCGGCUGGGUUUGCCACCGUCGCAAGGUUGGGUUCGCCGUCGUCGCAAGGUUGGGUUCAAGAAGCUUGUGAAAAUUACAUUUCCUUUUACUAUUGAUUUUGAUUUCCUUGUGUGAAUUUUCUGGGUUGGGUUUUCUUAUGAGAAUGUUGGGGAUCAUUCCUCUGGGUUGGGUUUUCUUCAUGUGGUAGAGAUGAUGUUGAAAUAUCGUGCAAAGUAUGGACUGUAUGGUUAUCUUGAUGAUGUUGGUAUGUGGUAGAGAAAAGCUUGGGGACAUUCUCUAAUCUUUUACGCUAUGUUGCAGCGGCUGUCCAGUGUGUGUAAAUCUCAUCGUUUUUGUUUCUGUUAAUAUUUCCUUUAGUUACAUUAGUUUGUGUUUUGGUUCUAUCACUAAUAAUGAAAGUGAAAUUUGAAAUUUUAUUAUUGAUCCAGGUUUAAAACCCGGAAUCCGGGAACCCGAAUUUUUCCGGGUUAAACCCGGACCCGGAUGGAAAAAACCGGGUUUUAAUCCGGGUCCGGGAAAAAGAAAAUGACGUCCGGGUCCGGAACCGGGAAGGCUAAACCCGGACCCGGACCCGGAUUUUGCCAUCCCUAAGAAUGAUCAUAUAUGAAUGAUUUACUCAUUGGAAGUGUUAAUUUGGCAGAAAAUACAGUAUAUGGUCGGAAAUAUGAAAGUUAAAAUGUUCCCAAACAUUAAAAUAAUAUUUGAGGUAAAUAACAAUGUGUAUUAGCAUUUCUAACUCCAUAGAGUUGUAGAUCGGCUCAUAAGGAUUCCAUUGGUAUCGGUUUGAAUGGUGAAGCGCUUCUCCGGCGAAAAAUCAGCAAGUCUCCGAUGACUGUCCAGCGAUUCACUUUACUGCUUUUUCUUUUUUCAAAUAAGUUCAUCAUAUUAAUUUAAGAAAAUAAAUGUAAAUUAUUUGCAGUUUAACUUAUUUAAAAUUAAUUUUAUUUAGAGGAUAGUAUUGGAAUUUUUAUAUUCCAAUAGAUGAGGAAUUUGAAAUCCUUACCCAUUGAUAAGUAAUACAAAUUGCUCAAUUUGAUAGAAAUUGAAUUUCAAUUAAAUUUGGUCCAACCAAACAGUGGAAAGUGGAAAAGAAAUCAAAUUCUUUUCCUCUCCCCACUCCUCUACGCCUAAAGCAAACAUGGCCUUAAAAGAAUAUUUUUGGGAUACAGUAUUUACUUCACAUUUAAAUAAAAGUAAUAAAAAUUCACUUUUCUUAUUCAGAAGUAAUUGUCAAAAAAUCAAAUGUAAGUUACAAAAAUAAACAAACAAAUUUAAAAAAAAUAUUUAAAACUACUAAAAUUUUAAAUUUCAGAUAUUUAACAAACAUAUCCUAAGAUUUAUAUCUUUUUAUAAAAAUUCUAUAUUGUACUAUCUUCAUGGUACAAUUAAUGACUGUAACCCGUAAUCCUUUCGUUUGUUAAUCCUUCCAAGGAACAUAUUAAAUGCUUUCACUUUCAAGGAAAAAAAAAAGAAAGAAAAAUACUCCAUCAAAAUUAUUAAUGUUAGAAUUGAUUUUUUGCAUUCCAUUAAAUUAUAUUAAAAACCUAAAAAUCAAUAGACAUUAAAUAAACACUAAUCUAAACUAAAAAAAUUCUUACUUUAUUCUCUAUAAAGAAAAUUCUUCUUUACGAAAUCCAUUGCUAUCAUCUUAUGGUUAUUAUACUCAUUACAGUUAGUCAACUUUCCAAGUGCUAUCAUUAUAAUCAUUUUAUUUUAAAUUAUUAUUGUUCUUAUUUUUUUUACAAAUUUUAAUUUAUUUUUUGCAUUGACAUAUGACCAAAAAAAAGAGUAAAUUUUGAGCUAUUUUAUAUUUCUUUUAGAGUUGAUGUUGUUGAAUAUAUGAAGGCCUAAAAAAAGUUCGCUUAAAGCCUAAGUGAAUUAAUAAAUAUUUUUUUGCCUUCCCAACACAAAUAAGAGAAAAUUUGAGGUUUUCAAUAAAUUUAAGAUAUUUUGAAUAUUAUCAUUUGAUUGAGAAGAAUAAUUCGAAAUUAAACUUCAAUAAAAAAAAAAAAAAUCAAUCUCUCUAAUUUUUGCAGGCAAUACAAUGGCCCCGUUUAGACCUAUAUUUGGGGAAAAAAUUUCACCUCCUUAAUAGGCGUGGGGCAGGUGCGCUGGCGCCAAACGGGCUACAAGCAAUGUGGUCCUCUUGGCGACGUGGUCAUAACAAAGCUGAAACAGACGUUGAUUCACUGACAGUAGGGAUGGCAAUGGGGAGGGGAAGGGAGGAGACCAAUCUCUCUGUACUCAUUUUUUAUAUUUUGCGUAUGUUUCCGUUCUCUCUCCGUCUCCGUCAGAAUUAUUUGAGAGAAUCUUCAUCUCCUCCCCGAAUAAUAACAGGGGAUCCCCGAAUAACUAAUACAUUUUUUUUUCGAUUUUGAGUUAAUCAUAUUAAAAUAAAAAAAAAUUCAAAUAAAAGUAAAGUUCGAAAUAUAUCUUACAUUAAUAUCCAUUACAAAACUCACAUACAUUAAAUUAGUAAGUAACGCAGCAUGUAAGGGAUACAAACUUCUUUUACAAACUAUCAUGAACAAAUUAAUAGUCUAAUACAAAAUUAUUACAAAUAAAAUCGAAUUUAGAUUCAAAAUUAACUUUUUCAAUAGUGGCGUGGGCACUUUAUAAAUGUGGACUAUUCCCUUUAGAGCACAAUAGUUAAGUCGGAGCAAAUUAAGAGCAAAUAUUAGAUUAGAUUAGAUUAGAUAUUAAAAUUGUGAUUUGCUGUGGACAAUUAUAACAUCUAAAAAUAAAUAAAAAAUAGAUUUAAGUUUAAAAUAUUUAAUGAAUUUUAAAAUUAAAAUAAAAUUUUUGGGCUAAUAGAAUCUAUUCGGUCUUUUUAAUGUCCUAAAUAAAAAUUUAGGACUUUAAUUAGUUAAUUAGGCCUAAAAAUUUAAUAAUAUAAAUAUUUUGGUAUUUGUUAUUUUUAUCAAUUUUUAUAAUUUUAUAAUUCAAAUCUUAUUAUUUAUUUACUAGUAAUUUUAAAAAUAAAAAUUAAAAUGGGAAAUGGAUAGGGGAUGGGGAUUCCACCUCAUCCCUGUCCCCUCCCCGAAUAAGAAAUUGUUUAAAAAAAUUUACCCAUCUCUUUCCCGAAUAAGAAAUUGGGUAUGAAAUUAUUCCCAUACUCUUUCCAAAUGAGAAAAAUUUCCGAGAAUACCAGUCCUCAUAAAGAUUUUUGCCAUCCAUGACUGACAGCAGAGAUGUGACAUGCACAGACUUACGUAUAGACCUGGGCCUACUAGUCACCCACCGCCCCUGAGCCACUACUCCAAACAGUUUAAAAUUAUUUAAUAAUGGAUAGAUGCAAACAACAAAAAAAAAAAAAAGGAAAAAGGACAAAGGAAACGACAGCCUGGUCAUUAAUUGGCUGAAUUUCAGAUUAUUGCCGUAAAACAAAUAAUUUUUAAAAUAUUUAUUUUUUGAAUUAUUACAAAUUUUAAUUUAUUUUUAUUUUAUUUAAAAUAUAAAAAAAUAGAGAUAAAUUUAGCGCUAAAUAAAUUAGGCGGCGGUGUAGGAUCCCAUAUUUUUAAAAGGCUCUAUUUUUUGGGUGAUUAUUCUUUAAAAUUUUAAGAAUUUUUUUUUAAGUUACGUAGGCAGAAAAUUAAUUUUUAUUUUCUAUAUUAUUGUUAAUAGAUUAGAGAUCUAUAGAAUUGACUGAAAAAAAUGAUAGUAAUUUAAAUCUUUAUUUGCAACCAUCCGGUUUUAGAUUUAAAUCUAAAAAAAAAAAAAUCAAGGUUUAAACCCUAUAAUAAAUUAUCAUCGGAGUCUAAAGCAAAAGAUCAAAUCCGGUCGCAUACCCACAUUUUGCUAUUCUUAUUGAGAAAUUUUAGAAUACCUCUAAUGUAUUACAACCAAUUGAUGCAUGCAUGACAUGUGUGGUUCAAUUUAAUAUAACAUUUAUUUGUAUGGAGGUUUUUCAAAAUAAAAAUACAUAUGUCAGCGAAUUGAUUAUCAGAAAGAUCAAGAGUAACAAGAGAUGAGAAAUUGGCAAAAGAGAGUGGAGAAAUGUGAUGCAGUAGACAACCUGAGAAACGCAACGUGUCCAAAGAAUGGAGUGAAUUUGUGAUCAGUGGUCCAUCAGAUGUCUUGCUAAGAUCCACACCACUCAACUCAAGGUGCUUCAACAAAGAAAGAUGAGAUACCCAACCAAAAUCCUCAACAUAUAAUCCACCCAAGUAAUUAGGACGAAGGUCAAGACAUUGGAGAUUGGAAAGAUUUCCAAUUCGGUGUGGAAUAAUUCCUACAAAUCCGGCUCUAGAAAUGUUCCAAGUACAUUAAAUUCUCCAAAGAACCAAGAAAUCGAGGAAUUUGGAUUCCUUGAAAAUCGUUGUAGCUCAAGUCCAAGUGAAUCAAAUGCUUUAAACCGAGCAAAGACGGGUUUGUAGGAAUUUGGAUUCCUUGAAAAUCGUUGUAGCUCACGAGUCCUGAUAUUUUUUAUUUUGUUUGUUGCUUGCAUUAUCAAUAUUCUCGUUGUUACUAUUUGCGAGUUUGUCAUAAUCAUAUAAAUUAGUCUGAUUAAAAAAAACUUCGGGCAUAUGCCAAGAGUUGAAUGCGGAUUAACUUUCUGUUUUAUUUUAGAAAAUGAAGCCUAAAGAAUUCAGUUCAAAUUAAGAUAUUUUUUUAAAUUAAUUUAUUCAUCUCUAACUUUCUGAAUGCAGUAUGUAGAUACAAACUAUAAAGUAGAACAAUGAAGAGGUGAAGCAAGAAUCCCACGAGUUUUUUUAAUUUUUAAUUUUUAAUUUUUAAUUUUUAAUUUUUAUUUCUUUAAUGGAAAUCCAAUGAGAGCUUAAAUUACUAAACUGCAACCGUGGCUUGAAGCUUUCUAGUAACAGAAUCAAAAUUACAAUAAACUUUUUACGUACCUUGUUCCCUAAUGCAUCAAGACCAUAAGCACUCGAGUUCUAAUAAAUGAGUGAAUCAUCAUAAUUUAUGCUCUUUCACAAAAAUAUUAUGAAUUUAUAGAUUAAAACUCGUUAAUUUGGUAGAAUAUAAAAAAUUAACUAAAUUAAAAAAACUUAAAAAAUUUUAAAAAUAAAAAAAUUUAUUCAAUUCAAAUCUGCCGGCCAUAAUUGACAACAGCUGCUUGUGAAUGAGACCACUUGCAAUAUUGUUAUGUUAAGUAGGCCAAUUAAUCAAUCACCCACCGCUUCCAGUACCGCAAACUAUGUUUAGUAAUUGACAUAAAAUAAAAGAAGAAGAGGAGCAAAGAAACAACAACUAGAGCCAAUCUCCAAGCAAAUAUGGAUCUUCAAAACAGACAGAAGCUUCACAUAGCAAUGUUUCCAUGGCUGGCUUACGGCCACAUCAUGCCUUUUUUCCAAGUCGCCAUGUUUUUGGCUGAAAAGGGUCACCACGUAUCUUAUAUCUCCACCCCAAAAAAUAUUGAUCGCCUCCCACAAAUUCCCACUAAUUUGUCCUCCCGUUUGAGCUAUAUACAGCUUCCUUUGCCUCAACUUGAUGGCCUACCAGAGGGAGCUGAGUCAACUGCCGAAUUACCCAUUCACAAAGUUCCUUAUCUUAAAAAGGCCCACGACUUGCUACAACUUCCCUUGACAAACUUUCUCCAAGAUUCACACGUCAACUGGAUCAUUCACGACUUUAUCUCUCACUGGUUGCCUCCUGUCGCCGCUCAACUCGGCGUCAACUCAGUCUUCUUCAGCAUAUACAGCGCCGCAACUCUUUGUUUUACUGGCCCGCCUUCAGACGUGAUCGCAGGUCGACGCCAGAAGCCAGAGGACUUCACGGUAGUCCCUGAGUGGAUAGACUUUCAAUCUAAUCUCGCUUUUAAACCCUACGAGACGUUAAUCAACCAGGACGGCAUGGACGACUCGGUGUCCGAUUAUCUUCGCGUAGCAUUUGUGCUUCAAGAUUGCCGAGUCGUGAUUCUCAGGAGCUGUGCAGAGUUUGAACCCGACGCUCUUCGUUUACUCGGUAAGAUUCUCCAAAAACCGGUUUUGCCGGUCGGCUUUCUAGCACCAUCACUCCAAGAUUCCGCGGCGGGUGAGCAUUGGCCGGUGUUAAAAGACUGGCUUGACAGUAAAGAAAAUAACUCGGUGGUUUAUGCUGCAUUCGGGACUGAGAUGACUCUUAGUCAAGAGCUGCUGCAUGAGUUAGCUUAUGGACUAGAGAAAUCCGGGUUGCCUUUUAUUUGGAUAAUCAAGAACCGCCCACUUGUUGAAGGGGAAUCGGGCCUGGAUCAUCUUCUCCCUCCCGGGUUUCAAGAACAGGUCUCUGGUACGGGCUUGGUGUGGACAGAUUGGGCACCUCAGUUAAGGAUCUUGGCCCAUCCAUCUAUUGGUGGGUUCUUGACACACUCUGGUUGGAGUUCCGUCAUUGAGGCGCUCGGGUUGGGUCGGCCGUUGAUUUUACUCCCCGGAAGUUCGGAUACUGGGUUGGUUGCUAGGUUGAUGCACAGCAGGCGGCUCGGGCUUGAGGUAGAGAGAAAUGAGCAAGAUGGGUCGUUUACGAGGGACUCAGUGGCCGAUUGCAUUAGGCGAGUCGUGGUGGACCUCGAAGGUGAGCCACUUAGAGCGAAUGCACGGGCAAUGAGAGAUAUUUUUGGCAGUACGCAUUUGAGCUACAAGCAUUUGGACGAGUUCACUCGGUUCAUUGAGAAUUAUACCGCUUCAACUAAGUCUCUUUGAUCCGUGGAUGCUAUUUUUCAUUUUGCAGUAAAAAGUAUUGAAGGGCAAUGUAAAUGGAGGGAAACCUUGUUCCUCAAGUUUUAUUCGCAAAACAUCAUAUCUAUUGUACAAUGCUUUGGCAUCACCAUCUCUUUGAAAUUUCUACCUAAUUUUUUAGCUAAAAAUUUACAAAAUGUAUAUACGAAAACACAGUUCAAAACAAUCAUACCCAGAAUAAUUUCAGAACUCCAAUAUUACCAUUAUUCAUAAAGAGAAGAGACUGACACAGCCAUAAUAAAGGCUGAAAUCCAUAACCGAAUUUACAGAUUACAUGCAGGAAAAGAAAUACCGUGAGGAUUUCAUCCACCUGGUUAAGAUUGACAUAAGCAGUCUACAAACCUACAAAUUCAUUGCUUAGUGGCUAGUACUCCCUGCUUUAUGUUAAUAUAAUAUUAUUUCCUGCAGCAAACGGCAAGCCCUGCAAAGAAAUAUGAAAAUUCGUGACGCGAGUUUGAUAGAAUUUUUCGUCCAAUCAUCAACACCAUAACAAGUAGACUAGAAUGUGAAUUAUGCAUAACCAAGUAAAAUUAUGCAUGAUGCAGACGAAAGCAUUGUAGAAUGUGAAUUACGAGUUAAAUUAAGCAUAUUGGUAUAUAAAACAUAUUAAUGUGUACUAUGCUUACUAUCCUACAGAAUGGACAAUGGCAUUUCUAACAAGCUCAAAUAGGAAGUCUAUUUUUAAUAUGCAUGUCUUGGACCUCGUGGUAAAAUUUGUAAGAAGAAACGGUUGCUCUCUAGUCUCCGCAUGAGGCAUUCAGCAGAGAAAACUCCAUUGUCUGCAGAAAAGAACUAGAGUUUCCAGGUCCAACAUUAUUGCGAUAAAAUUUACUUGGCCUUAAUACUAAAAGUGUUCUUUUGCAACUCAACAUCAAUUUCAGCCGCCAAAUUCAGGCAUAAACACGCAUUCAUAUUUUCUAAAAAGGAUCUUAACAACUCUCCCCAUUACUAACUAUGAAGUAGAACCAUGAAGAUGAAGCUGUUAGAAGCUAUGAUCUAAUAAGUGUCUGAUUUAUUAUGUUCAACUCUGGCUUGUACUGUUCUUUGAACAGCAUCAAAUUCACAAUGCAAUAUUAUCAUACUUCCUCAUUCAUCAAUACCACAAUCACUUAAGGGUUCCAGUACGUGUACGAAUAACGCUUGAAUUAAAACCACUGAAUUGGGAUUUGGGAUAUGCCAUUUCCACUUCUUAUUUCCUUGUACGGUCACUCGACAAGACUUUCAGUUCCCUCGCCAAACUACAAACUUGCCCCUCCUACCACUUUCUAAUACAUUUCUAUUUAUUCCGAUAAUAAAAAUUAAAACUUUAAUCUAAAAUUGAUCAAUGUAACAGCAAUUAAUUAUUUUAAAAAAAAAUUGAAUUUUAGAAACCCAAACCUACAUCAAGCAGCUGAUUUAUGGCCGUCACACUCGGGACUUUCAUCAAAAUUCUUACUGGGAUACUUAGCCGUGACCAUUCCAACUUCAAACACCAAAUUAUCCCCACUUGAUCGGAUCCCCGUGAUGGCCCACCACUUGAAGAAAGCCCGGACCCGAAUCCCGUCCAGCUCCGCGAUGCGACCCUGCUCGAUUUUCCCCCUGAUUUUGUUUGAGUAAGUGGCCAGGUAGUUGUCCGGCGGGAGCGUCAACCUACACGCACCUCCGAGAUGAACGAAGAACUCGCCCGAGGUUUGGUUUAGAGUGUAGCUCUGAACCGAGGCAGGAAGGAGCCCGAUCGGGAACCCGUAGUUGGUUAGCUCCGCAUGGGCCAGGGUCGGCGGGUUCGGGUCCGAAGAUGACAGAGGUAUCAGGACGAGAAGAAUAGAGAGAAGCAGGGGGGAUUUGAGCAUUGUGUCUUUUUUUUUUUUUUAUACUUUUUCGCUUUAUUUUUUAGGAAUUGAGGAUCUUUUUAGUGCGUUUCCAAAUGUCCAAUCGUUUGGAUUCUUUCGGUAUCGGAUUUCAUUUAUUUAUUUAUUUCAAAAUUUUGGAGGAGGAAGAGAAGAAUGUGGAUAAGGAAAGGAUUGACUAUGGCCAGGCAAAUGACUGACGUGGUAAACAACGAAACUUCGCAAAAGAAGAGAUGCAACGCCAGCGUUUUGUCGGACUCGUCCACUUGCGACAGUUGAAAGCGAGCGAUUGUGAUGCGAAGUCCAAAACUGCAAGACGAGGAUACCAAUUGGGCUGGACAGGCCCGAUGACAGCUUGGUUAAUGACCCAUGUGAUUUUUUGUAGGGAUGGCAAUAACGAGGGAAGAAAAGGGUUCCGCCAUCCCCCUACUUAUUCUUUAUAUUUUAUAUAUGGUCUUUCCUCCUCGAUCCUUUUAGAAUUACCUGGGAGGAGGCGAUAGGUUCCCGAAUGAUAACAAAGAAUCUACGAGGUUUCAAUUCCUAAAUAAUUAAUAUAUUUUUAGUUUUUAAACUUAAUUUAAUUAUAUUAAAAUAAAUAAAAUUUGGUAAUAUAUCUUACAUGAAUAUUAAUUUAUUAAAAAAGUUACACUACACAAUAUAAAUUAUCAUAAUAAUUAUCUUAGUAAAUCUUUACAAUCCUAUAACUAAAAAAAAAAAUUACUUUUAUAUCAAUAAUGAAAUAAUUGAAAUAGAUAUGCAUACUUAAAUAAAUGAGAUGAGGAGGUAAUGUGCUAUUGAGCUAUGAUGAGAUGAAGACGAGAUAGUGUGCUAGUUGAGGUACGAAUAAUUUGGAAAGAAUGGGUGAGACUAUGAGCGAGUGGUUAAGGGUUUGAUUUAUGGAUUGUGCGCUUGUCGGUUAUAGUCUUUGGGCUGUUGUUGAGUUUAAAUCAUAUUAAAGUCUUUAUAUUCAUUAAUACUUAUGUCAAAAAAUCAAAUGUAAUUUACAAAAAUUAACAAACAAAUUUAAAAAAAUAUUUAAAACUACUAAAAUUUUAAAUUUCAGAUAUUUAACAAACAUAUCCUAAGAUUUAUAUCUUUUGAUAAAAGUUCUAUAUCAUACUAUCUUCAUGGUACAAUUAAUGACUGUAACCCGUAAUUCUUUCGUUUGUUAAUCCUUCCAAGGAACAUAUUAAAUACUUUCAAGGAAAAAAAAAAGAAAGAAAAAUACUCCAUCAAAAUUAUUAAUGUUAGAAUUGAUUUUUUUGCAUUCCAUUAAAUUAUAUUAAAACCCUAAAAACCAAUAGACAUUAAAUAAACACUAAUCUAAACUAAAAAAUUUCAUACUUUAUUCUCUAUAAAGAAAAUUCUUCUUUACCAAACCAUUGCUAUCAUCUUAUGGUUAUUAUACUCAUUCCAGUUAGUCAACUUUCCAAGUGCUAUCAUUAUAAUCAUUUUAUUUUAAAUUAUUAUUGUUCUUAUUUUUUUUACAAAUUUUAAUUUAUUUUUUGCAUUGACAUAUGACCAAAAAAAAGAGUAAAUUUUGAGCUAUUUUAUAUUUCUUUUAGAGCUGAUGUUGUUGAAUAUAUGAAGGCCUAAAAAAAAGUUCGCUUAAAGCCUAAGUGAAUUAAUAAAUAUUUGUUUGCCUUCCCAACACAAAUAAGAGAAAAUUUGAGGUUUUCAAUAAUUUUAAGAUAUUUUGAAUAUUAUCAUUUGGCAGAUUCUGUAACAUACGCACCCAAUGCAUGCACCACACCUGUCCUGCAAAUGGAGAAAAAAAUGCAAUUGUUUUUGUUUGGUAGCUAGCUAACCAAUCAGGAGCUGGUUAAGUUGGAUCUGUAUGUUACAGAAUCUGUAGCUUAGCCAUCUCCUAUCAUUUGAUGAGAAGAGUUAUUCGAAAUUAAACUUCAAUAAAAAAAAAAAAAUCAAUCUCUCUGAUUUUUGCAGGCAAUACAAUGGCCCCGUUUAGACCUAUAUUUGGGGAAAAAAUUUCGCCUCCUUUAUAGGCGUGGGGCAGGUGCGCUGGCGCCAAACGGGCUACAAGCAAUGUGGUCCUCUUGGCGACGUGGUCAUAACAAAGCUGAAACAGACGUUGAUUCACUGACAGCAGAGAUGUGACAUGCACAGACUUACGUAUAGACCUGGGCCUACUAGUCACCCACCGCCCCUGAGCCACUACUCCAAACAGUUUAAAAUUAUUUAAUAAUUGAUAGAUGCAAUCAACAACAAAAAAAAAAAAAAAAAGGAAAAAGGAUGAAGGAAACGACAGCCUGGUCAUUGAUUGGCUGAAUUUCAGAUUAUUGCCGUAAAACAAAUAAUUUUUAAAAUAUUUAUUUUUUGAAUUAUUACAAAUUUUAAUUUAUUUUUAUUUUAUUUAAAAUAUAAAAAAUAGAGAUAAAUUUAGCGCUAAAUAAAUUAGGCGGUGGUGUAGGAUCCCAUACUUUUAAAAGGCUCUAUUUUUUAGGUGAUUAUUCUUUAAAAUUUUAAGAAUUUUCUUUUAAGUUACGUAGGCAGAAAAUUAAUUUUUAUUUUCUAUAUUAUUGUUAAUAGAUUAGAGAUCUAUAGAAUUGACUGAAAAAAAUGAUAGUAAUUAAAAUCUUUAUUUGCAACCAUCCGGUUUCAGAUUUAAAUCUUAAAAAAAAAAUCAAGGUUUAAACCCUAUAAUAAAUUAUGAUCGGAGUCUAAAGCAAAAGAUCAAAUCCGGUCGCAUACCCACAUUUUGCUAUUCGUAUUGAGAAAUUUUAAAAUACCUCUAAUGUAUUACAAUUAAUUGAUGCAUGUAUGACAUGUGUGGUUAAAUUUAAUAUAACCUUUGCUUGUAUGGAGGUUUUUCAAAAUAAAAAUACAUAUGUCAUGCAUGUUAUAUGAUUGACAUAGUACCUAUGAUGUAUUCUAAAAUUUUUCAUCCGUAUUACCAAUUUGCCAUUCUUACAACUAAUUAUUCAAGAGGUUCAGCAGUUUUGAUAUUUUUCACUUAUUUGUUGCUUGCAUUAUCACCAUUCUUCUUGUCACCUUUUUAUUAGGAGGCUCAAGAGUCCUGAUAUUUUUUAUUUUGUUUGUUGCUUGCAUUAUCAAUAUUCUCGUUGUUACUAUUUGCGAGUUUGUCAUAAUCAUGUAAAUUAAUCUGAUUAAAAAAAAAUUUCGGGCAUAUGCCAAGAGUUGAAUGCGGAUUAAGUUUCUGUUUUAUUUCAGAAAAUGAAGCCUAAAGAAUUCAGUUCAAAUUAAGAUAUUUUUUAAAUUAAUUUAUUCAUCUCUAACUUUCUGAAUGCAGUAUGUAGAUACAAACUAUAAAGUAGAACAAUGAAGAGGUGAAGCAAGAAUCCCACGAGUUUUUUUAAUUUUUAAUUUUUAAUUUUUAAUUUUUAAUUUUUAAUUUUUAUUUCUUUAAUGGAAAUCCAAUGAGAGCUUAAAUUACUAAACUGCAACCGUGGCUUGAAGCUUUCUAGUAACAGAAUCAAAAUUACAAUAAACUUUUUACGUACCUUGUUCCCUAAUGCAUCAAGACCAUAAGCACUCGAGUUCUAAUAAAUGAGUGAAUCAUCAUAAUUUAUGCUCUUUCACAAAAAUAUUAUGAACUUAUAGAUUAAAACUCGUUAAUUUGGUAGAAUAUAAAAAAUUAACUAAAUUAAAAAAACUUAAAAAAUUUUAAAAAUAAAAAAAUUUAUUCAAUUCAAAUCUGCCGGCCAUAAUUGACAACAGCUGCUUAUGAACGAGACCACUUGCAUAUUGUUAUGUUAAGUAGGCCAAUUAAUCAAUCGCCCACCGCUUCCAGUACGGCAAACUAUGUUUAGUAAUUGACAUAAAAUAAAAGAAGAAAGGAGCAAAGAAACAACAACUAGAGCCAAUCUCCAAGCAAAUAUGGAUCUUCAAAACAGACAGAAGCUUCACAUAGCAAUGUUUCCAUGGCUGGCUUACGGCCACAUCAUGCCUUUUUUCCAAGUCGCCAUGUUUUUGGCUGAAAAGGGUCACCACGUAUCUUACAUCUCCACCCCAAAAAAUAUUGAUCACCUCCCACAAAUUCCCACGAGUUUGUCCUCCCGUUUGAGCUAUAUACAGCUUCCUUUGCCUCAACUCGAUGGCCUGCCAGAGGGAGCUGAGUCAACUGCCGAGUUACCCAUUCACAAAGUUCCUUAUCUUAAAAAGGCCUACGACUUGCUCCAACUUCCCUUGACAAACUUCCUCCAAGUUUCACGCGUCAACUGGAUCAUUCACGACAUUAUCUCUCACUGGUUGCCUCCUGUCGCCGCUCAAUUCGGCGUCAACUCAGUCUUCUUCAGCAUAUACAGCGCCGCAACUCUUUGUUUUCUUGGCCCGCCUUCAGACCUGAUCGCAGGUCGCCGCCAGAAGCCGGAGGACUUCACGGUAGUCCCGGAGUGGAUAGACUUUCAAUCUAAUCUUGCUUUUAAGCCCUAUGAGACAGUAAUCAACAAGGACGGCAUGGACGACUCAGUGUCCGAUCAUCUUCGCUUUGCAUUUGUGCUUCAAGAUUGCCGAGUCGUGAUUCUUAGGAGCUGUGCAGAGUUUGAACCCGACGCUCUUCGUUUACUCGGUAAGAUUCUCCAAAAACCGGUUUUACCGGUCGGCUUUCUCGCACCAUCACUCCAAGAUUCCGCGGCGGGUGAGCAUUGGCCGGUGUUAAAAGACUGGCUUGACAGUAAGGAAAAUAACUCGGUGGUUUAUGCUGCAUUCGGGACUGAGAUGACUCUUAGUCAAGAGCUGCUGCAUGAGUUAGCUUAUGGACUAGAGAAAUCCGGGUUGCCUUUUAUUUGGAUAAUCAAGAACCGCCCACUUGUUGAAGGGGAAUCGGGCCUGGAUCAUCUUCUCCCUCCCGGGUUUCAAGAACAGGUCUCUGGUACGGGCUUGGUGUGGACAGAUUGGGCACCUCAGUUAAGGAUCUUGGCCCAUCCAUCUAUUGGUGGGUUCUUGACACACUCUGGUUGGAGUUCCGUCAUUGAGGCGCUCGGGUUGGGUCGGCCGUUGAUUUUACUCCCCGGAAGUUCGGAUACUGGGUUGGUUGCUAGGUUGAUGCACAGCAGGCGGCUCGGGCUUGAGGUAGAGAGAAAUGAGCAAGAUGGGUCGUUUACGAGGGACUCAGUGGCCGAUUGCAUUAGGCGAGUCGUGGUGGACCACGAAGGUGAGCCACUUAGAGCGAAUGCACGGGCAAUGAGAGAGAUCUUUGGCAGUACGGAUUUGAGCUACAAGCAUUUGGACGAGUUCACUCGGUUCAUUGAGAAUUAUACCGCUUCAACUAAGUCUCUUUGAUCCGUGGAUGCUAUUUUUCAUUUUGUAGUAAAAAGUAUUGAAGGGCAAUGUAAAUGGAGGGAAACCUUGUUCCUCAAGUUUUAUUCGCAAAACAUCAUAUCUAUUGUACAAUGCUUUGGCAUCACCAUCUCUUUGAAAUUUCUACCUAAUUUUUUAGCUAAAAUUUUACAAAAUGUAUAUACGAUAACACAGUUCAAAACAAUCAUACCCAGAAUAAUUUCAGAACUCCAAUAUUACCAUUAUUCAUAAAGAGAAGAGACUGACACAGCCAUAAUAAAGGCUGAAAUCCAUAACCGAAUUUACAGAUUACAUGCAGGAAAAGAAAUACCGUGAGGAUUUCAUCCACCUGGUAAAGAUUGACAUAAGCAGUCUACAAACCUACAAAUUCAUUGCCUAGUGGCUAGUACUCCCUGAUUUAUGUUAAUAUAAUAUUAAUUCCUGCAGCAAACGGCAAGCCCUGCAAAGAAAUAUGAAAAUUCUUGACGUGAGUUUGAUAGAAUUUUUUGUCCAAUCAUCAACACCAUAACAAGUCGACUAGAAUGUGAAUUAUGCAUAACCAAGUAAAAUUAUGCAUGAUGCAGACGAAAGCAUUGUAGAAUGUGAAUUACGAGUUAAAUUAAGCAUAUUGGUAUAUAAAACGUAUUAAUGUGUACUAUGCUUACUAUCCUACAGAAUGGACAAUGGCAUUUCUAACAAGCUCAAAUAGGAAGUCUAUUUUUAAUAUGCAUGUCUUGGACCUCGUGGUAAAAUUUGUAAGAAGAAACGGUUGCUCUCUAGUCUCCGCAUGAGGCAUUCAGCAAAUAAAACUCCAUUGUCUGCAGAAAAGAACUAGAGUUUUCAGGUCCAACAUUAUUGCAAUAAAAUUUACUUGGCCUUAAUACUAAAAGUGUUCUUUUGCAACUCAACAUCAAUUUCAGCCGCCAAAUUCAGGCAUAAACACGCAUUCAUAUUUUCUAAAAAGGAUCUUAACAACUCUCCCCAUUACUAACUAUGAAGUAGAACCAUGAAGAUGAAGCUGUUAGAAGCUAUGAUCUAAUAAGUGUCUGAUUUAUUAUGUUCAACUCUGGCUUGUACUGUUCUUUGAACAGCAUCAAAUUCACAAUGCAAUAUUAUCAUACUUCCUCAUUCAUCAAUACCACAAUCACUUAAGGGUUCCAGUACGUGUACGAAUAACGCUUGAAUUAAAACCACUGAAUUGGGAUUUGGGAUAUGCCAUUUCCACUUCUUAUUUCCUUGUACGGUCACUCGACAAGACUUUCAGUUCCCUCGCCAAACUACAAACUUGCCCCUCCUACCACUUUCUAAUACAUUUCUAUUUAUUCCGAUAAUAAAAAUUAAAACUUUACUCUAAAAUUGAUCAAUGUAACAGCAAUUAAUUAUUUUAAAAAAAAAUUGAAUUUUAGAAACCCAAACCUACAUCAAGCAGCUGAUUUAUGGCCGUCACACUCGGGACUUUCAUCAAAAUUCUUACUGGGAUACUUAGCCGUGACCAUUCCAACUUCAAACACCAAAUUAUCCCCACUUGAUCGGAUCCCCGUGAUGGCCCACCACUUGAAGAAAGCCCGGACCCGAAUCCCGUCCAGCUCCGCGAUGCGACCCUGCUCGAUUUUCCCCCUGAUUUUGUUUGAGUAAGUGGCCAGGUAGUUGUCCGGCGGGAGCGUCAACCUACACGCACCUCCGAGAUGAACGAAGAACUCGCCCGAGGUUUGGUUUAGAGUGUAGCUCUGAACCGAGGCAGGAAGGAGCCCGAUCGGGAACCCGUAGUUGGUUAGCUCCGCAUGGGCCAGGGUCGGCGGGUUCGGGUCCGAAGAUGACAGAGGUAUCAGGACGAGAAGAAUAGAGAGAAGCAGGGGGGAUUUGAGCAUUGUGUCUUUUUUUUUUUUUUAUACUUUUUCGCUUUAUUUUUUAGGAAUUGAGGAUCUUUUUAGUGCGUUUCCAAAUGUCCAAUCGUUUGGAUUCUUUCGGUAUC
rnacentral:lncRNA from 1 species